GGGGGACGCCCAAACUCGUUGGCUAACUUUGAGAAUCGAGCCAGCAUAGGCUUGGUCGAUAAGCUUAGCAAACCAUGAGAUAUUCGUAAAGCAUGAUCUAUUGGAGAGAUCUUGCUCGACAUACUCGCGUAAUAUUGCCAUGAUAUACUCGAGUAUUAUCAAAAUAUUGAUGAGCGACCCCGGUAAGGGGUAUAACGGUGACGGGAUUCGAAAAAAAGUGGUGUAUCUACAAAUUUGGUACUUAUGUGGUUGAUAGAGUGUCAACAUGAGAUGUGAUCAAGACUUUGACUCGACUACGUGAAAUUUAACUCCUAAGAGCUACAGUAUAUCCUUGAAUUAUUUCUGUUUAAUUUUCCUAUUCGAAAUGUGAAUUAUUUGAACUUGAUAGCUUUAUUUAUUAUGUAAAUUGUGGCUACUUGGAUUACAUGUUUGCAUGUGUGUUUCUUGGCCUCGCUGAGUAUUGGCUCAUUCCAUUAGUCUGUUUUCCUUAACAGGAACCCGAUUGGAAGGAGUUAAGGAAAUGUCGACUUGAGGCACUUUUGUAUUAGUGUUUUGAUUGUAAUCGACUAAACACUUUUGGAUGUUGUAUAUUUUGCGAAAAGUGAUUGUAAAUUUGAAAUGGUGAUGUAAGACUGUAUCUAUGGAAAUGACUUCGUACCUUUAUUUCGACUUUCAUUGUUAGUAUUAAACUGGGUUUGAAUUGGGAUUGUCUCGAGUCCUGACGAGAGUUGGACAGGCGUCCCGCAGAUACCCUUGGGUUCGCCCUUGGAGAAGUGGGGGCGUCACAAGGGAGACACGUGGAGGGAGCGUAGGUAGGGAGUAAGUGAAAGAUGUGGAGUUUUGGGGGUGAAAAAAUAAAAAUAAAAAAUGGAAAAUGAAACGGUUUGUCCUGACAGCUGAGCAAAUGUUCAAGUGGUGGUGUUGUGCUAGAUUAGAUUCUUUCUCUUGCACGGAUGAAAAGGGAAAGAUUGCUUCAUCCUCAAGGCCGAAAAAGGAAAAGUAGUAGUAGUAAUAAUAAUAAUAAUAAUACCUUUUCUUCUGAUAUUUCUUUUAAAUUUUAGAUUAAUUUUUACUUUGUCAAUAUAUACAUGUGUGUAUACACUGAAAGAUUUCAAUACAUAAUAUAUCAUUUCAAUUUAUAUUUAAAUACCAAAUUUUGCAUAUAUAACAUGUAUAUAGAUCUACAAGUGUAUACACUUGGGGAUGGCAACGGGACAGAUUUGGAACAGGGGAUCUGUGAUGACCCAGAAAAUUAUUUUCUCACCUCUCAACUAUUUGCAUUUUUAUUUAAAUUAUAUUUUUAUAAAGUUUGCAUUCAUUUAGUGAUUUACUUGUUAAUUGUUAAACGAGUUUCUCUUACUUGUUUAUUUUAAUUUUCGAGCGAUUAAUUUCUUGAAAAUUGUUGAUUUUGCGAUUUAUUAGUGAAUUUGGCCAAAACCCUAGAAGAAUGUAAGUUGAGAUAUUAGUGGAGUUAGGAAAGAUUUUGAGACUUAAAAGAAGGUUAGAAAAGCUAAGGAUGGAUGGUAAGAAAGUUUAAGUGGAAGACACUAUUUGGGCACUAUUCAAAGUUGACCUUGAGAACCUUUCUUGUGGCUUGAAUAUUAACUCCAAAAAACAACCAAAAGCCUUCAUUUUUUCUCCUUGGCCGCCAAACCAUAGAGAUAGGAAGAGAGAGUGAGAGACUUCAAAAUUUCUUAAGAUUCUUGAAGAUCCAAGCUACCCUUUCAUCAAUCUACUUGAAACCUUGGAAGAUCUUGAGAGAAGAGGGCUCCUAGGAGUGGAUCUUGCUAUCUUCUUGAAGAGGUAAGUGACUAAUCUACUUCAUUCUUUAACUUUUCAACCAAUUUUGGACUAGAUCUUGGUGGAUUUAUAAUAUUUAUGGAAAACCUAUGGUGGAUUUGAAAGUUUUAUGGAAGUUUAGUAUUAGAUGCUUUAAUGAUCUUGGUUCACUUAAAUCUUGGUAUAUUUGGCUAGAAAUUGGUGGAAUCUUGUCUCUUGAUAUCCUAGGGUUAAUGAUUGAUGAAACCCUUAAGGAUUUGAGUGUGAUUUAUAGUUAUUGUUGGUGAAAAUUGAAGAGUAUGUAUGCUGAAAUUUCUGGUUUAGAUGGCUAAUUAUCAUGGGCAAAAUUUUCAGCUUUUACCUUCCUUGAAUUUGAGGCUUAUUUGUACACUUGAGUUGGAAUUUUUUUAGGAGAAUUGAUGCUACUUGAUUCUAUGUAUGUUGGCUGAAGUAUGUUCAAAAUUUUGUAGGAAAAAUGAAGUGGUAAUGUUGGUUAUCUUGUUGGAACAAGGUUGCGAAAGCUGGAAAAACGGCCUAAGAUUAGCCGAAAUUGUGAGCUAAAACCCCAACUUUAAUUUUGUUAUUUUAAAAAACUGUUUUGGAUGAAUUUUAGCUCAAAAGAUUCUAUUGGAACUUGAUCUUGGUAUGUGUAAUGAUUUUGGAUCAAAAUCUUGAAGUUAAAAGGGGAGAAAAGUAAGAUUUCCUCCAAAGUUUAGUGGUUGACAAUUUUAUGGAUUGAUUUGACUUUGGAUCCUUGUUUUCAUGAAAUUUUGGUCGGUUUAGUUCAAGAAACCCUAUUAAACUGUGAUUCUUGUUUAUAAGAUGAUUUUUGGGACAAAAGCUACAAAUGUAAGUAUUUGAAAAAAAUGGACUUUUGUUAUGAUUUGCUUGCUAGAAAACUUGUAGGAGUGGAAAGCCUUGUUUGAACGUUCGAAAUGCAAUUGCGCUAUUGAAAGUUGUAUUUUCACUUGAAUUGUCAAUUUUAAAGCCUAAAUGGGUUGAAGUGUCUAGGACACUAAAGUCGACUAAUUUGAAAACAAAGUUUUCGUACUUAAGUGAGUUGAUUUGGUGAACAAUAAGGGUUCACUUAUAUGUGGUAAUUGUUUGCUAGGUUGCAAUCUGAACGUGCAAGAAAUCCUUCUAUAGAUGCUUAAGUGCUAUUUGUAAGUGUUCUAAGUGCAUGUUUGUGAAGACCCAAAUUCUUGCUAUUUUACUUCAUUUUAACCUAGUUGCACCUCUUUUUUUUUUGAAUAAUUAAUGACUUGAAUAAUUUUUGCAUCUGCAUAAAUUUUAGAACUAUUGCAUGUGAAGUGCGCGAGUGCCACAAACGCGACUUUUACCGAGUUAUUUGAGGGCAUUUAGUGAAAAAAGGAUUGAGGAAGCAGAAUAUUAAGAUUAUUUGGUAAGAAGAUAUAUUGGAACAAAACACCACAAGAUUUUAUUUAGUUGCACCACUAUUCAAGAAGUCAACUCUUCAAUCUUGUCUAAGAAAAAAAGCUUUCUUGCCUUUCAUUUCUUUCUUUCAUUUUGAACCACAAGAGAGAGAAAUAGAGAGAGAGGGUGUGAGGACUCGCAAAUUCCUUGUAUUUUUCCUCAAAAAUACCCUUUUAUUUGAAAAUUAGUAUUUAUCAAAGGCCACUACCCAAAUAUUUCACUCUAAGUGUAAAUAAACCUAGAAAAUAGGGUUUUACGCUUCGGUUUCAAGUUUGGAGCGAAAUUAGGGUUUUCGCGAUUUUUAGCCGGAUGAAUUUUCGGUACAGAAUAAGAAUUAAUUUGGGGAUUAAAAGUGACUUUUAAGUGAGAAAUAAUAUGUGACUAGUGGCAAUGAUAUAAGGUUAGUGAAUGGGAAAUAAAAACCCUAGUACGUGAGUUUUUAAGAAAAACGGCGCGAUCCGGCGGGUCCCGCGCAUUACCGAUUGAACGCACCGCUUGACCACCAUUUUUCUUACCCAACAAGUUGUUGACUUUUGCACAUAAUAUCUUCUCUCUUGGCAGCAUGUUGACCGAAAAUUGGUGGCUAAGAAAGGCAAGAAAGAAAGAGAAAAAAAAAAAAAAGAAAGGGUGGUGGUGGUGACACUUGUCACCACCUCAUGGCUUCUUACCAAGACAAACUCCAUCCAUAUAACCUUAACACUUAGCCAAUUCUUCCUCAUUUCUGCUGGUGCUGGCCGAACUUAGCUUGGAGAAAACACCAAGGAAGAUUUCUUCAUUUCACCUUCAAAUCCAACAACUUAGUGAGAAAAUCCACAAAGUAAACCGAUUAAACCUACUCUUGAGUGAUUAUCUAGUGAUUGGUGGUGGAAAUUUGGGAAGAGAAAGCUUGGGGCUGCUCUUAGGGACUUCUAAUCAAGGUAAGAGGAUGAUAUCUCUCUAACUUUCUCUUUCAAUCAUGGUUAAAGUAAGCUUGGUAGCUUGAUUGGUGGUAGAUUCAUGGAUGCUAGCAUGUGUAGGAGUUUUUCCCCAAUUUAUUUGAUGAACUAGGGUUUCUGAAUUUCUGCUCAAGUUGAAGUAUGAUGCAUGAAUGUUGCAAUUAAAGUUAUAUAAGGUUGUUUAGUGGUGAUUAGAACCAGAAAUUUGAGGAAAUUACACUUAGAGCUAAAAAUUCCAGAUUUCUGGAAAAUUUCCCAAGCAUUCUGUCCGAAAUUGUACCUAUAUGUUAGAGGCCGAAUUGGCCUUUGGUCAAAGAAGGAAAGUUGUAGAGAAUGGUGUUUUAUAAGUGCUGUAAAAUUUCAGCUCAAUCGGAGCAACGUAGGAUGUGAAAAGUCCAAAAUACCCCUACUGUUUUAAGAAUUUCCCAGCAGUCCGUUUCUUCAGUUCAGUCCAGUUUAUCACGAUUUUUGACCAGGAUCCAUUCUGAUUUAGCUCUGGGCCAAAACAUAAAAGUUGUAGUGUUCUGAAGUAGCUUUAAAAUGCCUCAAAGAAAACCUGAUUCGGACUUGUGUACACUGAGUUAGGUCCGUUACAGCAUAAUGCGUUUAAACUGCCGGUGAAUUGGUUUCUGGUUUAGUAAUCUGAGAUUUUGACUAAGUUACAUUAGGAAAUGGACUAAGUGACCUUCAUGAAUGUUGUAGCUCUGUGUCUUAGCUUCGAAACGGCAUAGGUUUCGUUUUAAUCCGAUAAGCGUAGCCUCAGGUAUGGUAUUACCGCAUUUGUACGUCAAAUCUGUCUUGAACUACAUUGCGUUUCUGCACUUGUACUUGAUGCGAUUCGUGUUGUUAUGAUAUUGUGAGCCUAUGGAACGGCUCUUGACAUAAAUUGCUUAUUUGUAUGAUGUUGGGAUGUUGUUGAAGAAAAAUAAUGAAGCCUAAAUGGCUGGAAAUUAGGUAAACACAAAGGGCAUGCUGCCCAAUUUUUACUCGAGGUCUAGAAAACUCUCUUUGUGACUUGAGUGAAGGUUAAGUGAUUAUUCCUUGAACUAUCGAGGACCUUUGUCAUUUGUUUAUCAAGGGUUAUAUGUUAGGACUUGACCGAACUUGUACCCUUAGGAAAACGAUAUGAAUCACUACGAAACCGUUUUAUUUGCACUUUUGACUCAAGAGUCAUCUUCAAGCAAAAAUGUUAUCAAAUUUUUCAGUUUGAAGAGCGAGCAACUAUUUCACGACUACUCUCCAAGUGAAUUCCAGUUUCUUGAUUUUGAUUGAAUAAAACGUCUAAGUUUCGAAUCUUAGUCAUAUUUCAAAGUUCUCAAACUGAGUUUUAUCGCAGAUUUGGACUCCGAACCCGGAGUAUACCCUGAAAGUGAUCAAUAAAGGCACUAUAUCUUUUGGUGAGUGCUUUCAAAUACUGAAUUGAACUUGAUACUUGAACUUGAUACAUGACCAAUAUGAGUACAUGUUAUAUACGUGAAUUGAUAGGGCAAGAGUGUACUUUAUCGCACUUGCCCUUACGUGAUAUACUUGUUUAUUGAUUGCAAUUGACUUGAUAUACUCGUUCAUGAUGUGCGCACUUCCUGGAAUUCCGGAAACCCUGUGGCGAGUUACUCGAGUCGAGCCGGCAAGGGCCUGGUCGAUUAGAUAACAAACCCUGGGUCACUUGUAAUGUCGAGUGGAGUGUUAUCUCCUCGACUAACGGUAUACUCGAGUAUUACCACCCAUGUUUAUUGAGGAUUUUGGGCCCAGUAGGGGGUGUGAAUGGUGGACGGAGAGUCGUGUAAGUGGUGUUCUACUGGAUUGGUUACUUACUUGAAAGUUGACGGAGUGUCAACUACUACGUGAUCAAGCUUCUGGUAAUGAAAUGGGAAUUUGGCUCCUGAGAGUCAUCCGUAUCCUUAUACUUUGGAGUGAUUAUUGCUUAUUGGAUUAUUGUUGCUUGUGAAAAACUUCUACACUCGCUCAUUUUGAGAUUGCUACUUGACGUGUUAUUGUUCACAUUUAUGAACUCUUCAUGCUCGUUACUUUGCUAUAUCGAAACUUGUACAAAAAAAAAUAAUGGUCAAUUUGCUAUUUGGAACCUCACUGGGCUUUUAGCUCAUACCACGCUAUUUGUUUUCCUUACAGGGAUACGAGUGACGCGCGAGACUUGUAAAAGCUAGCGUAGCCUUUUGUUUUGACUUUUGACUUUUUGGUCUUGUACUCGCGCUAUUCCUUGAUUGGAACAUGAUGUACUUGGAUUGUAUACGUUUUGAGCUAGUUUGGUGUAUUAAGACUUUGUACCCCGUUUUCUAUCAAUGUAAAUUAUAAGCUUGAAUUGUGAAUGUUAAUUAUGGUUCAUGGAUGUGUGUACAUGACUCGAUUGAGUUAGUGAGUGAGUCCUGGCGAGAGCUGGGCAGGCGGUCCGCCGAACCCUUUGGUAUGCCUUAGGGGGAGGUGGGGUCGUCACAGAUGGUAUCAGAGCUCUUAUUGAGCUCGUGCCGGGAGAGGGUUCUCGGACUGUGGGGAUUGACUUGUUAAGUAUGGAACAAUUGUCUAUUGUUGGGGAUCUUAGAUAUGUAUGUUGGGUAGGAAUCUCUAAUAGGGUGAUUUGCUCUUGAGCCUGGCCAGCUUGAGUGGUGAAUUAUCAUAUUUUCGGAUUCUUGUCCCCGAAUACCAAAGAGUGACAUCUUUACGAUUAGCUGAGAUCUCGUGUAAUAUUUGGAUAAGUUUGGAUGGUGAAAGCAAAGGCACAGGGAAUGCGAGUAGUCUGGACUUGAAAAAUAUUGAAGAUAUUCAUGGGAUUUGGGAUCUUUCUUAUUCAUGUGUUUCGAGCCUUGAUUAAGUAUAUGCCUGAGCGAUACCUAGGGUUAAUGCUCGAUAAGUUAUGUGACUUGUUUUGCUCGAAUGUAUUGUAUUGCCUUGUUUUAUGAUUUAGAGGGGUUAUGAUUUGCAAUAUUCUGUUUUAUGUUGUUUGUAUUUAUAUAGUUACUUAGUGGCUAUGAUCUAUUAUUGAUUAGUUGGUUAUAUUGUUCUAGUUUAUUAGCUGCGAAACAUGGAAGAUAAAAGAAGUCGGACCAAGAAAACUAAUCGAGAACGCGGUUCUAGGCGAGGCCGUGAAGGUGAACAAGCACAGGAACUGGUGCCAGAACCGAGAGAGGAGAGGGAGGCAGCGGUUGAGCAGCAACCUGAACCCCAGACUGUCGGGGGAGAUCAGGUGGCCACUGCCAUCCAACAGAUGACUAAUAUUUUGACUCGGUUGGUGAGCAACAGGGUCAAGGUUCUGUAAACCAACCUAGAGACCCUGAUAUGGGGCAGGAUAGAGCUUUGGAGAGAUUCCAAAAGUUCUCCCCACCCAAGUUUUUAGGAGGGCCAGACCCGUAUGAGGCUGAGAAAUGGCUGGAGGCCAUGAUAAAUAUCUUUGCUGCCCUAAACUAUACUGAGGAGAGACAAGUCCAAUUUGCUGUAUUUCAGUUUGAGGGGCCAGCUAGGGCUUGGUGGAAUGUAGUGAGGGCCAAGUGGGAGAGAGAGGGAACUGCCUGGACUUGGCUAAAUUUUGCACGGGACUUCAACGAAAAAUACCUUCCACCCAUCGUCCAGGAGAAGAGAGAGGACGAAUUCAUUAAACUCCGUCAGGGGAUGUUGAGUGUAACUGAGUAUGAGACUCAGUUUACAAAGUUGUCCAAAUUUGCUCCUGAACUGAUAGCUACGGAGCCGAGAAAAGUACGGAGGUUUAUACAAGGACUGAAUGUGGAAUUACAAGAAGCCUUAGCAGCGGUCCAAAUUAAUACUUUCACGGAGGUUCUGGAGAAAGCCUUGAGGAUAGAGACUGCUAGGGCACAAGUGAGAGCUUUCCAUGCAAAAAGGAGAGGUGCGCCUGGUGGAAGUCAAAGGCAAGGACAAAGUGAUUUUGAUAUGCCACCUUCUAAGAUAAGCCGAGGAGAUAGUAGUGAGAAAAUUUCAGGGAUAUCUAAGGAAAGUACUCCAAGAGGAGCUUCGCGUGGCUGGGGUCAAGCAAGAGGUGCCUCACAAGGAGGUCAGACCUCAACCCCUCAAGUACCUUGCGGGUACUGUGGGAAGGCCAAUCACGUGGAGAGUGAUUGUUGGCGAAAGGCGGGAAAAUGUUUAUGGUGUGGUAGCACCGAACACCAGCUUGCAACCUGUCCCCGUAGAUCACGCCUAAACCCUGAACAAGCAAGUGUAGGAGGGACUAAGCCAAGAGUGCCAGCUAGAGCGUAUGCCUUGAACCAACAGGCAGUACCUGAACCAACAGAGAUAGUAGAAGGUACGAUUCGUGAUUUCUAUUGUUUCUCUAAGUUUUGGCUAUAGUGAGACCUGAGAGCCGGAAAUGAAUAUAUAAGGAAAGUACCCUACGUUAUUCGAAGUGCAUGUAUGAAUUUCGAGGUCGAAAUUCUUUUAAGGGGGAGAGAAUGUGAGGACUCGCAAAUUCCUUGUAUUUUUCCUCAAAAAUACCCUUUUAUUUGAAAAUUAGUAUUUAUCAAAGGCCACUACCCAAAUAUUUCACUCUAAGUGUAAAUAAACCUAGAAAAUAGGGUUUUACGCUUCGGUUUCAAGUUUGGAGCGAAAUUAGGGUUUUCGCGAUUUUUAGCCGGAUGAAUUUUCGGUACAGAAUAAGAAUUAAUUUGGGGAUUAAAAGUGACUUUUAAGUGAGAAAUAAUAUGUGACUAGUGGCAAUGAUAUAAGGUUAGUGAAUGGGAAAUAAAAACCCUAGUACGUGAGUUUUUAAGAAAAACGGCGCGAUCCGGCGGGUCCCGCUCAUUACCGAUUGAACGCACCGCUUGACCACCAUUUAUCUUACCCAACAAGUUGUUGACUUUUGCACAUAAUAUCUUCUCUCUUGGCAGCAUGUUGACCGAAAAUUGGUGGCUAAGAAAGGCAAGAAAGAAAGAGAAAAAAAAAAAAGAAAGGGUGGUGGUGGUGACACUUGUCACCACCUCAUGGCUUCUUACCAAGACAAACUCCAUCCAUAUUGUCGCGCCCCCCACUUUUUUUUGGAAAAAAUAAAAUAAUUUGUUUUUGUUGAAUUUUAUUGAUUUGGGAAAAAUGAAUUUUGUUGAUAAAAACAAAAAUGGGUCUAAAUGGGACUUUUGAAAAUGCGACGAUUUGACCCAAGAAAAAUAGUUCAAAAAGGGUUUUUUAUAUGAAAAAUGGAGUCGCCACUUGGUAUAGAGUUAGGGUGUACCAAGUCACCCAAAAAGUGAAUUUUUAAAGGAAAAAAAAUAAAAAACCCUUUUGAACGACUCCUAGUCCACGCAAACAAAGAAAAAGGUUCGGGAGUCACAUUUGACGAAGGGGAAGGCAAGGAUAAAAAUCCAAGGCACCCCUUCGACCUAGCCAAGGCUAGUUGCGUGAUUUAACCCUUAUUUUCCUAAUUUUUCCUACCCAAAGUAUGUAUUUGCAAUUUGGACAAAGACUAAUGAAUGAGAAAUGCAAUCCUAAAUUCUAUGAUGUCUCUCGUGAGGUUUUUGGUCCCAAACCACAUGAAUUGUGGCGGCCAAUAAAGGGAAACCUCAUAGAGGUCGAUUGAUGCAAAUGGUGACUCAAGUGCAAGUGUGCAAGUGUAUGAAAAGAUUCAUGUAUGAAAUAAUGUAAAAAAAAAAGUGUUUGUGUGCGAAUGUGUAAAGAAAGUGCAUGUGUGAAUUUGUAUGAAAAUCAAAGUGCUUGUGUGUGCAAAUGAAUGAAAAUAGAAUAGUACAUAUAUAAGUGAAACUUGAAUUUCAUUUGUGAAGUAAAGUAAAUAAAUGAUAAAGAUGUAGUGAAAAAUAUGGAUUGAGAAAUGUAAGAAAAAUGUGAUUAAAAGAGUAUGGAAGUGAUAAAAAUGAAAGUAUGACCCUAGGGGAAUGCAACAAGUCGGGUACGGGGGUUGACUUCUAACUUUUCGACUUCGAUUUUCCCUUUGAUUAGAAGGCGAAACUAGCGUGCUAAGGCUAUCGAGUAGCCACACUCGCUCGUUUCCCUUAUCGGAAGGGGAUUUUCAAGCAAAUGAACCCUAACUAGCAUGAGAUGCAAGUCCUAAAGUGAAGGGGAAGGGGUUUGAGGAACAUGCCAAAUGGUAAACUAAGGAAAUGCAUGAUAUGUGGUGAUCAUGCACUUAAUGAAAAAGGAAAGAAAAAAAAGAACCUAUUGGGUCUAGCAUUGGACUAGCCCAUUCUAUGAAUUCCGACCAGCGUUGGACUAGUGGAAACGAUAAAAAAGCCACAACUAGCGUUGGACUAGUGUGGUGACGUACAUUCAUCCAUUCCAUUCAUCUAUACUACAAAAAGCGAGUAGACAUGCGAUUCACUUAUAAACACGUAGCACAUAACACUUAGCAUGCCCAACAUCACCUAUUCCAAUUGUUUUAGCUUUCACAUCAUCACCAAAUGUCACUUUUCCACUUGAUCUUGAUUUCAGCUUUAUGAACAAAGAGGGAUCACCGGUCAUAUGCCUUGAACAACCGCUAUCAAUGAACCAUUUGGACUUGUGUGAGCAUUUUUCCUGAAAAGAGAAAGUGUUUGGUACCCAUUUUAAUUUUUGGGUCCAUAAUAGUUAGCAUUAUAUUUAACUAACCACAUGCAUUUCAUCCCUUUGUUCAGAUUUCUUUUCACAUAGCAAUCACUUUUCAAAUGCCCUCUUUGACAACAAAAACCACACAUAAUGGAAGAGUCCUUAACAUGUACUGGUUUGACAUAUCUUAAUCCACCUUUUCUAUAUGUUGUGAAACCAUGUGCAUUUUUGUUGUGUGCAAAUGUUCUUUGAAAAAUAGUAGGAUGUGUAGGUGACAUGUUCCUUUUGAUAAACUCCUGCUUUCUUGCUUUCAACGUCUCAUCCAAUUUGUCCAUUCUCCUUUUUAAAUCACCAUGUCUUUCCUUCAGCAAUUUACAAAUAUUUGUCUUUCUAUCAAGCUCAUUCUGAACAUCAAAUCCGGCUCUUACAAGACAUUCAUUGUCAGUUUUUAGUUGUUUAUUUUGUUGAAGGAGACAUGCAUUUUCAUGAAUGAGAAAAGCAAUUUUCUGUUUUAGCAGCUUGUUCUUAUCAUAAGAUUCCUUCAAAGCAUUAUGCAGUUUUUCAACAAAUGAUUCAAGAUCAUCAUCUUCUUCAUCAUCACUUUCAGAUUGAGAGUGUAUGGAAGUUACCUCAUUAUCUCCUAUAGCCAUGAAGGCCAUUUGAGCUGAUUCUUCCUCUUCUUCAACUUCCCCUUCAGAGUUGCAUUCAUUCCAAGUAAUCUGGAAGUUGUUGAAUCUUGGCUUUCGAUCAGCUUUUCCAUCUUUCAUUUUCUUCAUGGGGCAUUCGUUUGCAUAGUGUCCAGGCUGUCCACAUUCAUAGCAUUUGUCCACUUGCUUCUUGUUGAAUUCUUGUUUUCCUUUGUUCCUUGCAUUUGAUGAAUAAUUUUGGAAUUGAUUGCUAGGUCCUCCCUUUCUGAACUUUCUUUUAUUCAAGAUUCUUUUGAAGCCUCUUGUGAUGAGAGCAAGAUCAUUAUCAUCACCAUCCGAAUCUUCAUCAUCCAAGUGAGCUGGAUCAUCUUCACUUUGAGUAAUCUUUAGAGCAAUAUUUCUUUUUGCUCUAGCAUCCUCUUCCUCCUGCACUUUUGAUUUCAGUUUUAACUCAUAAGAGGUUAGUGAGUUAAUGAUAGAUUCAAUAGGCACAGAACUUAAAUCCUUAGCCUCCUCUAUUGCAGUCACUUUAUUUUUCCAUUCUUUGCCCAAUGCAUUGAGAAUUUUUCUGUUCUUUUCUCCCAAGGUGUACUCUUUGCCCAACACCUCGAGAUCUUUGAUCAAGUCAGUGAACCUGCAAAACAUUUUGUCAAUAUCCUCAAGAGGUUCAAUCUUAAAAGAUUCAUACUUUGUGACCAAGAUGGCCUUCCUCUGUUCUCUCACAUUGUCACCACCCUCAUGGAUUUCUCUUAACUUAUCCCACAUUUCUUUGGCUGAUUUACAGCCUUUCACUCUAAUUGAUUCAUUUGAAUCUAAGGCACUAUAAAGAACAUUCAUGGCCUUGGCAUUCAAUGUGAGGUUAGUCCUGUCUUGAGCAUUCAUUUCAACUCUCAUUUUUGGCCGAAGCAGCCCUGUAUCUGCAUCAAGAAAGUUAGCUUCAUGCGGUCCUUCACUCACAAUAAACCAUAGUUCAAUAUCAAUAGAUUGUAAAAAGAUAAUCAUCCGUUCUUUCCAGCUAACAUAGUUAGAGCCACUGAACAUGGGAGGCCUAGUAACAGAUUGUCCCUCAACAAACAUAGCAUGACUGGUUGUCAUCUUUACUCCAAGCCGUUAGAGCUUAAUCUCAAGGAGACCAAGCUCUGAUACCAAUUGUAAGUCCCAAAGACAACCAAGAGGGGGGGUGAAUUGGGUUAUUCAAAAUCUUAAUCAGAUUUAGGCAAUUUUUGCUAAAUGAAAAUUUCCUUCUUUUCUAGUAAUGAUCAACCAAGUAGAUUAGAAGACAAGAGCAAUAUUGAUCAAAAACACAAGUAUAAACAAGCAAUGAGAAUUUUAUUAAACAGAAAAGUAAAUUUGGGGAAUCAAACCAAGUGUCUACCAAGCUAUCCUCAAACUUGAAGACCACACACUAGGAAGAGCAACUUCUCUUUGAUGGAAGACGAUCAACUAGAUGUACAAUGGAGGGAGCACUUCCUCCUUGCCCCAAGCCUCACUUAGUCAAGCUAAGAAGUUUUACAAUCACUCAGAAAACCCUCAACAAAGCUACACUAAAGAUCCUUUCAAUCACAAAAGAAAUGCUCACCAGAAAUUCACACCACUUUAAAACAAAUCUAGCUUUGGAGACUAUUUUCUAGUUAAAAUAUCUCCUGAGAUCUUGUAAACAAAGUGUGCAAAAGUCUCUACUUCGUUCAGACCAGUUUGAUUUUAAAGGGAACCAGAAAUGGGCUUCAUCAAUGCUUCCAACGGAUAGAAGGCAGCUGAAGAGUCAACUAGCCGUUGGGGCUGUCGGACGUCCGACGAUCAAAUCAUCGUCCGAACCAAUCGUCCGAUGGCAUCCUAGUUGACGUUCGGACGUCCGAUGCGUCUUGAUCGUCCGACACCGCAGCGUCCGAUCGUAGGCAGAGAGUUGGCAAGUUAGCUUGGAAUUUUUCGGACGUCCGAUGCGGUUGAUGAGCGUCCGAUGGCAAGCGUCCGAUCCUUCCGGACGUCCGAUGCUUCCUCACGAGCGUCCGACAGAGCUUCCUUCUUGAUGCUCUUUAUCCUUUCGGACGUCCUACAGAUUCCUUUCGGCCGUCCGACGUGAGUAUUCUGUUUUUGCUUCUUCUUUUGGUUGAAAUGCAUUUCAUGACCUAUUCAUACCUGAUUCUUUGAUAUGUAAAGACACUUAUAAUCGAAGAAGGUUAGAUACAUUUCAAAAUACUUUGUGAUCAUCAAAACCAAGAAUAACAUACCCAAUCACCCUACAAUGAGUGUAAAUGAAUGUAGAAGUAAGGGUUUCGUUGUCCGUUUUCAAGAUAGGGCGAAUUAGGAUUUUCACGUUUUUCUGUAGUAUGACUAUUCGGUAUGGAGUGAGGAUCAAAAUUGGGAGGUAAGAGUGAAUUUUGGAUGAGGAAAUAUUAUAUAAUUUGAAGUGAUAUUAAUAAGUUAGUGAUUAGAAGGUAAAACCCCUAGUAUACGUGAUUUAAGAAAAUCGGCUCGAACCGACGAAUAUCGAUCACCACCGAUUGAACCCACCACUUGACCACCACUUCCCUACCACCACAUACCCUUGAUAUUUUUGUAAAAUAUCCCCCUCAUCCUCAGCCAUAUAACUGAAAUAUGUGGCCAAAAUGCAAGGAAAAGAAAACAAAAUUUUAGUUGGUUUUGGUGAUGACAAGUGUCAACCACCUAUGGUUCCUUGACCAACCUUUUGUCUUGCCUUCUUAUCUCUCAUUUCAGCUCAUUUUCCCUCAUUUUCUUUUUGUUGUGGCCGAGAGCAAGGGGAGGUAAAGGAGUGAGGAGAGUUUCAAUCUUCUACCUUGAAUCCAACCUUUUGAGUGCAACCAAGAAAAACUAAACUGAUUAAUCACUAGUUUGGAAGCUUGGGAAGCUUAAGGAAUCAAAAAUUUCAAGGAGAGGUGGAGGAUCAUUCUUGCAAGCUCUUGUCUUGAGGUAUAAUGGCUGAUCAACCUUUCUUUCCCCAUUAAUCAUGAUUAAGUUGGGUAUUAAUGGUAGUAUUGUGCUUGUGAUGCUUGUUUCAAGUGAUUUUGAUGAUUAGAUGGAUGACUUUUGAGUUAGGGUUUCUUAUGGGUUAGGAGUUGUAUGAUGUAUAUAUGUGGUAUAUAAUCUUGUAAAGGAGAUAGUAGUGGUAGUUUCAAGGUAAAAAUGAGAAGUAUAGCUUGAAUAUAGCAAAAUUCCAGAUUUCUGGAAAUUGUAGCUUUAGUUCUGUCCGGUUCUAUUUCAUCAUGUUAGAGGCCGAACUAGGCUUAGCACAAAACAUGAAAGUUGUAGAGAAUGACAUUUUAUGGUUGCCUACAAAAUUUCACCUCAAUCAGAGCAACAUAGCCUGUGAAAAGAUGAAAUACCCUGACUGCCCUAGGAGUAAAGUCAGUGGACAGUUUUGACAGUACACUAAGUUGGUUGCAUUUAUUCACCUUGAUACGUACUGAAAUAGCUUUUAGUCAAAACAUGAAAGUUUUAGUACUUUGUCUUAGCUUUUCAACGCCUCCAAGAACGCCUUAAAAGGACUUUGGUAACUUGAUAUAUGGCCAUUUGGAGGUAGUAUGGUUAACUGGCCGGUUAGUUGGAAUUUGGUUCUGUGAAUUGGGAAUUUGACUGGGUUAUACUGGAAUUUGGACUAAGUGAUCUUCAUGAAAAUUGUAGGCCUUUGUCUUAGCUUCGAAACGGUAUAAAUUUCACCCCAAUACGAUAAACGUAGCUUCGGUUGUGUCCGUUACGUAAAAACCAUGUCAAAUCUGUCUUUUGCUAAACCUCAUUUCCGCACAUGUCGCUAGCUUGAUUUUGUACUUGUAUUACCUUGAGCCUAUUGAACGGCUAUUGUGAUAAAUUUAUAUUGUGUAUGACUUUGGGAUUGGCUGAGGAAAAUAAUGAAGCCGUAAAUGGCUGGAAAAUUGGGUAAAUACAAAGGGCAUGCUGCCCAAAUUUACGCUCGAGGACUAGAGAAAUAUACUUGCGACUUGAGUAAGGGUUAAGAGUGAUUACUACUUGAACCAUCUAGGAUAUUUGCGUCUUCUUUUACCGAGGUAUAUAAGUAAGGACUUGGCCGAGCUUUUACCCUUGAGAAAUAAAAUAACGACUGCUCGGAGUAUGUUUUCCUUGUACUUUCAACUCAAAAGUUAUUUCCAAGUAUACAUGUUACAAAAUUUUUCAGUUGGAAAAGCGAGCAAGUGUUUCACGACUAUUCUCCAAGUGAAUUUCAAUUUCUUGAUUCUUAUUGAACGAAAUGUCUAAGUUUCAAAUCUUAGUCGAUUUUCAAAGUUCUUAAUUCAAGUUUUAUCGCAGAUUUGGACUCCAAACCCGGAGUACAACCCAGACGCGAUCACUAGAGGCACUACUUUUGGUGAGUGCUUCCAAAUAUCUGAUUGAACUUGAUAUUUGUGAUUUAUCUUUGACUAAUGUGAUUACAUGAUAUAUAAGUGAUUUGAUAGGGCAAGGGUGUACUUUAUCGCACUUGCCCUAACGAGAAUUGUUCUUGUUCAUCGAUUUCAAUUGAUUUGCUCUACUUUGCAUGUACCUUAUAAGUAUCAUAACCCUGGUUUCUUAUGACCUAACUAAGUGUUCAAAACAUGAUUUCUAGUUGCACCUAUUGACUUUCAAAUAGUGACAAAAAAAACAAAAACUAGAAAACUAGUUACGCUAUAUUUUUUUUUCCCUAAAAGAUUUUUUGUUUUGAUCCAAAGUGGCUUGUAUGUUCUUAGAAUGUGUUUAGGUAUCUCACAUAUUUAUGGGAUUUUGAAUCAAGUGCUCUUGCAUAUGACUUUUUAAUUUGAUUGACUAAACCCUUAAAUGUGGACGUUUUCUUCCUUAGUGUUUAAGUUGAGCUUCAUGGCUAUGGCUAUCUUCUUAUACGAGUAUUGUGAUUUGAAUUUGAUAAAUUCUUGGUAUAAUAUCUAUGUACUUUAACCACAGAGUUCACGGGCGAGCCAAGGGACGAUUCGGUGAUUAGCUCCGAUUACCUUCGCUAGUGGUGAGUGUUCCUUGCAUGCGUGUAUGCUAUGUGAUUUUCUUGUAUAAUACUGGAUAACUGUCAUACCAUUAUUAGGCGGGUGUGUACUUUAUCACACUCGACCUACUCAAAACUAAAUUUCUAUGUUUUCACUGAUACUGACUGCUACUGACCUACUGUACUAACUGCUACUGACCUACUGCACUGACUGCUACUGACCUACUGCACUGUCCUUCUAGUCCGAGACACUCGAGCAGGUCCUCCAAAUGAGCACCUAUCUCCUGGACACUCGAGACACUGUUCAGUUGAGAGGCUCAAGCAGUGUUCUUCUCGAGAACACCAUCUCCUAGUUGAAAGUGCCACUGCGCAUGUGAUUAAAUUAUGUGUUACAACGUCUGUGUGUUCAUUUCAUCCAAUGAUCUCUUAUUAAUUUUAAGUGUUGGGAACUGGCGGUCAUGACGGACUGGAGUAGCUUCAAGAGUAUCCUUUGACAUAAAUUGACUUAUUUUGUCCUUAUUCAACUGAUUAUAUUAUGCAACUGGUUCUCGUUGUAACUGAAAUUGUUUAACUGUUGCUUACUUCUUUCUCUAAAUUGUGAUAUUUGUGUGACUGUUUGGGGCCUCACUGAGCUUUAGCUCACUCCUUUAGUUUGUUUUCCUUAAUAGGGGGCGGAGGACCCUGAGGAGCAAGUUGCAGGUCCUAAACUUUCGAUACUUUUGUGUAAAUGGCUUUAGAGAGCAUUUUGUAGCUUUAGUUUUUGUUACACUCAAGGUCGGGUAGUUAACAUGAACGUAAAUUUUGACGGUAUAUACUAAGGUGAUUGUAAAUUAGAAUUUUGUCCUUUGGAAUUGCAAGUGGGGAGUUUGGUUGUAAUGCAAGUACUUUGUUUAUGUAAGUUUAUCUUUUGACUUAACCUUUAAGUUUGGAAUGUUAUUUGGUUUAUUAAUAUCCUUUUGGAGUUUGAGAUGUAAUUUAUCUGAGGACUGUAGUGAGUCCCGGCGAGAGCUGGGCAGACGGUCCGUCGAACCCUCUGGUUCGCCUUAGGGGGAGGUGGGGCUGUUACAAUUGGUAUCAAAGCUUAGGCUAUCGAUCUCUAUAGCGUAUCUUAGACUUAAUUGUUUAGGAUGCUGGACUAUGGGAUAGAUUCGGAAGUUAAGUAUAUGUUAUAGGGAUGAAGGUUUAUAGUAGUUUGGGAAGAAUCUAUUUGGUAUGUCGGGCAGGAAUGAGGAUUGAGUUGAUUUACACUUUAGGGCGGCCGACCUUGGCGUGGAUUGACUUUAUUCUUGUUUUGGUGCUUGAAUACAAACACAUCAUAGAGGGGGGAAACGGCUUGUAAAUGGUUGUGUGAAGACUUGCAAAUUCCUUAUAUUUUUCUUAAAAAUGCCCUUUUAUUUGGAAAUUAUUCAUUUAUUAUGGGUCUACUACCCAAUCACCCUACAAUGAGUGUAAAUGAAUGUAGAAGUAAGGGUUUCGUUGUCCGUUUUCAAGAUAGAGCGAAUUAGGAUUUUCACGUUUUUCUGUAGUAUGACUAUUCGGUAUGGAGUGAGGAUCAAAAUUGGGAGGUAAGAGUGACUUUUGGAUGAGGAAAUAUUAUAUAAUUUGAAGUGAUAAUAAUAAGUUAGUGAUUAGAAGUUAAAACCCCUAGUAUACGUGAUUUAAGAAAAUCGGCUCGAACCGACGAAUAUCGAUCACCACCGAUUGAACCCACCACUUGACCACCACUUCCCUACCACCACAUACCCUUGAUAUUUUUUGUAAAAUAUCCCCCUCAUCCUCAGCCAUAUAACCGAAAUAUGUGGCCAAAAUGCAAGGAAAAGAAAACAAAAUUUUAGUUGGUUUUGGUGAUGACAAGUGUCAACCACCUAUGGUUCCUUGACCAACCUUUUGUCUUGCCUUCUUAUCUCUCAUUUCAGCUCAUUUUCCCUCAUUUUAUUUUUGUUGUGGCCGAGAGCAAGGGGAGGUAAAGGAGUGAGGAGAGUUUCAAUCUUCUACCUUGAAUCCAACCUUUUGAGUGCAACCAAGAAAAACUAAACUGAUUAAUCACUAGUUUGGAAGCUUGGGAAGCUUAAGGAAUCAAAAAUUUCAAGGAGAGGUGGAGGAUCAUUCUUGCAAGCUCUUGUCUUGAGGUAUAAUGGCUGAUCAACCUUUCUUUCCCCAUUAAUCAUGAUUAAGUUGGGUAUUAAUGGUAGUAUUGUGCUUGUGAUGCUUGUUUCAAGUGAUUUUGAUGAUUAGAUGGAUGACUUUUGAGUUAGGGUUUCUUAUGGGUUAGGAGUUGUAUGAUGUAUAUAUGUGGUAUAUAAUCUUGUAAAGGAGAUAGUAGUGGUAGUUUCAAGGUAAAAAUGAGAAGUAUAGCUUGAAUAUAGCAAAAUUCCAGAUUUCUGGAAAUUGUAGCUUUAGUUCUGUCCGGUUCUAUUUCAUCAUGUUAGAGGCCGAACUAGGCUUAGCACAAAACAUGAAAGUUGUAGAGAAUGACAUUUUAUGGUUGCCUACAAAAUUUCACCUCAAUCAGAGCAACAUAGCCUGUGAAAAGAUGAAAUACCCUGACUGCCCUAGGAGUAAAGUCAGUGGACAGUUUUGACAGUACACUAAGUUGGUUGCAUUUAUUCACCUUGAUACGUACUGAAAUAGCUUUUAGUCAAAACAUGAAAGUUUUAGUACUUUGUCUUAGCUUUUCAACGCCUCCAAGAACGCCUUAAAAGGACUUUGGUAACUUGAUAUAUGGCCAUUUGGAGGUAGUAUGGUUAACUGGCCGGUUAGUUGGAAUUUGGUUCUGUGAAUUGGGAAUUUGACUGGGUUAUACUGGAAUUUGGACUAAGUGAUCUUCAUGAAAAUUGUAGGCCUUUGUCUUAGCUUCGAAACGGUAUAAAUUUCACCCCAAUACGAUAAACGUAGCUUCGGUUGUGUCCGUUACGUAAAAACCAUGUCAAAUCUGUCUUUUGCUAAACCUCAUUUCCGCACAUGUCGCUAGCUUGAUUUUGUACUUGUAUUACCUUGAGCCUAUUGAACGGCUAUUGUGAUAAAUUUAUAUUGUGUAUGACUUUGGGAUUGGCUGAGGAAAAUAAUGAAGCCGUAAAUGGCUGGAAAAUUGGGUAAAUACAAAGGGCAUGCUGCCCAAAUUUACGCUCGAGGACUAGAGAAAUAUACUUGCGACUUGAGUAAGGGUUAAGAGUGAUUACUACUUGAACCAUCUAGGAUAUUUGCGUCUUCUUUUACCGAGGUAUAUAAGUAAGGACUUGGCCGAGCUUUUACCCUUGAGAAAUAAAAUAACGACUGCUCGGAGUAUGUUUUCCUUGUACUUUCAACUCAAAAGUUAUUUCCAAGUAUACAUGUUACAAAAUUUUUCAGUUGGAAAAGCGAGCAAGUGUUUCACGACUAUUCUCCAAGUGAAUUUCAAUUUCUUGAUUCUUAUUGAACGAAAUGUCUAAGUUUCAAAUCUUAGUCGAUUUUCAAAGUUCUUAAUUCAAGUUUUAUCGCAGAUUUGGACUCCAAACCCGGAGUACAACCCAGACGCGAUCACUAGAGGCACUACUUUUGGUGAGUGCUUCCAAAUAUCUGAUUGAACUUGAUAUUUGUGAUUUAUCUUUGACUAAUGUGAUUACAUGAUAUAUAAGUGAUUUGAUAGGGCAAGGGUGUACUUUAUCGCACUUGCCCUAACGAGAAUUGUUCUUGUUCAUCGAUUUCAAUUGAUUUGCUCUACUUUGCAUGUACCUUAUAAGUAUCAUAACCCUGGUUUCUUAUGACCUAACUAAGUGUUCAAAACAUGAUUUCUAGUUGCACCUAUUGACUUUCAAAUAGUGACAAAAAAAACAAAAACUAGAAAACUAGUUACGCUAUAUUUUUUUUUCCCUAAAAGAUUUUUUGUUUUGAUCCAAAGUGGCUUGUAUGUUCUUAGAAUGUGUUUAGGUAUCUCACAUAUUUAUGGGAUUUUGAAUCAAGUGCUCUUGCAUAUGACUUUUUAAUUUGAUUGACUAAACCCUUAAAUGUGGACGUUUUCUUCCUUAGUGUUUAAGUUGAGCUUCAUGGCUAUGGCUAUCUUCUUAUACGAGUAUUGUGAUUUGAAUUUGAUAAAUUCUUGGUAUAAUAUCUAUGUACUUUAACCACAGAGUUCACGGGCGAGCCAAGGGACGAUUCGGUGAUUAGCUCCGAUUACCUUCGCUAGUGGUGAGUGUUCCUUGCAUGCGUGUAUGCUAUGUGAUUUUCUUGUAUAAUACUGGAUAACUGUCAUACCAUUAUUAGGCGGGUGUGUACUUUAUCGCACUCGACCUACUCAAAACUAAAUUUCUGUGUUUUCACUGAUACUGACUGCUACUGACCUACUGUACUGACUGUUACUGACCUACUGCACUAACUGAUACUGACCUACUGCACGGUCCUUCUAGUUCGAGACACUCGAGCAGGUCCUCCAAAUGAGCACCUAUCUCCUGGACACUCGAGACACUGUUCAGUUGAGAGGCUCGAGCAGUGUUCUUCUCGAGAACACCAUCUCCUAGUUGAAAGUGCCACUGCGCAUGUGAUUAAAUUAUGUGUUAUAACGUCUGUGUGUUCAUUUCAUCCAAUUAUCUCUUAUUAAUUUUAAGUGUAUGGAACUGGCAGUCAUGACGGACUGGAGAGCUUCAAGAGUAUCAUUUGACAUAAAUUGACUUAUUUUGUCCUUAUUCAACUGAUUAUAUUAUGCAACUGGUUCUCGUUGUAACUGAAAUUGUUUAACUGUUGCUUACUUCUUUCUCUAAAUUGUGAUAUUUGCGUGACUUUUAGGGGCCUCACUGAGCUUUAGCUCACUCCUUUAGUUUGUUUUUCUUAACAGGAGGCGGAGGACCCUGAGGAGCAAGUUGCAGGUCCUGAACUUACGGUACUUUUGUGUAAAUGGCUUUAGAGAGCAUUUUGUAGCUUUAGUUUUUGUUACACUCAAGGUCGGGUAGUUAACAUGAACGUAAAUUUUGACGGUAUAUACUAAGGUGAUUGUAAAUUAAAAUUUUGUCCUUUGGAAUUGUAAGUGGGGAGUUUGGUUGUAAUGCAAGUACUUUAUUUAUGUAAGUUUAUCUUUUGACUUAACCUUUAAGUUUGGAAUGUUAUUUGGUUUAUUAAUAUCCUUUUGGAGUUUGAGAUGUAAUUUAUCUGAGAACUGUAGUGAGUCCCGGCGAGAGCUGGGUAGACGGUCCGCCGAACCCUCUGGUUUGCCUUAGGGGGAGGUGGAGCUGUUACAGUAUAUUUUUUUCCUCUAUUUUUUAUGUUCAAGAGAAAAUUACUAAUUCACCCACCCAAAAAGUUGGGGAGAAUGAUGAUAUCUGCUUUCCAUCAAAAGAGGAUUUCUUAGGCUCCGGUUACAAAUUAGUACAACAAAGCUUGUUUAGACACCCCUGGUUUUUUUUUGAAAUUUUUUUUUGAUUGAUGUAAAGUAAAUGUAGAUCCCUCCUUGUGUUGAAUUUUAUUUGUCCAUAAAUUUCAAGUAAAUUCCUUUAAGAGUAGGACCAAAGAAAUAAUUCCUGUUCUUGAAUAGGGGAUUGUUUGGCACAAUAUUUUUUAAAAAAAUAUUAUAAUACCUUUUUGAUGUACAAAAUGUGCUUAUAAUGCAAUCAAUAUAAUUUUACAAAUAAACCACUAUUCAAACACAUUUAAAUAAGUUUUUAUUUUUGAACAAAAAUUUGCCUAGACUGUUAACAUAUUAUUGUCUGGAAUUUGCUAAGCCCCCCUCUAGAGUACCUAGACUGAACUACAUCACAAACAAGAAACAAAUACAAAAGAUCACAUAAAUAUAUUGGAAUCACAGUUGUUCUCAAUGUUGAUACACACUUUACUUAUUCAAACAAAACCCAGUAAAAUUAGAUGCCUACAAUCAAAGUAAUCAAGCCACAUUUAGUUUUGGCCUACAAAAAAGUACAGUAAAUGUUAACUGUUGGUAUGAAAAAAAAAGGAACUAAAUCGAAAAGACCAAUUUGGUGUUGCUCCCUCAUCAGUCUCCUUGAGUUGGUUAUGCGAAUCAUCAUUGGCUUUAAACUAUCCAAAAAUGGUUGGUUUCUAGGAACCAUGAAGUUACUAAGCUUUGAACUCAACUAUUUCAGAUCCUCCAAGCUUUGAACUCCCAUACACUCUAUCGACAAAAGUAAUUGGAACCUGUGAAGACAUAAAAUCAAAUUCAAAUAUCUCCAUUAACACAAUAAAACACAAGGAGGAGAUGCAAACCAACGAAAGAACCAAAACUAAGAAGAAAUAGUUCAUCAGAGAUCUUAAAACCAAAUGACUAAAUCUCAUAUGUAGUUAGAAGCUAUAGAUAUUUGCCAAGAAGAAGAUAAUCAACCCAAUAAACCUAAAAGACCAAAUGAUAAGCAACAAAAGUACCUCAGCAAUGUCGUAACCUUUUCGUGUAGCACGAACAAUCAUCUCCAUCUGAAAAACAUAUCCUUUACUCACGCAUGAGCUUAAAACAUCUUGAAGCACGGAUUUCCUAUAAGGCCUUUAGGCAAAAUAACAGUUAUUAGUUAAGGAAGUGGAAGCUUAGGCAGAAGCAACUACAGCAUUUGGUAUGUUGGUUUACCGGAAAGAUCCAAUUAGGUCUGAUACACCAGGCCAAAGGAGUGACUACGCAAGGACAUUUGCUCCCCUGCUUGUCAAUUUGCGUAUGAGAUUCCAACCAUGCACACCACCUCCUUUGACAUAUCGUGUUCCAGUAACUAUAUCUGCACCCGUCUCCAUCUGCUUCCUAAACAUCAAAACAUAUUCAGCUAAUAUACUUCUAAAACUUGGUAAAAUUAAAUAAAAUUCUAAUACUUGAGUUGAAAGGUUCUUACCUGAUGAAGUUUGGAAGAUAUUUUGGCUGUAAAGUAAGAAAAAGAGAUGCAUUAGAUAACAAGUGAAGUAACAUAUAAGCUAAAUGAACACCAAUAAUAGUUCCGCUGAUAUAUAGGCUAAAUGAACAUCAAUAAUAAUUCGAGCAGAAGCAAAAAAAAUAGAUAAAACACAUGCCUGUAGAAAACCUCAGGCACUCACACAUUUAAUCCAAAAGCGAUGCAAUACAAAAACUUAAAAUUGACCCAUGUAGUCUCACUGUGCUCAAAGGCCCUAAUUCAACAAAAUAACUUUCUGUUAGAACUCAGUUUUCCAGUUUGUUAAACACUGCUGCAUAUGAUCUUCUUAACUUAUCAAACUUACACCCAAGGUAAAAGACCAGUAUCAAAGCAGCUAAAACUAUUAUGAUUACUAAAUGCACUGUAAAAGAGACAGCUCACCAAAAGUAUAUUAGAAAUGGAAAUACACUUCAGAUCUCCCAAUCAUUUCGUAAUCUUCCACCAACCUCAAGCUCAACCCUAGAAUAAGCAGCUUUCCCCCCUUGUUCACACCAAAUCCUAAGAAAGCGAGGAAAAAAAUGUGUUUCCUUGUUUUCCCCUCCCUUCCUCUUUUUCUUUUUGGAGGCACAAAAAUUGGUGUGAGGAAUAUCUUUUUUUGUUUUCAGUGGCGGCUUUUGGGUUUUUUUUUUUGGUUUUGGUUAGGGGGAGGAGGGUUUGAUAGAGCAUCGUCCUCAUCAUUCUAAUGAGUAGGAGUGCACUUACAUGGUGUGAUAAAUCAGCAUCCAUAAUGACCACAAAAUUCCCGGAGGCAUGCUUCAGGCCAUGGAUGUAAGCCAUACCUAAAACUUAACCAAAUUAAUGAUCCCUUUUGCUACUUCAAAAACUUAAACCAAGGCCAGCCAAAGACAUACCUAAACCAAGCUUCUUAGGUCUAGCCCUCAACAGCUGGAUUAGUAGAUAGCCUUACAUAAGUAGACCUUUCAAAGAGAUAAGCAUAGGCAAAACAUCAACAACAUUGCGAAUUAAUACUAAAGAGGACUUACAAUACGAUCCUCUCCAUAGACAAAUUGCAGUUGUUUAACAAUAUCUUGAGUCCUAUCUGGACUUCCAUCAUCCACAACAAUAAUCUCAAAAUUGACAUUCCUAGCCAGGCAAGGACCAAUUGUCAGAUACAAGUUUAGAUCAUGAAGACAAUGUUGUUUGUCAUUGUUUUAGUGUUACUGUUUUUCACAUCUUUAAGUAAUAUCUAUCAUCUAAUGUCAAACUAAAACCUAUGAAGCACAAUCUUAAAUAGUUAAUUUCAUACAACAAUUUGGUCCAUGUUAUUCACAUAUUCAGUUGCAAGUCCAAAGCUUCACCUUCUUACACCUAAUGGUUCCCACACCCACUCACAACUAUAGAGCUGAAUAUGCUCACGACUAAUCAUCUAGAAGUUUGAGUGGACAAAGACGCAAACUUUUUCACAGCAAAUUAGUUUUAAUCAGCUUAUCUUGGACAUAUGUAUAAGAAAAAGUACACUUAGUUACCAAUUACCAAUCAUGAUUGAGAGAAAAAAGUAACCAUAUAAAAUAUGUGCCACUGUGUGCAUUGCUUAUCAAUUUUCAAACAAUUCUGAAGCUAAGAUUUUGAUAUUUCGCAUGAUAUCUAAAUCAAAUACCUAGAAACACUUCUUUCCAAAUUGUCAGUCAAUCACAUACACAAAAGCACAAAUAAUAAUAAUAAUAAAAUAAUGCUAUAACAAUAAUAAUACUAAUAAUAAUAAAAAAAGUGAAGAAGUGUUCCUGUGUAACAUGGAGAUAAUUAUUUCAGCAGUUGAUAGAUGAUUGUGAUGACCAAGUAACAAGCUGUAAGAUCACCAAAAACACUUCAUUCAAAUAAACAUAAAUAAACCUUUUGAUGCAUGCAACAAAAAGAUUUAGAAUGUGAAAUGAAAAAUUCACAGAAUAUAAGUGUAAAAGCCAAAAGUGCAAUGAAAGAAGCCACUAGACAAACAAAGCAGAGGAAAAGGAACAUGCAUCAUCUGUUUUAUACAUAUAUUCACAGAAAAGGAAAAGGAGAACAUGCAUCAUCAUGGAUAACUUGGUAAUGAGAGAGACAGAGAAAGAGAGAUAGAGAGAGAGAGGGUACGAGAGAUGCUUGAAGAUGAGAUAAACAAGGAGAGCAAUGUUGAGGCGCUCAAUGUAGGUGGGGAUGAUUAUACUAUACUUAUUGCUAUUCUCCUUUUGUUCAUUGCCCAUAUUCUUUCUGCAUCAAAAUACCUUCGACCCCUAGAAAAUGCAAAUUUUUAUUGAACUUGGUUAAAGAGAGAGAUGGAAGGCAAAAAGUAAAACACUUACAGCUAAUGCAAGUUGUAGAUAAUAGCUGUUAGUAUUUCAAUUCAAACUAAAGUUCCAUCCUAUUAGUUUUGGUUGUUUGUGAUAAUUCAACCCUCUAAUACGUUAAAGAGCUAUACCCAACAAUUCACUUGUCUCAGACUGAGCUAGAAAAGAUCGAGCUCAUGUGUUCUUCUCGGCAGCUUACUCCACUUAGGUACUUGAUUCCAUCAACCAAAUUGGAUAGCAAAACAAAUUGGUACAGCUUCAAAAUGCAUGUUUUUCUACCGCAUAAGAUUUUCAUUUAGCUCAUUCUUCUACUUGUAAUUAUGCCUAUUCAAUUCCCUUUUCUGUCAGUUGAAUUUCCAAAAGCAGUAUAACUAUCCUAAUUCCUGAUCAGUGAGCAAUAGCUCUAACAAAUUCUUAAAAUUUGACAGAAUAACACGACCGAUCUGAUUGAAAAAAAAUUCUUCUUUUAGUAUAAUAUGAAGGAAGCCCAUCUUUUCAAGUUCAAUUUCGAUUAAUUCGAGUAAAUUACAUAUUUCAUGCUGAGUAAGAGCAGUAAAAUACCACUGAUGUCCAAGAAUAUAUCCGAGACUUUUCGAUACUGGCUGGUAGUUGCUGUAACUACGUGAGACUGUUUGAAGGAAUGACUUUAACAUAAGGUACCCAGAAUGUAUACAACAGUCACUAACGAUUAUACAGGGAUUCCCAUACAAAUUCAACUCUCCAUCUAAACUAACUGAAGAAGUGUAAUGAAAAGCUGGGAAAUUCAAUCAGCUUAACAACUUUAACUGAAAAUAAAAAACGAUCUAACCUUAAAGACGGCAACUUUAUAUGGUUUGGAAGCUUGAAUUAUGCGCAAAUGGCCGACACUUUGAGAAGACAAUUAUUGUGUUUAGGGCUUUGAAUUGGAGUUUGAUAAUAUUAACGAGAGAAGUUCUCUCUUCUUUCGUUUCUUUCGCAAAAAUCGAGAAAGCAACUAUUGAUGAACGAGUGAUACCCUCGUGGGAAUAUGAAAGUCAAUCCUUUGUUACUCGUGUUAAUGAACUGGGCGGGUUAUUUGGGCCUGGUUUUUAUCCAUUUGGAUAUGAGUUUGACCCUUGAGGCUAACCUAGUGGUCAUUAACAAUUAGGCAUGGCAAUGGGGCGGGGGAUCCUUCCCCCGUCCCCCGUCCCAUCCCCCGCCCCUUGCCCCCUGCCCCGUUUCCCUCGCGAGCAAAAAAAAAUCAACUUAACAUAAAUAUUCAUUUACAAUAAUACAAUUGUAAAUAACGUUAAAUAAAAUUAAAUAGCUAUCAAGAUGAAAAUAAAGCAUAAUAAGUCAAGUUACAAUCAUUCUUGUAUUCAACAAAUUCAGAAGCCUAGUACAUGAAGCAAAAAAAAAAAAAAAAAAUCAAAAGCAAGCCUAUAUGAAAAGCAAAACUCUCCUCGUAUGUCCAAGCAUUUUUGAGAACUAACAGGAGAGAGGAAGAAUUCCCAAACACUAACCAAAAAUACCUUGAACAGUUAAAAUCCAGAAAUAACAAAAGGCAAAGAUCAAUGGAAAACAUAAAAGAGAAAAUCAGCAAAAUGAGGGAAAAACAAAGCCAUGGUUGUUGGAACUGCUUAUAAACGAUAUCAUCGGACAUGGAAAGAAUUCUUGUUCCAUUAGGCUCUCGUAUUUACAUUUUCAUUAAAGCUUUUUCACAAACAUCUUAUAUGCACAAGGAAAACAAAUUAACUGCACAUCACUAUCCAAAAAGAAAACAACUUUAUCCGAUAUGAAUCAUAUGAUCACGCUACAUGGUUUAAGCCCCAUAAAUUGUAUUUAGGCUUGAUUGAAUUAUAGCAGAAUUCUCUUAUAGAUAUACUCUUUUAAUGUUACUAGCUUACUUAUUGUUUUUUGGAUCAUGUCGAAUUGUUAACUUAGAGAGCAAUAAUUUCUUCAGCUUUGGCAUCCAAUAUUCCAUUUUCCUUUCACGCUAUAUUCGUAAAAUGAGAGAAGAGUUGGUGAAAAAAAAAACAGUUUCAUUUUUCAAUUCUUUGAAUAGCUUGAAAUAAAUUGAUAUUUUUCUAGUAUUUUGCGUAAGUAUUAGGCUUUUUUGAAAAAUUUUCACUUUGACUCAUGCGUGACAAGACACUCUUCGAUUUGCAUAAAAUAUGUGGCACUGGCACACAAUUCAUUUAACACCAUGAAAUCAAGCUGCAAAUUCUUGUUGGCAUAAAGUUUCCUAUUAAUUUAGGCACUUAACAGUAUUCUAAGUUUGCUAAUCAAAUAACUAUUCGUUCAACCAGAAACAGAGACAGAGCCGUUCCUUCCUAAUUAUCAAACAAUUUAAGCGUACAAGGAAAACAAAGACGAAGACAUCAACAAGUGCCGACGAAGAUAUCAGCUCGAUCUGGGAUUUUGGGUUGGGUAAAAUUUCAGGAGGAUUUACGGGUUGGGUAAAAUUUCAGGAGGAUUUACGGGUUGGGUAAAAUUUUAGGAGGAUUUAGACAGAGACGAUGGGUUUAGUUGAGUAAUGAUUAGAACUGAGGGGAAUGGGAGGCGACGGCAGUGGCCGCGAAGAAGGGAAUGAAGGAGUAGCUCAGGGCGAUAAUAACUAGGGAUAAUUUCAGAAACCUCCCCUGAGGUUUCAUGAAAUAUCACCUAGCUCCCUUGAGGUUUUCAAAAUCUCACUUAGCACCCCUCAAAUUGACAUUUUGGUAACAUUAUCACCCUUCUAACCAAAAGUAACAUAAAAAAUUCAUGUUUGAGGAGAGAGAUUAUUUUAGUGCCUUUAAUACCCUUAGCCUAUAGAAAAAUGAACAUUUUACAAGCCAAGGAAAAAAAGUACUAAAUUGGAACCAUCUUAAAAAAUGAGGAGAUGAAGAUUUUAUGUUACAGCCAAUAGUCAUUCCUAUAGUACACAAUCCAAAAUCACCCAAGAAACAUUGUUCACAACCUCCAAAGAAAUCAGCUGCGUGCAAGAGUUGGGUAGAGUACUUCUAGGCUCCGCAAAUUUCUGUUGUCCGCGUCCUUUUCUAAUCAGUCCAGGUUGAUACAUUGUUGUUUUUGGGUCACUUAUAGAUUGUAACUCGUGUUAAGGGUGUACAAAUAGAGUCCAAACAGAUCUGGGCAUUGGUUAAAGUCCUUCCUCGAGUCAAACUCUCACUCUUUGCGGAUUAAGUCAGUGAUAUUUUAGUGUGUUUCUCGUGUCCUUUUGCUGCCUUUGAGUCGUUACAUUAGUCUUUAAUUUUUCGCUAUUCUUACGCCACUUUUGGGAAAAACUUGAUUAAAGUUUGAUUGAAUUGCUUGGAGGAAAUUUCUGAUUUCUUCAAGGAGGCGAUCAAGGGAUUUGAGAAGUGAGUUGUGAGACCAUUAGAGUGUUUUAAACACUUGAGUGAUACACGAGAGUGAGCGAAACACGUGAGGGAGUGAGUGAGUGAGAACCUUUCACCUUAACGUUUGUUGAAGUUUUGCAGGUUGAAACCAUGACCAAUGAAAACGACAUUACCGUGGCACAAUUGGCACUAAGGAUGGAUGCUAUGUGGAGGAAAUGCAAAGAAAAAUAGAGCUCCGUUUUGAGUCCAUGUAAGAGCAAAUUGAACAAAUGGACCCCUCAAGAAAUUCCUCUAAGAAAACUAGAGGGAAACUUACCGUGAACGAACUCAGUGACUCUAAGAGAGACUUCGAAGAUGAUGAGCAAAGGCCGAGGAGAACUACGCAAUGGACUGACCAUGCCGAGGAUCAACUCAAAGGAAUAAAAUUAAAAAUUCCUACCUUUCAAUGUAAAUCGGAUCCCGAAGCAUACUUGGAGUGGGAGAGAAAGAUCGAGUUGAUCUUCGAUUGCAACCACUACACGGAGUCUCAAAAGGUAAAGUUGGCCACCAUAGAAUUCACCGAUUACACCGCGAUUUGGUGGGAUCAACUCCACAUCAAACAACGAAGGAAUGAGGAACCGGCCAUUCGGACAUGGGACAACUUGAAACGAAUCAUGAGGUAACACUUCAUACCCGGUUACUACCAUAGGGAUUCGCAUCAUAAAUUGCAAACCCUCACUCAAGUUAGUAAGAAGGUUGAAGAUUACUUCAAAGAAAUGGAAAUGUCCAUGAUGCGGGUUGAUGUUCGAGAAGAUGAGGAGGCCACCAUGGCAUGGUUUUUGGGAGGAUUACGACUCGAGAUUACUGAUAUCGUGGAGCUUCAACAUUACCUUGACAUGGGAGAACUCUUGGACAAAGCUAUUAAGGUAGAACGGAGGUUCAAGAGGAGGGGAAUGAACAGCCAAAGCUCCCAUUUCUAACCUGGGAGUUGGAGGAACCCAGUCACAAGGGUCGAAACCAGCCCCUCUUAUGCACCUAAAGCUUCAAAACCGAAUGGAGCGUCGCGAGGAGAAAUGAGGCCGAACGCUCUACCUUCCAAACCAACUUCCAAGGAGGGGUUUAAGUCCCAACAAGAGAUCUCCAAACCAAGGACUCAUGACACCAAAUGCUUCAAGUGUUAAGGGUUUGGGCACAUUGCUUCCCAAUGCCCCAACCAACGUACCUUGAUCAUGUUACCCAAUGGCGAGUUAUUGACCGAUGAUGAAGACGGGGAACAUGAGGGAAUGCCGUCCUUGGAGGGGGAAGAGGACGAGCUUGAGGAGGUACCUGUCAAUGACACAGUUGGAUGUUUAGUGGCAAGGCGAGCACUACCUACACAAGCUAGUCGAGAUGACCUACAGCGAGAAAACAUCUUCUACUCAAGGUGUCAUAUCAACAACAAGGUGUGUAGCCUAGUCAUUGACCCAGGGAGUUGUACUAACGUUGCAAGUGCAUUAAUGGUGGAGCGACUCAACUUGCCAACAACUGACCACCCGCGCCCCUACAAGCUCCAAUGGCUAAACAAUAGUGGCGAGGUACGUAUCUCUAAACAAGUCUUAGUUACUUUCCACAUAGGUCGCUAUGAAGAUGAUAUUGUAUGCGAUGUAGUACCUCUGCAAGCUGCACACAUUCUUUUAAGCCACCCGUGGCAAUUUGAUAAGAGAGUUAUCUUUGAUGGUUUCUUGAAUAAAUACUCCUUUUUGCAUAAUGGUAAGAAAAUCACACUUGCACCUCUCACACCACAACAAGUGCAUGAGGACCAAGUUAGCUUACAAAAGGAGUAUGAUAUGCAUGUCACUAGUCAAAAACAACCAUCAAAAGGAAAACUAAAGGAGUUGGCCGAGACCUCUAAGGAUAAAAGUAAGCCUAAUCGAACCAUUGAGCUUGGCAAAGAAAGACAAACCAGCAUGCUAGCUCGAAUGAAAAACGUGAGGAAAGCUUUACAUUCCAACCAAAUUGUGCUUAUCUUGAUCUGCAAAGAAGCCUUACUCACUAACGAACUUGAUACUUCGCUGCCUAGUGUUGUCACUAACCUCUUGCAGGAGUAUCAUGAUGUGUUCCUUGAGGAUAUACCUAAUGGACUGCCACCUUUGAGGGAGAUUGAAUAUCAAAUUGAUUUCAUCCCUGAGGCUUCCUUGCCAAACAAGACACCAUAUAGGACUAAUCCCGAGGAAACUAAGGAGCAACAAAGGCAAGUAGAGGAGCUACUUGCCAAAGGCUGGAUUUGAGAGAGUCUAAGUCCUUGUUGUAAGGAUUGAAGACAAUCUAAGAGGGGGAUGAAUUAGGUAGUUUAAAAAACUUGCCAAGAUAUGAGUCAUUUUUUGAGUACCUGUCCUCUUUUUCCAAACGACCACACAAUCGAGCAACAGAAGAGAAAACACAAGUGCUUGUGAGUAGAAGAGAUGAACAAAUUAUAUAUCAAAACAGUAAGUAAAAAGAGAUAGAAUAUCAAACCAAAAGUCAAACUCCUCUUGUGUUUGAAUAUCACUUUAUAGGGUAAGCUUCUUCGAGUUGAUCAACUUACAACCAAUCUUUUGUGUACAAGUGAAGGAUCAUUUCUUCCUUGCCCCAAGCCACACUUGGUCAAGCAAGGAACUUUUACAAUCACUCGGAUAACCCUCACAAAGCUACGCUAUUGAAGAAGUUGACUCACACUAGAAAAACUUAUAGAAAGUUACACAACUAAGAGUACAUAUCUUCUUUUUGAAGAGCAUUCUCACACUUGAUUGAUGUAGUCUUAAUGUGCAAAAGCUUUUUUCAAGUGGUUGAGUUUGUUCUAUUUAUAUGGGACCAAAAAGUUCCUCAAUUAAUGCUUCCAACGGAUAGAAGGCAACUGAAAAGUCAACUAGCCGUUGGUAGUGUUGGACGUCCGGUAGAUCAACUUCUUGCAUCCGAACAUAGGCAGUGAGUUCAAGAAAUUUUCUUGAAUUAUAUCAGAUGUCCGGUACCUUCAAUGUAUGCGUCCGAAAGUAGGAGGUGAAACAAGGAGUUCUUCUUCAAUUCUUUUCGAUCAUCCGGUCCCUCCAAGGCUUUGCGUCCAAAGUGUUGCAACUCUUGUCGGACGUCUGAUGCUUUGAGGAUGUGCAUUUGAUCGAGGUCAGUAAGUUUGGAGGGAAUGACUCAAUAUCUUCGGACGUCCGAGGGUGAAGUUCUUCAUUCGUCCGAAGUUGUGCAAAGGUUGUCGGACGUCCGAUCCAGUCUUCUUGCGCGUCCGACAGCAACUUCAGCAUCCUUUGUGCUUUUAAUUUUUGAACCUGUUUUGUUCCAUUUCUGAAAGAGUCUCUUUGAGAGAACACUAGUAAUCAUCCAUUUAUUUUGUAAUCAUCAAAAGUUACGGACUGAGAUAAACAAUCUCCCCCUUUUUGAUGAUGAAAAAACAAUAGUUCGAGAAAAAUAAUCGGGACACAACUCCCCCUUACUUGAUGCAGUCCUCUUACAUAUAGAUUAAUGGACACAAAAUCCUUUAGAAUAAUUUGGGCACAACUCCCCCUUAGAAUGACUCCCCCUUACUUAUACAUCCAUUUCUCCCUUUUUUUGUCAUCAUUAAAUCAACCAGAAUCUGAUCAUCAAUAUUAGAGGCCAGUAUUCAAUAUUAGCAUUCAAGACUACCAAGCAAAAAACAUAGCAUCAACAAUCACUCAUCCAGUCAACACUAUCAGCAAUGCUAUCAACAGCAACAAUAUUGGCAAUAGUCAGCAAUUAUCAACAGCAGUCAUUAUCAGAAUUUUAAGGCUGAACAGAGUUAAGCAACAUUCAUUCAAAACAGAGAGAUAAUCCAUAAGGACACAUUAAUUCAAAACACAAAUGAUGCCAAAAUAGAAUCCUUAGUACAAAACACAGACUGUUUAUAAUGUAAAAGAUGCCAAAAGCUUAGAAAUGCCUAAAUGAAGUGCAUUUUGCCUAGAGGUGCCUAAAAGGUGAUUUUGGAGGAUCCAGGCCUUCUCCUUGUUAGGCGAAACUGAGCAGGAUCUUCUUCCUGUUUAGUGUCCUCGUCAUCAUCAUCAUCAUCAUCAUCAUUCUCUUCAGUCUCUUCUUCAGUUGCUGGAACCUUUCCUUUAUCCAAUGGCCGAGAACUAGAGGCACGAUACUCUGGAGUAGUUUCAGUAGUUGGCUCAGUUCUAAGCUCCUUUUGGUGCGCAUUCUCAUUGUAUUGAGGAGUAGGGGGCACCAGCAGAUUCCUCUUUUCAAUGAAGGUGGCUUGUUGUUCGGAUGACAUGGUCAUCAUCAAACCAUCUUCAAGGAGUAAGAUGUGUUGUCUGAGGUCCUCAAGUUGGAUGAAGAUGACUUGGUGGCUGAUUUUCUAGAAUGGAUAGUGAAGGGUGAUACAUACAUGGACUGAUCUCGAGGAGUCCUAGGGGUGACAGGAGUUUCAUGAAGAUUCUUUCUCCUAAACUCCGAAACAGUCUCUUUGUAACACCAAUGUCCCUAAAAAAAUUUCAGAAUUUUUCUUUCAAAAUAAGCCCUAGAAAAAACAGUUGAUGCACUUUCUUUUGGUGAUUUUCCAGUGAAGGAGAUUUCAAAGUGAGCAAAGAUAGGAGUUAGAAAUUUUUUAUAGGAAAUUUUCCUACGGCUAUCAGUGCUGAUUUUGAGCAGAAAUUGCACAUGACAAACCCAAAAUCAAUUCUGAUUUUUUCAAGAAAACAGUAGAACAGAUAAAGUUUCAUUUUGUUGGCAUCAGUCCUAUGACCAUUAGUGGGCACCAAUAAAUUCGAGAUUAUGGAAAAAAUAAUCAAGUUUUGAGAACUGAGAUCAUCCAAUCUUGCCUCAGUAGGAGUAUUAAAAUGAGUUUGAAAAUAGGUCAUUAAUUUUGCAACAUGAAAGUGAUGGUAUGCAGAAGGAAAUUCUUCAUAUAAAAAGAAGUUUGCAAUUUUUUCUUUAAAACCAUCUUCAAUUUUGGUUUCCAAAACAGUGUUGACAAUGUCAGGAUUCAACUCUAUAUUAACGGAGUUGACACAUGAGAUGAGAUCAGUAUGUAACUUUCCCUUCCUAAGGUUGGCAAAAAAUUGAUGAAGCAUGUCAGGAUAGUAUGUUUUUGGAAUGGUCAGAAGAUGAGUCCAUUUUUUAAAUUCAAAAAAGUUGAGAACAGAUUCAAGGUCAAGCUUACGGAAUUCGUAGGGAAUAAUGGUCCUCUGAGUGAUGAAGCCUUUCUGUGAGAUCUAUUCAAAUCUCUCCCUGGCAUCAUCAUCAAUGAAUUUGGGCAAGGGAAUGGGUUCCUCUGCGGUUUGAGCCUCAAGUUGCUCAUUUGCAGAAUACUUUCUCUUUCCAGUGCAAUGAGUAGUUGGCACAGUACUCUAGACACCAGAUCUCAUCCUUGGUGACUUCCUGGUAGAUGGUUUAGCAAUUUGUUGUUCCUCAGCAAUUUUUUCUGCAUCCUGCUGUUCUCCUGAAGGAUCAGCAGUUUCCCUUUCCUUGGGAUGAGUAAUGCUCUUCCUUUUGGUGGCCCUUUUUCCCUUCUUGGGUGAUUUCGUGACGGUUACAUCUUCAUUGGUGGGCUGCUCCAGUUCCUUUUCAUUGCCACUGACUGGAUGCUCUUCAGAUUCUUGUUCUUCCAUCUGCUCAUCAGUUGGUUCAACAGAUGGUUCUCUGGUUUGAACAGUCUACUUUUUCUUUGCAGACUACUUCGUUUUUCCACCAUGAUUUUCAGUUCUCUUUUUGGGUGACUUGAUGGAAGGUUCGACAACUUGAACAUCUUCAUCCUCUUCAUCUCUAAGCUUGAAGGUGCGUCCGACACUCACAGACCCUCCUCUAAUCUUCACCAUGAUUGCAAUGCAGUGUGUUUUUGAUAUGGUGUGUAAUGCAAAUAAGGGUCAAAGCAUUUGAAAGUGCAGUAUGAACUAUAAUGGAUGUUAGAAUUCGUCCACAGAGAGUAAAUUUGGGUGGUUAGGAUUUCGGGUUAGAAUUGGGAUUUUUAGUGCAGUUGGAAGUUGGGAGAAGUUAUGAUGAGCAAUAAACUCGGAAUAGGUUUGUAAUGGUGACGGUCAGAGUGAUUACUUAGAACUUGUUCCGAAGAGAUGAAUUUGAAUUUUGAAAUUAGGAGAAUAUGAAGGGUUGCGUCCAAAACGAGGGGUGAAAAUGACCUGAAUGACGCAGAGGACUUCCAUAUAAAAUGCAAUUUUUGAGUGUCGGACGGCCGACGAAGUAAAGCGUCCGACACGACUGUCCGAACCAGAACUUUCUGAAAAAAUGAUCAAGAACACUGUCGGGCGUCCAUUCUAACACAUCGGACGUCCGAUGAAGAGUGACCAGAGAAUUUUUAGAAUAUUUUUUCUGAAACGCCCUGUGAGGACCCGUAAAUUUUUUGUAUAUUAUUUUAUUUUAUUCUCUCACAUGCAUUUUCUUCACUAUACCUAUUAUAUUAAUUUUCAGAGAUUUUAUAAGUAAGUAGAGUUUUAAAAUCAUUUUUCUAGUAUAAGUUAGUUUAUGUGACGUUAGUAGUGUAUCUUGGAUGUGGGACCCGCCAGUACGAUGAGUGGGAUAAAUUCGGCCAAUUAUGUGACGACCCCACCUCCCCCUGAGGCGUACCAAAGGGUUUGGCGGACCGCUUGCCCAACUCUCGCCAGGACUCACUCACUCGUAUCACGUGCAUUCAUUCAUGAACCAUAAAUAACAUCGCAAUUCAAGUUUAGAAUUUACAUUGAUGAAAAUCAAGGUACAAAGCCUCAAUAUAUAAAACAUUCUAUUCGAGGAAUAGCGCGAGUACAAGUCAAAAGUCAAAAACAACUAGACUACGCUAGUCUUUACACCUCUCACGCCUCGCUCGUACCCCCUGUAAGGAAAACAAAUAGCGUGGUAUGAGCUAAAAGCCCAGUGAGGUUCCAAAUAGCAAAUUGACCAUUAUUUAUAAGUACAAGUUUUCGAUAUAGCAAAGUAACGAGCAUGAAGAGUUCAUAAAAGUGAGCAAUAACACUUCAAGUAGUAAUCUCAAAAUGAGCGAGUGUAAAAGUUUUCAGAAGAAACAAUAAUCCAAUAAACAAUAUUCAUUCCAAAGCAUAAGGAUACGGAUGGCUCUCAGGAGCCAACUUCCCAUUUCAUCAUCAGGAGCUUGAUCACGUAAUAGUUGACACUCCGUCAACUUUCAAGUAAAGGAACCAAUCCAGUAGAGCUCCACUUACACUACUCUCCGUCCACCAUUCACACCCCCUACUGGGCCCAAAAUCCUCAAUAAACACGGGUGGUAAUACUCGAGUAUACCGAUUAGUCGAGGAGAUAUCACUCCACUCGACAAAACAAGAGACCCAGGGUUCGUUACCCAAUCGACCAAGCCCUUGCCGACUCGACUAGAGUAACUCGCCACAGGGUUUCUAGAAUUCCAGGAAGUGCGCACAUCAUAAACAAGUAUAUCAAGUCAAUUGCAAUCAAUAAACAAGUAUAUCACGUAAGGGCAAGUGCGAUAAAGUACACUCUUGCCCUAUCAAUUCACGUAUAUAACAUGUACUCAUAUUGGUCACGUAUCAAGUUCAAGUAUCUAGUGCAAUUCGGUAUUUGAAAGCACUCACCACAGGAUAUAGUGCCUUUACUGGUCAUUUUCAGGUUAUACUCCGGGUUCGGAGUCCAAAUCUGCGAUAAAACUCAGUUUGAGAACUUUGAAACAUGACUAAGAUUCGAAACUUAGAUGUUUCAUUCAAUAAAAAUCAAGAAAUUGGAAUUCACUUGGAGAGUAGUCGUGAAACACUUGCUCGCCUUUUUAAACAGUAAAACUUUGUAAUAUUUAUACUUGAAAUUGUCAUGCGAGUUGAAAGUACAAGGAAAACAUACUUCGAGCAAUCAUGAUUGCAUUUCUCAAGGGUACAAGUUCGGCCAAGUCCUUACUUAUAUACCUCGAAACAAGAAGACUCAAGUACCCUAGAUGGUUCAAGUACUAUUCAUAUCAACUGGACCCAAGUCGCAAGUGUAUUUUUAUAGUCCUCGAGCGUAAAUUUGGGCAGCAUGCCUUUUGUGUUUACCUAAUUUUCCAACCAUUUAGGCUUCAUUAUUUUUCCUCAGCCAAUCCCAAAGUCAUACAUAUAAUAGAUUCAAGUAUAUAGCCGUUCCAUAGGCUCAUAACAAUCUUAAGAACAAAAUCAAAGUGAUAACAAGUGCGGAAAUGUAACCUAGCAAAAGACAGAUUUGACGUGUGGUUGCGAAAAUAACACAUCCGAGGCUACGCUUAUCUGAUUGAGGCGCAACUUAUACCGUUUUGAAGCUAAGACACAGGGUUACAAUGUUCAUGAAGAUCACUUAGUCCAGUUUCCAAUGGAACCUAGUCAAAUCCUCAAUUUACAGAACCAAAAUCUAACUAGUCGGCUAUUUAACCACUCUGCACUGGAAUGGUCAUAUCUCAGGUUACCAAGGUCCGAUUAAGGUGUUCUUGGAGGCGUUUAAAAGCUAAGUCAGAAUAAUAAAACUUUCAUGUUUUGGAAAAAAGCUAAAUCAGUACGGAUCCUAGUGAAUAAACGUGAUAAACUGGAUAAACUGACCAAACGAACUACUGGGAAAAACCUUAAAACAGUGAGGGUAUUUUGGUCUUUUCAUGGGAUACGUUGCUCCGAUUGAGCUGAAAUUUUGUAGGAACCUAUAAAAUACCAUUCUAUACAACUUUCAUGUUUUAGGCCAAGCCUAAUUUUGCCUCUAACUAUGAGUAUUAAAAUCAAACAGAAUGUAAUCCUGAAAUUCCAGAAAUCUGGAAUUUUUGAAUUCUCAAGUCAAUCCUUCCAUUUUCUUGCUUCCAAUUCUACCAAAGCCCCUUAUCUACUCUUAUAUACAACAUAUACUAAAUAUAAAACAAGGUUAGGCAGAAAUUAAUCAAACCCUAGCUUGCAUAUCUCAUCCAAGAAUCAUCACAAUAACUUGCUUAUCUUGUAAUCAAGCUAAAACAUGAUCUAAAUAACAUCUUAAACCAAAAUUUAAAGGAGCAAGGAUCAUGAUCAGAUUUUUACCUCAAGAACAAGGCUUGGAAGAGUGAUACUCCACUUCCUUUGAAAUUUCUUAGUUCCUCAAGCUUCCCCACUCACCAACUAACACUUUAAUCGGUCUAGUUUCCUUUCUUUCUCACUUGGUUGAUCAAACUCAAGAUGAAAUGGUUGUUUUUCUUGUUUUUCUUGCUCUCCCUUUUCUCUCUCUCUCUCGGCUGUGAUGGUGCAGAAAUGAAGAGCUUUGGAGUUUAUUUUAGGGAUAAAUAUGAUGUAAAUUCAUUAGUCAACCAACCAAGGAAAGACUACCACUUGUUGCUUCAAGAUUGGUUCUUAAUUUUUUUCCUUUUCCUUGUUGUUUUUGGUCAAAAAAUUCGGCCAGCUUGCUCAGCUUUAUAGCUGAUGUUUGGCUCUAAUAUUACACGUACUAGGAUUUUUACUUCCUAUUCACUAACCUUAUAUCAUUGCCCCUAAUCACAUAUUAUUUCUCACUUAAAAGUCACUUUUAAUCACCAAAUUUGAUCCUUGCUCAGUACCGAAAAUUCAUCCGGCGAAAAAUCGCGAAAACCCUAAUUUUGCUCCAAUCUUGAAACAAAAAAUGAAACCCUACUUUCUAGGUUUAUUUGCACUUAUUGUGAAACGAUUGGGUAGUAGGGCUUUAAUAAAUAAUGAAUUUCCAAAUAAAAGGAAAUUUUUAAGAAAAACGUGAGGGUUUUACAAUUUCAGUGAUUAAAAUUAGGAUUUCUAGUCUUUUAAAACAAAAUAAGGUUUUAAAUCAAAUCUAAAGAAAUACACUUUAGUAUCUUCUUUACAAACAACCUCCCAAUAUUCGGGGUGUCACAAAUUAGGUUAAGUUUUGUAUACUGGGAUUAAAUUACUCGGUGUUAAGAGGUAAUUAGGGGUUACUUGGAUGGUUUAUUCUUGGAGAGACAAAAGGAUAAGUUUAAACUUAAAAGGUGCCACGUGUCACUUUCUUAUUCGAGUUUGGACUUUGACCACUAUUCCUUAACUUUACUAAAACCUCAAUUUGACCCAAAAAUCAUCUCUAUUUCAUCUCUCUUGGCCGAGCUCCUUCGGGAGAGAAAAGAAAGAAACCUUCAACUUUUGUUCUUCAUUUCUUGCUUAGAUCUUGCAAACCAACCGGUUAAAUCUUGAACUUGUCCACAAAAGUGACUUGUUAAGGGUGUUUCAAGGUCUUGGUGGAGUUAUUUUGGACAAGGAACCACUAAGCUACUACCUUUCUCGAUGUGUUAAGGUAUCUUGCUUGGAGACUUACUUUUGUUCCUAAUAGUGGUAAAUUAGUGCCUUGUGGUAGCUAAAAAUGUUAUUUUGUGGAAGACUAUAUGGUUUUAAGUGGAGUUUGUGAAAUUUCUGAUUUUAUUCAUGAUUUUCUGAUUUGAUAUGAUAAUUAGUGGUUGUCCAUGAAUGAUAGCUUGUUAUGGUGUAAAAUGGAGCUUGUAUAUGUUAGUUACGAUUGUUUGCGGAAAAUUUCAGUUUUGUGCGGAAAUUUCAGCUUUAGGGAUCCAAUUUGCCCUGUUCGGUCCGGCUUUAUUUGAGCAUGUUAGAGGUCGAAUCAGGCUUAGGUUAAAACAUGAAAGUUGUAGGAAAUUGUGUUAAAUAACAGCCUGUAAAAUUUCAGCUCAAUCCAAGCACUGUAGCCUGUGAAAUGACCGAAAUACCCUUGACUGCCCAUGAACCCUGUUUCGUGGACAGAUUUCUGUUUUCGUGGGGAUUUCCAUUUUUGACAAUGAAAAUGCAUGAUUCGAAACACUAUAAGAUUCAUUUUAAUCCGAUAAGUGUAGCUUUGGUUGUGAUUGUUAUGCCGAAAGGAGUUUUAUAGCCUAUGAUUUGUAUAUGAAAUUGCAUUUGAUUUUGGGAUGAGAUGUGGUGUUUAAUUGUAGGAUGGAAAGUGAAGAAAUUAAGGGGAGAUGCUGUCCGUUUAUUUUCUUGAAGUUAGAGUGAGAUUUGAAAUGUGAUUUGGUGAUGCUUUGGAUUUACUUUGCUUAGAUGUACUUAGAUCCACUUAUGGUGUUAUUUGAGCUAUUUUUCAUUUGAACUUGUACCUUUUCACAUGGUGAAUGUAACAACCGUUUUAAGCAUGAUACUUAGUUACAAAUGUUAAGUUUUGAACUUCAAAUGUUUACUCAUUUUUUUUCCGAAACAAAGAAGAAUUUCCUAGGGUUUCUCGGCUGCAAAACCUAAUUUUAUCAAGCGAGGCUUUAGGUGUGAAUUUAGGGUUUAUUUAUUUUCCUUUUCUCGGCCGAAAAAUCUAAAUGUACACUUUUACUUUAAAACUCACAUUUAUAUAUUUUACUAGUAAGUAGUCGGAUUUUCUUUGAAUUACUUAAACUUUUGACGGUUGAACUGUGAUAGUUUCUCUUAGAUAUCUUAGGGUUCCUUGGUGAUUGAGGGUAUUAUCUGCAAGGAUACUUUGGACGUUAUUUUGCUUAAAUAGGUAAGUGUUCCUUGUUUGUUAUACUUCCUUGACUUCAUGGCUUGUUGUAAUUGUUGAUAAUGUGUUAAAUUUUCUUAAUGAUUGCCAAAACGAGUUUUCUAGGCGAGUGUGUACUUUAUCGCACUCGACCUAAAUGAAUGUGAAAUUUUCAAUGAUUCAAUGAUUGAAACGUUACUUGUGCAUGAAUGUAAGCCUUUCGGCUGAACUGGGCCCUGCCCUUCGUUACUGUGAGAACCCGUAUUUGUUUUCCCAUUUUCUAGGUUUUAUUAUUUUUCAUGGCUUGUUUUCUGCAUUUUCGUGAGUAGGAAAAAAACUUCUAGAUAUUUUUAAAGAGCAGAUAUAAUUUUUAGAUGAUUUUUCUAGUAUCGAAUAGGUUUUGAGAAAUUAAGAGCGUAUACCGGAUGUGGGACCCACUAGUGCGAAAAGUUCGGAAAAAUUCGGCCAACUAGGUUAAGUUUUGGAUACUGGAUUUAAUUUACCGGAUGUUAGGAGAUAAAUAGAGGUUGCUAUUUGGAUUGGUGUGAGAGGGAACAAAGAGAUAGAGUUGCAUUAAAUAAAGUGACACGUGUCACUUGGAGAUUGGAUGGGACUUUUGACUACUAUUUCAUGUCUUACCAUUUGAUUUAAUAAACUCAAAAUUUACCAAAAAAAUGCUCCAUUUCAAGCUCUCUUGGCCGACCACUUCAAGGAGAAAAGAAAGAAAGAAACUCUCCAAGUUCUUGAUUCCAUCUUGCUCCAAAUCAUCAAACCAACCAUUUAAUCUUGCAAUUUCUCCAUAAAACCUCUUCACUUAGUGUUAGUGAGUUGAUUUGUGGAGUUAUUUGGAAAGCUAAGAGGACCUAUUGCUCUCUCUCUCUUGUUUCUAAGGUGAGUUAUGAAGAACCACUCUCCUCCCUCUAAUGAUGCUUAAUUGAUGCUUAGUGGUGGUAUAAGGUGCCACUUUAUGGAUUAUAUUGUGAUGUUUGGUUGAAUUGAUGAACUUUUAUAAUUUUUUGGGGAUUUUCUGUUUUAAUAUGAACAUGAUUGUGUGGCUAUAUAUAAUGAUUGGAAAUGAUGUUUAAGGACUCUAUGAGGUGGAAAAAGUGGGUAAUUACAACCAAUUUCUGUUUUGGAAGCAAUUUUGGAAAAUUAGGGUUUGAUUAAGGUACAUUCUGCCCGGUUUUGUAUCUCAUAGUUAGAGGCCGAAUUGGCCUUGGCUUAAAACAUAAAAUUUGUAGGUAAUGAUAUUUUAGAGGUGUCUAAAAAAUUUCAAGUCAAUCGGAGUAGCGUAGAAUGAGAAAAGUCGAAAUUACCCUUGCUGUCCUGGUUUUACCAAAAUGUGAGAAUUGCGCCUGUAAUUGGUUGUUUUGGUUGGAAUUGCUUCGGAAUUGGUUGUUGAGGUCUUCUGAUGAAAUGUUUCCCUAUUUCUUAGAUUUCAGUUGGUUUUGGAAUUUCUGGAUUUGGACUUAGGUAGGCUGAGUUAUGAUGUUUGCACUAGAAUGCAUUCUGUGAAUCUGUUUUUACGGUUCUGGUGUAGUAUCUUGCAUUUUUGACCUGGUUACACUCGAAACUGGGUUGAGUGACCUUCUGCAAUAUUGUAGACCUAUCUCUUAGCUUCGAAACGGUGGAUCUUGGACCUUCAUCCGAUAAUCGUAGUGCCUUUGGUGCCAUUACCGUAAAAUGAGGUCAAAAACUAUUUUUUUCAGGGUUAAAGCUAAUUCUAUUUCCGGAUUUUCUGGUUUCCUCUAUUGCUUGUGUAUGCUUAGGGAACCCUGUUUUGGUGGUAUGUAGAAUUGGUUUAUGACUUGUAAUCGAGUCUUAUUGUGUUUAUUUGAAUAGUUUAGGGCUUGACUUUCAUAUCCGGUCAUUUCCUUGCUAAAUUUUGUACUUGAAUGCCAUUAAGCCUAGUGAACGGCUUUUGGGAAUGAGAUUAUUUUGUACGAACUGUUGGGACUGAUUUGAGGAAAUAAUGAAGCCAUGAUGGCUGGAAAAUAGGUAAACACAAGGGAUAUGCUGCCGAAAUUUUUCUUGAAGGCUAGUUGGAUUUACUUGUGAUUUGAACGAAGGGCUUUUGGGUUGUUUGAGCCUAGCUCUUCAUGUUACCUUUUCGUUAACCAAAAUCAUGUUUUGCACCAUUGCUUUAGUAAUUAUUUGGCGAGGCAUACGACUGGUAGUCGAGCCUCACGUGUGCAUUCUGUAUACUCGAUCUUGAAAGUGGAACCUUCAAUUGUUUUCCUUGGAUUAUUUUAGGGUUUCUUGGUAAUUAAAGCUCUCUUUUGGGAGGUAUCUGCACUGACCCUGGUGAGUGUACUACUCACUUGUGUGUUACUAUAUGGCUUUGAUACUUGAACUUGAUGAGUUAAAUGCUUAUUGUACCAUUGAUAUUGAUUGAAGUGAGGGUGUACUUUAUCACUCUCACCUAUUUCUCAUGUUAUUGGAAUGUUACAAGAAAUGUUACAUGAAAUGAAAAGUAAUUGACUUGGUGGCGUUUGGACGAGUAUCCAACGACCAUGCUUGUUACCAUUGAGCUCAACCCCAUUGGAAAUUGAUUGAAUCGAGCCGGCAAGGGCUUGGUCGUGACAAUUAAUGAGCCUUGAGUAAAGUUAUAAGGAAUCUUGUAGUAUGAGAGACUCUCGAUUCCGGUAUACUCGAGUAAUACCACAGUGCAAGUGUUUGGAGUUCGGGCCCGGUAGGGGGAUGUUAGGUGGAAGGAAUGGGAGUGAAGUGAAGUCUACGGUUGGUUACUUUUAAACAUUGACGGAGAGUCAAUGAGAUCCGAUCAAGAAUGCAAACGAGGAAAAGGGCUAUUGAGAGCCGUCUGUAUCCUUUUAUCGUCAUUAUUGAUGUGUGUCUGUAUUUACUUUUGAUGAAUUGGACUGAAAAACUUGAUGCAUCUAUGAACUCGGUUGCUUGAGUGGUACUAUCUCACUGGGCAAUUAGCUCACCCCGUUCCUUUUGUUUUCCUUACAGGAAUCUGACUGCUUAUGGAAUGAUUUUUGAUAAUUGGUUGUCGAAUGAACUAAAUGAAUAUCCCUUUUGUAUAGUUUAUGAGUUGAAACCCUACAUGUGCCUUUGGCGCCGUUUUCACUUUUAUUAUGGCAACCGUACAUGUAUUAAUUUUUGAGUACCUUUCAUAUUCCAUUUUGGCUUGUAAACGCUGAAUUUGAUGUUGUAUAUGUAUCUUUGAUGUAUGGUUGGGUUCUGACGGGUCGGUUACUAUUCAUGGCCGAAUCUGGAUUUCAUUGUUUUUAUUUUUGGAUUAUUUUGCCAUUGUGACUUGUUUACGCGCGUUAUAAGUUCCGGAACGCGAUAGACCGCUCUAAACUGCACCGUUAGUCCUAGCGAGAGCUGGGCAGGCAGUCUGCUAACCCUUUGGUUCGCCUUAGGGGAAGGUGGGGCUGUCACAGUUACUGAUCGACUCGAGCCAGAAGCGGACUCGGUCGGGCGAUUUGGUAACCCUGGGUGAAUGUUUGGUAUACUCGAGUAUUACCUUGUAGUCUGGUGGAGUCUGGCCAACGUCCGGGAGGGGGUGAAUGAAAUGAUUGAACGAAUGUCAAUGUAAAUGAGGGGUUUUACUUACAAAAAUACAUUUUCAAAUGAUUGGAGCAAUAAGGGAAUGAAAGGAGAAUGAAUGAAUGGCUCCCUGUGAGCACGUAUCCUUUUAAUGAAUAUGUUAUUAUCGCUUUCCAUUGUAAAUGUUUCUUGAAUUAUUGGUUAUCUAUGGUUAAUGCAUUGGCUUUAUUGUUUGAUUAUGUGUUCGGAACCUCACUGGGCUUUUAGCUCAUUCCGUUAGUUUUAUUUUCCUUAACAGGGGACGCGAGCAAGGAUGAGUGCUCUGUAUAGACUAGCUUAGUCUAGUUCUUUGGAUUCUCUUGUAAUGAUUGGAUGUAUGACAAAUUGAGAACCUUUGUAUAUUCGAUCUUUGUACUCUCUUUUGAGAUAGAAAUGUAUAUAAGUUUCGCUUUAAGUUUUGGAUUGUUGCUAUAUUUAUUCCUGAGGUUUUAUUCUGGUUUUAAUUGAGGACUGAAGUGAACGUCUGAGUCCCAGCGAGAGUUGGGCAGGCGGUCCGCCAAACCCUUUGGUUCGCCUUAGGAGGAGGCGGGGCUGUCUCAGGUGGUAUCAGAGCAGUUUCGCGUGGUCUCUGCGCGAAGUGAGCUUGGGCCAAGUGGUGUUAUGGUCCUGAUUUUGUGGAUGUGUUUCAAGGAUUAAGUGCUCUUCUUGGGCGUAAGUUAUGAAUCGUGCAUGUUUCAAGUGUAACAAUCGUUACCAUGGUACUUGAGGAAGAUAUAUAUGUAUGUCGGGUAGGAAUCUUUAAUAUGGAUGAUUUACUCUUGGGACCGGCCGGCUCGAGUUGAGAAUUAUUUUAUUUUAGAUUCUUGGACCUAAGUACCGAAGGGUGGAGAAUGCUAGAAUAAGAGUCGGUAUCUUGAUCGGACUUGAGGUAAGUCUUGAUGGCAAGGCCAAGGCAAGAAAGAUUUUCACAUUGGACCUAGUAAUUAGACCGAUUGAGGCGAGUGGAUAUGGAAGUGUUAUUUCCUUUCUGUUAUGAGCGUGAGGACUUGAUAAAUGUCUACUUGACUUUGAAUUAGUCUAGCUACAACUAUAAAGGUAUUUGAUAUUUUCUACCCCUCUUGUAAGACUUGAUACCCGUAGUUUGGUUCUCCAUAAACUACCUUUGCCUAUAUUUCCUUGAUACCUAUUCGUUGAUGACAAAGUAUGGUAUUGGCUUGAUUAUUAUUGUGCUGCGAUAUAAAGCUUGGAAUUAGGUAUGAGAUUUGGGAGAAAGGCUUUGGUUUCUAUGCCGGUAUGUUUUUAAGUUUAAUUUUUCGUGGUUGGAUUGGGAGUGAGGGGACUUAACAGUUAUAUGAUUAGAGUCCCAAGUGUACUAAGUUACUCAUUUUGAUCCAUUAUUUCUCUUGGCAGGUUAUCACUUGAGUUCGGGUGAAUCAGUAAGAUGACACAUUUGGCUGAUAUAUAUAAGGAGAUAGAGACUCUUCGAAAGGAAAUGGAGUUCCAAAAGAAAUUAGCUGAGCAUUGGGAAAGGCGAUGGAAGCAGGAGUAUACGGAGAAAAGAGAGCUAUUGUGAUAUAGGCAACCCUAGGGGAAGACCCUUCUAGAACCUCCCAACCUUGUAAUUAUCAGAGUUGGAUCUUUUCUCCCAACAGAAAUUGAACUCGAUUGUUCUCAUGAACUCAAGACCUCUGACACACAAAGGUAAUCAGCAACCUUAAGCAAAUAAGGAUGGAUGAAGCGACACCACGAUUAGGGAACAAGCUAAUCGAUAAAGUCUGAUUGGAAUCCUAAGCCAUGAACUCAAGAAUUCAAGAGUAAGUUCGAUUAAGAACUUGAAGGAAAAUUCCUCACGAUCUCUGGUUGUAAUAUUCUGUCUUUUACUCUUACAAGAGGUGCCUUUUUAUAGGCUAAAACUAGGGCAAAAUCCGGCCCACAUAAACCUGGAAGAGAUUCGAUCCGCAUAAAAGAGCUUAAAGAGCUAGCUCUUUAAGGCUUUCCAAUAAGGCCCGAUAAGUAAUAAAAUACUCAACGCCUAACAACUACUAAACGGGACAGUCUUAAAACAACUACCAACUAAGCUAACAAGUAUGAGAUCACUCCUUUACUUCAAACGUACAAGUGAACAAAGUAACUUCAUGGUCCAUCAAAUCUUCAAACUUAGCUUGUUCCUUGCUUGUAUGGUGAAUGAUCAAGGCUCGUAAAGCUUCCUUCACCCUCUUGGAUCUUGAUCUUGUCAUCGGACCGCCAAUGUGGACCAAAGGAUCCUUGACCCAAGGUUGAAGUUAAUUAUUACACACCUGUAUCCGCAUCAUUCCCUCUUUCCUCGAAAAGAUUCGUCCUCGAAUCUUCAAAGUCUCCUCUUGAAAGUGAGUUGUCCACAAAUCGAUGGUGCGCUUAAAGGACAGCAGUGUUGGAAGUAGACGAAUGACUACGAGCCAUGUUGCAUGUCGUUUGGUCAGCUUCGGGAAGCGCUCAAACAAGGACAUGCGCCAAGGUAGGAAAGAACUUGUGUAAGGCGUGUGAAAAUCCCAAGUGGCAAUCCAAAACUCUCUAAUUAGUCUUUGGUCAUGGAUCUUCACAUUGACACCUUGAUUGUGCAAAGGUGUAAAAUCCAGCACUAGUUGACAGUGAUUUGAAUCAUCUUGCUUGGAUAAAAUGGGAGUAACUUGUUGCAUGGAUGAGGCACUAAACAACUUGUGAAGGACAGCUUUGGGAUCUUGCGUGACACACAAUUUCUCAUCUUCCAACAUAUAAGGUAGCAAACAAUUGAAUUCCACUUCAUGAGAGUUACUCGAACUAGCACAAGUUGAAGUUGACAAAUUGAGCACUUGGCCACCAGCUUUUGGCGGAGUGAAUAAGCAUGAAAGAUCACCACAUUUAGUUGGAAUAAGCACAAAAUCAGGUUGUAAGUCUUGAAUCAAAACUGGAAAAUUGUGGACAGCUUUACAACCUACAAAAACAAAAUAAACUUCAACUUGAAACAAAUUUGAAAUCGGGUAAAGAAGUAAUGGUACAUUAUCAACUAAAUGGUAAGAAGGUGUAGAACAAGUUUUAAGUGUGAAAACUCCCUUUGACACUUCAUCAUUCCUUUCACCAAUUGAUUCAAUUUGAGAAGGCAUUGCUAGCCUUUUACAUUUUUCUUCAAAAUCUGGAUAAGAAAUACAAGUGUUAGGAUGGAAAUUAUACUCAAAAGAAGGUAAAGAUGAUGAAUGACCCAUAGGUAGCAAAUGAGAGUCAAAUUUCGGAAUUCUCCCUUCAUGGUGGAUUUGACGUGAUUCCCCUUUGGUAUGGACAGAUUUGAAUUGAAAUUGUUCCAUGAGAUGAUUCCAAAUAUAUUCAAUUCCUAAAAGACAAACUCCAUGGAAACUAGUGAAUUGUACAAGUGACUUUGGAAUGGAGCAUGGCAUGACUAACUUCACUUGACUUUGCUUAAUCUGCACAAAUGAAGAAACACUAAAUAAAGCAAAGGUAAGUUCGUUAGAAAAAUAAUAAGCCCUCACAUUUUUGCUCACAAUCGUCUCACUUUCUCUCUUUUCUUCCUUUUUACCACUCAUCUCAUCAGAUUUUUCCAUCUCUUUAUCUAGUUUAACGCCCUCGAUUGUUUUCUCAUCAUCAACCUCCUCAACAAAUGGUUCAAUAGGAUGAGAUACUCCUUUGUUGGGAAUAGGGUCAGCUAUCUCCUUCUUAGAAAACUCACUUUGAUAGCAUCCAUUUGACUCCAUUUGUUUUUGGUGUAGAAGACGUUGAUAUGUCUCCCAAAAUGACUCCGCAUGAGGUGGUUCAACUCUAAGUUUAGUCUUAGAAAAUGCUGAAUGAACCUUCUUAUCACCUCUUGCAUAAACCGGCUUUAAAGAGGUAGAUUGCAUGGAACCCCUCCUCUUGAGAGAUUCAUUCUCUUGCUUGAGUUUAUGUUCGUUCUCUCGAUUGUACAAGUCCGUGGUAUAAUGGAAGGGUACAAAUCGUUUCCUCAUCACUUGCUUCAUUUCAGUCCAAGUGGCAAUCGGUUGUUCCCUAUUUCUCCUUCUUGUGGCACAUACUUGCUCCCACCAAAUAGAUGCAUAAUCUUGAAAUUCAAUAGCUGCAAGUUUCACCUUUUUCUCUUCGGAGUAAUUGUGGACUUCAAACACUUGCUCAACUCGCCUAACCCAAUCCAAGUAAGCUUCAGGAUCAUUUUUCCCAUGAAAGGUAGGCAUCUUAGUCUUGAUGGAACCAAGAUUGUCAUCGGUUCUCCUAGGUCGGUCUCGGCCUUCCCUCGCUUCCCUGUGGCUUUUCCUUGAUCGGAAUGAAGGUGUUAGAAUGAUACCCCUCAUCAUCCGCAUCAUGCUCAACACUCUGAGCACUUGAAGCCCUAUUGGGAAUAUCUCCAGUACCUCGCAUCUCAAUGGCAGCCAACCUGUCGGAUAUUUGUGCCAUCGCAAAUUCAUGUCUCUCCCUUGUUUUUGAAGAGUUUGGAGCACCAGUUUGAGUGACACGUCGGUCUCAGACGGCUCGGCCAUGUUCCCUUCUUGAGACAUAUUGUCAAACCUGCAAAACAAAUGUAUCCUAGUCUACCUUGCAAAGCACUCGUGUAUCACUCAAGAAAACACACUCACUCUCAAUUUUCCUUCUCGAAGUUCUUAAAACAACUCAAACUCUCAAAAAUUCCAGAAUUAAUUACCCUAUAAGCAAGUAAUAAGACACAAAGCAGAAUUUUGUAAAUCCUAGAAAACAAAAACUCUACCUGAAACUGGAACUUUUUUUUUUUUUUGAGCUGUUGCUUUGCUGAGUUUCUGGUCAGUAUUUUGGAGUAUAAAUGGUGCUUUUGGGGUGCUCAAAUAAUGUACGAACCAGUCCUCAAAUUUCAGUCAAAUCGGAUCGCAAAACUAGCUCAACCGAUUUUAGAAACUCAAGAACUCCCAAGGCGGUUUGGGCUAAGUGUGUUUGGUUUGGUUUUGAAAACGGAAUUGGGUGUGUUUGGGGCUGGUUAGGUGUUUGGGGUCUUUGGAAUUCAAUCAAGAUUGGAACUCAAGAGUUGGAAACCAAUCAAGAUUAGGAAACUCAAGUUUUGGGAAAUCAACCAAGAUUUGGAGACUAAUCAAGAUUUGGGAACCCACCAAGAAUUGGAAACUCACGAUUUUUUUUGGAAACUUGAUUUCCUUUGUAUGAGAGCCAAUUCCUUUCUCUUCUUUUUUUUUCCUUUUUUUUUCGGCUCUUCAAGGAACACAAAUUCAGAUCACACCAACAAGUUCAAGAAAACGGAUGAAAGGUUAUGCCAAUUCCAAGAAAACCCUAGUUCUUGGUUUAUUGUUCAAGAAUUUUCAAAACAAGACUUGGUGGUCCAAGAACUUCAAGAAUUUGUUCAAGAAACACAAGAAUUUCCCCAAAUUAUGUUGCGGUGUCUAGGGUUUGCAAAAACAACAACCAAUUCUCAAGAAAUAGGCAAAACAGAAUUUCAGCAAUACUCAAAAGAAAAUUCCAGCAAUACUCUAGCAACUUGAACACUAAACAAUAUAAGGUACGUGACUCUUUUUUUUUUUUUGUCUUUAAACCCUAACAACCCAAACACAAGUAUAAUAGACCCAAGAACUUGGACAGAAAACACAAAAAAAGACAACACCCAAACAUUUUUUUUUUUGACUCGGAUGAACAGUAACAUGAACAGUACGCUACAGUACGAUGAACAGUAAUCGCUACAGUUUUUUUUUUUGUUUUUUGACAAAAGACACAACUAACAAGAUAUGAACAACUUCAAUUAAAAGAGAAUUAACCUGAUGCUCUGAUUACCAACUGAUAUAGGCAACCCUAGGGGAAGACCCUCCUAGAACCUCCCAACCUUGUAAUUAUCAGAGUUGGAUCUUUUCUCCCAACAGAAAUUGAACUCGAUUGUUCUCAUGAACUCAAGACCUCUGACACACAAAGGUAAUCAGCAACCUUAAGUAAAUAAGGAUGGAUGAAGCGACACCACGAUUAGGAAACAAGCUAAUCGAUAAAGUCUGAUUUGAAUCCUAAGCCAUGAACUCAAGAAUUCAAGAGUAAGUUCGAUUAAGAACUUGAAGGAAAAUUCCUCACGAUUUCUGGUUGUAAUAUUCUGUCCUUUACUCUUACAAGAGAUGCCUUUUUAUAGGCUAAAACUAGGGCAAAAUCCGGCCCACAUAAACCUGGAAGAGAUUCGAUCCGCAUAAAAGAGCUUAAAGAGCUAGCUCUUUAAGGCUUUCCGACAAGGCCCGAUAAGUAAUAAAAUACUCAACGCCUAACAACUACUAAACGGGACAGUCUUAAAACAACUACCAACUAAGCUAACAGGUAUGAGAUCACUCCUUUACUUCAAAUGUACAAGUGAACAAAGUAACUUCAUGGUCCAUCAAAUCUUCAAACUUAGUUUGUUCCUUGCUUGUAUGGUGAAUGAUCAAGGCUCGUAAAGCUUCCUUCACCCUCUUGGAUCUUGAUCUUGUCAUCGGACCGCCAAUGUGGACCAAAGGAUCCUUGACCCAAGGUUGAAGUUAAUUAUUGCACACCCGUAUCCGCAUCAUACUGUACAUGAACAUAGAGCUAAAGAAGAAAUAUGAAAGGAUUCUGAAAGAAGUAGGAAGUAAGUUUGAGUUAGUGCCUUUGUCUAGUCAAAUAGCCUCUCAGGACAUUCCUAGUAAUAAAGAUGAAAGAGGUGAAGGAAGUGCUUGCGGUAACAAAGGGAAACGUAAAGAGAUGGAUGGAAAUGGAGUUGCUAUGAGGGAUAAGGGAAGGAAGAAGAAAAAUAAUGGACACUUCAGGAAGAAAUGUGAGACUGCUAAGUGUGAAUCGUGUAACAAAAGUCAUACAGGAAUAUGUUAUGUGAAAAUUGGUGCAUGUUUCAGAUGUGGCCAACUGGGACACCAAUUGAAGAACUGCCCAAGACAAAUGGAUUUUGGGGUGUAAAGUUGUUGUAAUAGUUAAAGUGGGCAAGUAGUGAUGUGUUAGCUGAAAUAAAUAUAUUUAUGGACUUAUGUGUAUGCAACCCCUACGUAGUGAGUGUAGUAGAAGUAGUGGACCUAGUACGUGAUAUUUUGAUGAGUAAUAUUAAAUGUUGAUAAUUUGAUAGUAUUGAAUCCUGAUUCAUGAAUCUUUUAUUAUCAUCUAUUAUAGUUUAGUCUUGAUGUUAAAUUAAAUUUUCAUCUGUGGUUCGAGAGGGGAAACUUUUGAUAUUUUCACUAGGUUUCUUAGCAUGGGAUUUUAGUCAUUGCAUUAACACGAUUUCUUUCUAGAUAGAUAGUGGCAUGGUAAGAAAAAUUUUGAGGACGAAAUUUCUUUAAGGAGGAGAGAGUGUGAGGACUCGUAAUUUUUUCGUAUAUUAUUUUAUUUUAUUCUCUCACAUGCAUUUUCUUCACUAUACCUAUUAUAUUAAUUUUUCAGAGAUUUUAUAAGUAAGUAGAGUUUUAAAAUCAUUUUUCUAGUAUAAGUUAGUUUAUGUGACGUUAGUAGUGUAUCCUGGAUGUGGGACCCGCUAGUGCGUUGAGUGGGAUAAAUUCGGCCAAUUAGAUUAAGUUUUGUAUACUGGGAUUAAAUUACUAGGUGUUAAGAGGUAAUUAGAGGUUACUUAGAUGGUUUAAUCUUGGAGAGACAAAAGGAUAAGUUUAAACUUAAAAGGUGCCACGUGUCACUUUCUUAUUCGAGUUUGGACUUUGACCACUAUUCCUUAUGUCACGGCCCCACCUCCCCCUAAGGUGAACCAGAGGGUUCGGCGGGCCGCCUGCCCGACUCUCGCCGGGACUCAGUCGUUCACUAAAGUCCUCAAUUGAAUUACAAGAAUAAACCUCAAAUAUUACAAUAUAAAUCUCCAAUAUAACUCAAAGGUUCCCAAACUUUACAUAUCAAAAGCGAAGCGUCCACGCUUCCACUGCGCCACUCUGAUCCAUGAUCACAAUGAUUAUACAGGAGGAAGUCCAAAACUAGACUAUUACACAUCCAAUCAAUUCUAAACGUUCAAUACAAUCCCAAUAUGAAUGAUUACACCAAAAAGGAAAACCAAAUUCAAUCCAUACAUGAGAUAAUCCAUGAAUAAGCACUACAAGCACUCCUUCGCCUUGAGCCCUGUGGAGGGGAAUAAAACAUUUUUGGGGUGAGCUAGAAGCUCAGCGAGUAACCAGUAAAAUCAGUAAUCAAAUCGGUUUAACCAUAGUUCAUUUCAAUGAUGUUCAAUUCAAAUCAAAUGAUAAGUCCAGAAACAAUUUCAACAUUUACAAAACAUUAAAUAUGGAGUAUCAAUAAUUCAAGAAACAUGUACAAUGGAAAGCGAUAGUAACAUUCGUGAAAAGGAUACAUUCGUUCUCCUGUCAUUUCAUUGCAUUUGGCUUCAUUCGUGCAUUCAUUCACCCCGUCCCUGGCUUUUGGCCAGGCUCCACCAACCUACAAGGUAAUACUCGAGUAUACCGAAACGUUCACCCAAGUUCCUAGUCGCCCGACCGAGUCCGCUUCUGGCUCGAGACGACCGGUAACAAGGGGCAAUGGCCAGUUCAGCCCAAAAGGCUUACAUUCAUGCGCAAGUAGCAUUUAAUCAUUAAUCAUUGAAAAUUUCAUAUUUAUUUAGGUCGAGUGCGAUAAAGUACACACUCGCCUAGAAAACUCGUUUUAACAAUCAUUGAAAGCAAAAUCAAUAAUAACAAGACACUGAUAUGCAAGCACGCAUGAUAUGCAAGAAAACAGUUCCAAAAGUAACUUUGAAAACAGUUCAAAAGUAAAUAAUGCAAGAAAUGGUUCAUAAAUAAUUUUAGAAAUAGUUUGAGGUCACUCACCUCAAUGGCUCAGAAAUCAUCCAUCAUAUAACAUUGCCUUGCUCAAACCCAAGUCUUAGAUCACAAACUCAAUGCAAUCAAGUCCUUUCAAAGUUCGGACAGCACUUCCCCUGAAUUUGCUUACUUUUCCAGCCAUCAUGGCUUCAUUAUAUCCUCAGCCAAUCCCAAAGGUACACACACAACAACAAGUUCAUCCAAUAGCCAUUCAGCAAGCUCCAAGUAGUACUAGUACAAGUCAAGCUAGGGAAAAGUCCGGAAAUGAAAGUUUAGCUCAAACCAGAAAAACAGUUUUGACGUCAUUUUGCGGUAAUGGUACCAAAGGCGCUACGAUUGUCGGAUGAGGGUGUAAGACCCACCAUCUCGAAGCCAAAAGACAGGGCUACAACAAUGUAGAAGGCAACUCAGUCCAAAUCCUAGCACAACUAGGUCAAAUAUGCAAAAUACCAAACCAGAACCGUAAUUGCAGGUUUGCAAAUCACACUAUGCUGUAAUCAGUACAACUCAGUCUAUACAGGUCCAAAUGCAGAAAUUCCAAAGGCAUAUGGUAGCUAGUACAUCAAGCUACAUUUCAUAAGAAGACCUCAACAACCAAAUCCAAAUAAAUGCCAGUCAAAACAGACGAUUACAGGCGCAGUUCGUACAUUCUGAUCAACCCAGAACAGCAACAGUAAAAUCGAUAUAUCUCAUUCUACACUACUCCAAUUGCCCUGAAAUUUUACAGACACCUCAAACACAUCAAUACCUACAACUUUCAUGUUUUAAGAAAAGGCCAAUUCGACCUCUAACCAUAUGAUCCAAAACCGGACAGAAAGGGGGUUAUGAAACCCUAACUUUUCACAAAUUCCUUCCAAACCCAAAAUUGGUUGCAAUUACCAAUCAUUUACAUCCACUAGAGUCAUAACCCCUCAUUACCAAACAUCAUAGAUAACCACAACCUCAUGAUCACAUUAAACCAGAAAAUUCAUCAAUAAAAUAAAAACUUCACCAAUUCAUCUCAAACCAAGAAACAAACCACAAAUUUCAGCACUUUAGCCACCACUAGGCACAAAUUAAGCAUCAUUAAGUGUAGGAGGAAGUUCAAUCACCACUUACCUAGUAAACAAGAGAAAAGGAGUUGUAGAACACCUUAGCUUCCUUGAACACUUCCACAAAAUCACUUACUAGCACCAAAUGGAGGGAUUUUAUGGAGUAGAAACAAUUGUAAGCAAUUGGUUUGGAUGAUUUGAGCUAGUUGGAAGCUUAAAAUUGGAGAAGUUUUCUUUCUUCUUGAGCUUAAGGUGGCCGGCCAACAUGGAGAAAGAAAGAGUGAAGUUUUAGUCAAUUUUUGAGAUAUUUAAUCCAAGGGUAAGAAAGGUCAAAAAGGUGAAUAGUUGUCUUAGGCUUCAUCCACUCACAAGCUGACACUUGUCACUCAUUCAAUGCAUUCCUAUCCCUUUCUUUUCCUCUCACAUCAAUCACUUCACCUCCUCUACUAAUCUCUUAAUACCCGAUAAAUUUCAACCAGUAUCCGAAACUCAACCUAAAUGGCCGAAUUUUUCCGAACUUUUCGCACUAGUGGGGCCCACGUCCAUUAUAUAUCCGUAAUUUCUCAAAAACUCUCCAAUGCUUGAAAAAGCAUCUAAAAACUAUAAUUACUCAUAAAAUUCACCAAGACAAUUUUCCUAAGCCAGAAAAUGCAGAAAACAUGCCAUGAAAGGGGAAAAACCCUAGAAAAAUAUUAGGGGAAUUUACGGGUUCUCACACUCAUACUUUUCGGGGCGUCACACCUUAACUUUACUAAAACCUCAAUUUGACCCAAAAAUCAUCUCUAUUUCAUCUCUCUUGGCCGAGCUCCUUAGGGAGAGAAAAGAAAGAAACCUUCAACUUUUAUUCUUCAUUUCUUGCUUAGAUCUUGCAAACCAACCGGUUAAAUCUUGAACUUGUCCACAAAAGUAACUUGUUAAGGGUGUUUCAAGGUCUUGGUGGAGUUAUUAUGGACAAGGAACCACUAAGCUACUACCUUUCUUGAGGUGUUAAGGUAUCGUGCUUGGAGACUCACUUUUGUUCCUAAUAGUGGUAAAUUAGUGCCUUGCGGUAGCUAAAAAUGUUAUUUUGUGGAAGACUAUAUGGUUUUAAGUGGGGUUUAUCAAAUUUCUGAUUUUAUUCAUGAUUUUCUGAUUUGAUAUGAUAAUUAGUGGUUGGCCAUGAAUGAUAGCUUGUUAUGGUGUAAAAUGGAGCUUGUUUAUGUUAGUUACGAUUGUUUGCGAAAAAUUUCAGUUUUGUGCGGAAAUUUCAGCUAUAGGGUUCCAAUUUGCCCUGUUCUAUCCGGUUUUAUUUGAGCAUGUUAGAGGCCGAAUCAGGCUUAGGUUAAAACAUGAAAGUUUUAGGAAAUGGUGUUAACUAGUUUCUUGUAAAAUUUCAGCUUGAUCCAAGCACUGUAGCCUAUAUAAUGACCGAAAUACCCUUGACUGCCCAUGAACCCUGUUUUGCGGACAGAUUUCUGUUUUCGUUGGGAUUUCCAUUUUUGACAAUGAAAAUGCAUGAUUUGGCUUUAGAGGUCUUCAUAAGGAAUGUAGGUAUAUGUCUUGGCUUUGAAACGCUAUUAGAUUCAUUUUAAUCCGAUAAGUGUAGCUUCUGUUGUGAUUGUUAUGCCGAAAGGUGUUUUAUAGCCUACGAUUUGUAGAUGAAAUUGCAUUUGAUUUUGGGAUGAGAUGUGGUGUUUAAUUGUAGGAUGGAAAGUGAAGAAAUUAAGGGGAGAUGCUGUCUGUUUAUUUUCUUGAAGUUAGAGUGAGAUUUGAAAUGUGAUUUGGUGAUGCUUUGGAUUUACUUUGCUUAGAUGUACUUAGAUCCACUUAUGGUGUUAUUUGAACUACUUUUCAUUUGAACUUGUACCUUUUCACAUGGUGAAUGUAACAACCGUUUUAAGCAUGAUACUUAGUUACAAAUGUUAAGUUUUGAACUUCAAAUGUUUACUCAUUUUUUUUCCGAAACAAAGAAGAAUUUCCUAGCGUUUCUCGGCUGCAAAACCUAAUUUUAUCAAGCGAGGCUUUAGGUGUGAAUUUAGGGUUUAUUUAUUUUCCUUUUCUUGGCCAAAAAAUCUAAAUGUACACAUUUACUUUAAAACUCACAUUUAUAUAUUGUACUAGUAAGUAGUCGGAUUUUCUUUGAAUUACUUAAACUUUUGACGGUUGAACUGUGAUAGUUUCUCUUGGUUAUCUUAGGGUUCCUUGGUGAUUGAGGGUAUUAUCCGUAAUGAUACUUUGGACGUUAUUUUGCUUAAAUAGGUGAGUGUUCCUUGUUUGUUAUACUUCCUUGACUUCAUGGCUUGUUGUAAUUGUUGAUAAUGUGUUAAGUGCUCUUAAUGAUUGCCAAAACGAGUUUUCUAGGCGAGUGUGUACUUUAUCGCACUAGACAUAAAUGAAUGUGAAAUUUUCAAUGAUUCAAUGAUUGAAACGUUACUUGUGCAUGAAUGUAAGUCUUUUGGCUGAACUGGGCCCUGCCCUUCGUUACUGAUCCACUCGAGCCAGAAGCGGACUCGGUCGGGCAAUUUGGUAACCCUGGGUGAAUGUUUGGUAUACUCGAGUAUUACCUUGUAGUCUGGUGGAGCCUGGUCAACGUCUAGGAGGGGGUGAAUGAAAUGAUUGAACGAAUGUCAAUGUAAAUGAGGGAUUUUACUUACAAAAAUAUAUUUUCAAAUGAUUGGAGGAAUAUGGGAAUGAAAGAAGAAUGAAUGAACGAAUGAAUGAAUGGCUCCCUGUGAGCACGUAUCCUUUUAAUGAAUGUGUUAUUAUCGCUUUCCAUUGUAAAUGUUUCUUGAAUUAUUGGUUAUCUAUGGUUAAUCCAUUAGCUUUUUUUUUUUGAUUAUGUGUUUGGAACCUCACUGGGCUUUUAGCUCAUUCUGUUAGUUUUGUUUUCCUUAACAGGGGAUGCGAGCAAGGACGAGUGCUCUGUAUAGACUAGCUUAGUCUAGUUCUUUGGAUUCUCUUGUAAUGGUUCUCGCCCUAGUGCUUGGCACGGGCUGGAUGUAUGACGAAUUGAGAACCUUUGUAUAUUCGAUCUUUGUACUCACUUUUGAGAUAGAAAUGUAUAUAAGUUUCGCUUUAAGUUUUGGAUUGUUGCUAUAUUUAUUCCUGAGGUUUUAUUCCGGUUUUAAUUGAGGACUGAAGUGAACGUCUGAGUCCCGGCGAGAGUUGGGCAGACGGUCCGCCAAACCCUUUGGUUCGCCUUAGGGGGAGGUGGGGCUGUCUCACGCCCAAUUUUGUUCUCAAAGACACAAAUUGGUCCAGUGGUAAGGCUUUUGUGAGAAUAUCAGCAAUUUCAUCUUUUGAACAGACAUAUUGAACACAAAUUUCACCCUCAUAAACUAGAUCAUGAAUGAAAUGAUACUUUAUGUCUAUGUGCUUUGUCCUGGAAUGUUGGAUGGGAUUUUUUGUCAAAUUUAUUGCACUGGUAUUAUCACAAUGCAUAGGCACACAGUCAUACAUCCAAAAUCAUUCAAUAUAUUUUUUAUCCACAAUAAUUGAGCACAACAAGUGCUGGCAGCAACAUAUUCCGCCUCGGUUGUAGACAGGGAAAUGACAUUUUACUUCUUACUAAACCAAGAUACUAAGCAUUUUCCAAAAAAGUUACAUAUACCCGUUGUACUUUUUCUAUCUACCCUACACCCAUCAAAGUCAGCAUCCGAGAAUCCACAUAAAGGAAAUUCAAAACACUUAGGAUACCAUAAGCCAAAAUUCACAGUUUCUUUUAGGUAUCUAAGAAUUCUCUUUACCGCAUUUAAGUGAGAUUCCUUUGGACAGGACUGAAAGCGAGCACACAACCAUACAACAAACAUGAUAUCAGGACUACUAGCAGUUAAGUAAAGCAAGCUACCAAUCAUACCUCUAUACUUCUUUUCAUCAACCGUUGUACCUUCUUUAUCCUUGUCAAGCUUGGUAGAGGUGCACAUGGGUGUUUCAACUUGUUUUGAAUCUUCCAUUCCAAAUCUUUUGAGCAGCUCCUUGGUAUAUUUUGCUUGAUUAAUAAAUGUUCCUUCUCCGGUUUGAACCACUUGGAGUCCAAGGAAGAAGUUUAAUUCCCCUAUCAUACUCAUCUCAAACUCUUUUUGCAUUAUUGUAGAGAAAUUCUUGCACAAACUCUCAUUAAUGGCACCAAAUAUAAUGUCAUCAACAUAUAUUUGCACAAUUAACAAAUCAUGUGAACUUUAUUUAGUGAAAAGAGUGGUAUCUACAAUUCCUCUUUUAAAACCAUUUUCAAUCAAGAAACCACUUAGACGUUCAUACCAAGCCUUUGGAGCUUGUUUUAAUCCAUACAAUACUUUUGAGAGUUUAAACACAUGAUUAGGAUAAAUCUCAUUUUCAAAACCAGAAGCUUGAUCAAUAUAUACUUCUUGAUCAAUAAAGCCAUUUAAAAAGGCACUUUUUACAUCCAUUUGAAAUAGUUUGAAAUUCUUGAAACAUGCAAAGGCCAAAAACAUUCUAAUUGAUUCUAGCCUAGCCACGGGUGCAAAUGUUUCAUCAAAGUCUAUUCCUUCUUCUUGAACAUAUCCCUUGACUACAAGUCUGGCCUUAUUUCUAUCAACCUCACCUUUGUCAUUCAUUUUGUUUCUAAAAACCCAUUUCAUGCCAAUGAUAGGAUGAUUUUGAGGUCUUUCAACCAAUAUCCAAAUCUUGUUCCUUUCAGUGUCCUUCGAUUGUAAACUCUAAAACCUCUCUUAUUCUCACAAUACCCCAAGAAAAUUCUUUCAUCAGAUUUUUUAUCAAACUUACCAAGAUGUUCCUUGAUGUUUAAAAUGAAAUAUUUGCAACCAAAGACUUUGAAGUAUCUAACAACAGGCUUUUUAUCAAACAUCAACUCAUAAGAGAUUUUGUUCAGGAUUGAUCUUAAAAGAAUUUUAUUCAUAGUGUAGCAAGCUGUAUUUAUUGUUUCAACCCAAAAAUAUUUUGGUAAAUUGUACUCACUUAACAUGGUUCUAUCAGCCUCUUGAAGUGUUCUAUUCUUCCUUUCAACAACCCCAUUUUGUUGGGAAACUCUUGCAAUUGAAAAUUCAUGUGUAAUGCCAUUGUUAUCACAAAAUUCUAAAAAGCCACAAAAAUAAAAUUCUGUGCCAUUGUCACUUUUGAUCUUGAUGAUUUUUAACCCAAUCAGAUUUUGAACCUUUGCAAAUAAUGAAACAAAGGUUUUUGAAAGUAUUAUCUUUGUGUGCAAGAAACAUCACCCAAAUGUAUCUAGAAUAAUCAUCAACAAUAACAAGGCAAUAUCUUUUGGCACCUAAACUAGUGGUUUGUGUAGGACCGAAUCAGUCAAGAUGUAAAAGUUCCAAAGGUUUUGUAGUAGAAACACAUUUCUUGGGUUUAAAAGAAACCUUGACAUGUUUUCCAAAUUGACAAGCAUCGCAGAUUUUAUCCUUUUCAAAUUUGAGUUUUGGCAAUCUUCUAACAAGUUCCUUUUUGGAAAUCUCUUAUAGCAAAUCCAUGUUGAAAUGACAAAGCCUUCUAUGCCACAACCAAGGGUCUUCAUUUGCAAUUUUAAGACAUUUAAAACUAGAAGAAUCAACAUGUUCCAGAAUUACUAUAUAAAUGUCAUUAACUCUUUUUUCCUUGAAGAUAGUGUUGAAUUUUGAGUCAAGAACAAGAUAUUCAUGCUUUUUAAAAAACACAAACAGAUUUCUAUCACACAAUUGACUAAUACUUAACAAGUUAUAGCUCAAAUUGUCAACUAAAAAAAUAUUGUGAACAAAGGUUUGACCAUUCUUACCAAUAUCACCAACUCCAACAGUUUUGGCUUUGUUAUCAUCUCUAAAAGUUAUCUUUCCACUUGAUUUUGGUUUGAGUUUGAUGAAUUGUGAUGGAUCACCAGUCAUAUGCCUUGAGCAUCCACUAUCCAUGAACCAUUUUGAUUUCUUGAUAAUAUUCACCAAAUUCACCUACACAAAUGUUUAUAAGAUAAUAUUUGGUACCCUUUACUUUUUGGGUCCUUGUGAGUCAGCAUUAUCCUUAACUAUCCACAUGCAUUUCAUACCAUUUCUCGUAUUCUUUCUCACAGAACAAUUACUCUUCAUAUGACCAAUUUGACAACAAAAUCUGCACAUAGUCGGUGAGUUACUUGAAUGGACAGGUUUAACAAAUCGAUUUGCCUUCUCUUAUAAAUGGUAAACUCAUUUGCACUAGAAUUCAGCCUUUUCCCAUAAAUGCCAAAAUGAGGCUUUGCAUCAUUCCUUUGAAAGAAGUUUUGUUUCUUUUACUGAAGCAACUGAUCAAGAUCUUCCAUUCUUUUUUUUCAAGCUUCCUUGUUCAUUUUUUAGCAUGUCACAGAAGUUUGUUUUUUUUGUCGAGUUCAGCACAUAACUCAUUUUUAGUUCUAUUCAGGUUUUCAUUUUCAUUUUUCAGUUUCUUGUUCUAUUGAAAUAGGUUUGCAUUGUCUUGAAUCAGAAAGUUGAUCUUUUGCUUUAACUCCUUGUUUCUAACAUAGGAUUCUUUCAAGCUAUUGUGCAUUCUUUCCAUAAAAGAAUUAACAUCAUCAUCAGAUUCAUUAUCACUACCAGUUUGAGAGUUACAGGUUGUUACCUCUUCAUCACCAAUGGCCAUGAAAGCCAUUUGGACAGAUUCCUCUUCUUCUUCGACUUCACUUUCUGAGUUGCAGUCAUUCCAAGUAAUCUAGAAGUUGCUAACCUUUGGUUUUCGUUCAAAUUUUCCUUCUUUCUUUUUCUUCAUUGGACACUCAUUCGCAUAGUAUCCAGGUUGGCCAUACUCGAAGCAUUUGUCAGUUUGCUUCUUGUUGAACUCUUGUUUCCCUUUGUUUCAUGAGUUGUUGAACUGAUUUGGGAAUGAAUUGCUAGGUCCUCCUUUUCUGAAUCUCCUUUUGUUGAGAAUCUUCUUGAAGCUUCUUGUGAUGAGUACAAUAUCACUGUCAUCAACUUCCAUAUCGUCUCCAUCUAAGGAGACUGAGUCAUCUUCCUCUUGUGAGACUUUUAGAGCAAUGCUCUUUCGCAGCUUUGCAUCUUCUUCCUCCUGCACCUUGGACUUGAGUUUCAACUCAUAAAAGGUUAGAGAAUUUAUGAGAGAUUCAAUAGGCAUGGUAUUUUGAUCCCUAGUUUCUUCAAUGACAGUCACCUUACUUUCCCAAUCCUUAGAUAAGGCGUUCAGAAUUUUUCUAUUUUUCUCACCUAGAGAGUAUUUCUUUUCCAGCACUUCUAAGUCCUUAAUGAGGUCAUUGAAUCUGCAAUACAUCUUAUCAAUAUUUUCAUGAGGUUCCAUCUUAAAGGAUUCAUACUUAGUGACCAGAAUAGAUUUCUUUUGUUCUCUCACAUUCUCACUUCUUUCAUGAAUUUUUCUAAAUUUAUCCCAAAUCUCUUUUGCAGAUCUACAGUCUUUAACUCUAAUAGACUCAUUUGAAUUUAGAGCACUAUAUAAAACAUUCAUGGCCUUGGCAUUCAAGUGAUAUGUGUUCUAUUAUCAUCAGUCAGCUCACUCCUCAUUUUUUGUCUCGGUCUGUUGGUAACUUCAUCAACAGUAGAGACAUCAUAUGGGCCUUCAUUGACAAUAAACCAGAGCUCGAUGUCAAUAGAAUGUAAGAAAAUAAUCAUCCUUUCCUUCCAACUCACAUAAUUUGAUCCAUUGAACAUUGGAGGUCUAGUGACGGAUUGUCCUUCAAAGAACAUGGCAUUGUUGGUUGUCAUUUUUACUCCAAAGCCGAUUGAGCUUAAUUUCUAGGAGACCAAGCUCUGAUACCAAUUGUAAGGAUUGAAGACAACCUAAGAGGGGGGUGAAUUAGGUGGUUUAAAAAACUUGCCAAGAUAUGAGUCACUUUUUGAGUAUCUGUCCCCUUUUUCCAAACGACCACACAAUCGAGUAAUAGAAGAGAAAACACAAGUGCUUAUGAGUAGAAGAAAUGAACAGAUUAUAUAUCAAAAUAGUAAGUAAAAAGAGAUAGAAUAUCAAACCAAAAGUCAAACUUCUCUUGAGUUUAGAUAUCACUUUAUAGAGCAAGUUUCUUCAAGUUGAUCAACUUACAACCAAUCUUUUGUGUACAAGGGAAGGAUCACUUCCUCCUUGCCCCAAGCCACACUUGGUCAAGCAAGAAAGUUUUACAAUCACUCGGAUAACCCUCACAAAACUACACUAUUGAAGAAGUUGACUCACACUAGAAAAGCUUAUAGAAAGUUACACAACUAAGAGUACAAAUCUUCUUUUUGAAGAGUAUUCUCACACUUGAAUCACUCUUGAUUGAUGUAGUCUUAAUAUGCAAAAGAUUUUUUCAUGUGGUUGACUUUGUUCUAUUUAUAUGGGACCAAAAAGUUCCUCAAUUAAUGUUUUCAACGGAUAGAAGGCAGCUGAAGAGUCAACUAGCCGUUGGUAGUGUCGGACUUCCGGUAGAUCAACUUCUUGCGUCCGAACGUAGGCAGUGAGUUCAAGAAAUUUUCUUGAAUUAUAUCGGACGUCCGGUACCUUCAAUGCAUGCGUCCGAAAGUAGGAGGUGAAACUAGGAGUUCUUCUUCAAUUCUUUUCGGUCAUCCGGUCCCUCCAAGGCUUUGCGUCCGAAGUGUCGCAACUCUUGUCGGACGUCCGAUGCUUUGAGGAUGUGCGUCCGAUCGAAGUCAGUGAGUUUGGAGGGAAUGACUCAAUAUCUUCGGACGUCCGAGGGUGAAGUUCUUCAUUCGUCCGAAGUUGUGCAAAGGUUGUCGGACGUCCGAUCCAGUCUUCUUGCGCGUUCGACAGUAGAUUUAGCAUUCUUUGUACUUUUAAUCUUUGAACCUGUUUUGCUCCAUUUCUGAAAGAGUCUCUUUGAGAGAACAUUAGUAAUCAUCCAUUUGUUUUGUAAUCAUCAAAAUCUACGGAUUGAGAUAAACACUUGUGUUGUACCCGACCUACUUAUGCCUAAAAAGGAUGGAGGAUGGAGGAUGUGCACUGACUGUCGAGCUAUUAACGCCAUCACGGUAAAGUACCGCUAUCCCAUACCUCGUCUAGAUGACAUGCUUGAUGAAUUGCAUGGUGCUAUCAUUUUUACAAAAAUUGAUCUGAAAAAUGGGUACCAUCAAAUUCGUAUGAAAGAUGGGGACUGUGAGUACUUGCAAAUUCCUUAUAUUUUUCUUAAAAAUGCCCUUUUAUUUGGAAAUUAUUCAUUUAUUAUGGCCCUACUACCCAAUCACCCUACAAUAACUGUAAAUGAAUAUAGAAGUAAGGGUUUCGUUAUCCGUUUUCAAGUUAGAGCGAAUUAGGGUUUUCACGUUUUUUCGUAGUAUGACUAUUCGGUACGGAGUGAGGAUCAAAUUUGGUAGGUAAGAGUGAAUUUUGGAUGAGGAAAUAUUAUAUGAUUUGAAGUGAUAAUAAUAAGUUGGUGACUAGAGGGUAAAAACCCUAGUAUACGUGAUUUAAGAAAAAACGGCUCGAACCGACGGGUAUCGAUCACUACCGAUUGAACCCACCACUUCCUUACCACCACAAAUCCUUGAUAUUUUUGCAAAAUAUCCCCCCUCAUCCUCAGCCAUAUGGCCGAAAAUUGUGGCCAAAAUGCAAGGAAAAAGAAAGCAAAACUUAGAUGGCUUUGGUGGUGACAAGUGUCAACCAUCUAUGGAUUCUUGACCAACUUUUUAUCUCACCUUCUUAUCCCUUAUUUCAGCCCAUUUUCCCUCAUUUCUUUCUGUUUUUGGCCGAGAGCAAGAAGGAGCAAGAGAGGGAAGAGAGUUUCCAAUCUUCUACUUUGAAUCUAAUCUUUUUAGUGCAAACAAGAAAAACUAAACCGAUCAAUCCCUAGUUUGGAAGCUUGGGAAGCUAAGGAACCAAAAAUCUUAAGGAGAGGUGAAGGAUCAUCCUAGCAAACUCUUGCCUUGAGGUAUAAUGGCUGACCAACCUUUCUUUCUGUGAUGGCCCCACCUCCCCCUAAGGCGUACCAAAGGGUUUGGCGGGUCGCCUGCCCAGCUCUCGCCGGGACUCACUCACUCACUACAGUCCUCCAAUGAAGUAUAAGAUAAAUCUCAAAUAUUACAUCCAAUUCUCCAAGAAUUACAUAUCACGAGUACCAGAAAGUAAAACCUAGAAAAACUGAUAACUACAACCACCACGCCAACUAUAUACAUCUUACUCGUCAACUUUUAACAAAUACAAAUUCAAGUAUUCUAUAGCUCAAAAUCUAACCACCUUCCCGAGCGAUCCCCGCGUCGGCCCCCUGCUAAGGAAAACAAAUGGAACGGGGUAUGCUAUAUGCUUAGUAAGUAAACAGGGGUAAAAUCGUAAAUUUCACAUUUAGAUAAGUAACUAUUUCACAACAGUGUCAAGUCAAGUGCAAAAGUAACAAUACAAAGGAAGGAUACAUGUUGGCUCCAAAGCCAAGUAGUUUGCCAUGCGUGACCUCCUGCCGACACUCCGUCGACCAUAAACAAGGUCCGUAGAACUCCACUUGUACUCCCACCUAACACCUUAUCACCCUCACUGGCCAGUCACCUCACAAACUUGCCCGGGCGAACGAAAUCACAAACUUGAGCUUGAGUCACAAGCUCGGGUCAUAAACUUGGUUCAUAACUUGAACCUACAAACUUGGUUCACAUUCUCAGUGAACCGGAUUCACAAACUUGGUGACCUCAGACUAGGCUGGACUGACUUCGACCAAGCCCUAACCGGCUCGAAUAGUCCACCUAGGUCGUGAGAUCGACCUCAAACUCACAAACUUCACAAAAUGAUCCAAAAGUCACCCCGAGCUACAAGCUCGAGGGUUUUAGUUCCAAAAUGGUUCUUAUACAUAUGCCAUGUACAAAUACGUGUGCAAAGUAGGGUUUAGGUCGAGUGCGAUAAAGUACACCCUCGCCUAUCGUACCCUUUUCAUACAUAUCAAAACACAUAAGCAACGAUCGCAUAAGAAUGGCCUGAAUACUUACUCAAAAUACAAAAGUAGUACAAGAGCAAAAAUCACUUCGUGCGUGUUAGCUAUGUAACGACCCCACCUCCCCCUAAGGCGUACCAAAGGGUUUAGCGGGCCGCCUGCCCAGCUCUCGCCGGAACUCACUCACUUACUACAUUCCUCAAAUAAAUUACAAGGUACAACUCAAAUAAUACAUCCAAUUCUCCCAAAAUUACAUAUCAUAAGCGAAGCGGAAACUAGUUCUAAGCGUAAAAUGUAGAUUUACAUCUGAUUCAAUUUCAAAUAUUUAUACAAGCCCAAAAGUACAUAAACCAAAACCAAACUAAACUAUACAAGAUGUACGCCAUCCAGCCACACAAAGAUCCAAAAACAAGUUCUUCCUUUACUUCGAUCCCUGUGGGGAGAAAAAGAUAAUAGGGGGUGAGCUAGAAGCUCAGCGAGUGACCAGUAAAAUCAACAGCCAAGUAUAUUUCACAAUAAAGCAUUGAUAUGAUGUCAUGAUGCAGUAAUCAAAUGUUCAUUUAUUGCUCAUGUGAGCCAGUGAAGUUCUUGUACUUAAAUACCCAAUGCUCGUUUAGAUCAAGUAACCAUGAAACAAAAGUGAGGAGCCAUCGUGCUCCAAAGAAUGUGUAAACAAUAGUGGAGACAUUGGUUCUAAGCACAAGACUUUCCAGGAACUCAUUGGAGCCAAAUUAUGUCAUGGCACACACACAAACACAAUGAUAUGCAAUUGUGCAAUCAAUGCAAGAAUCAUUUCAAAAGUAAUCUUUGAGAAGUAGUGGAGAGAUCACUCACUCAAACUAUAGUGCUUCAAGUAGUCACGUUCAAUUAUACUUCAGGUUUGGAGUCCAGAUCUGCGAUAGCAAUCCAAUUUGAGAACUUUGAAACACGAGUAAGAUUUGAAACUUAAACGUUCCGUUCAUAAGAAUCAACCAAUUGAAAUUCAUUUGAAAGGCAUUCGUGAAACACUUGCUCGCUUUUCAAAUCAUAAGGUUUUUGUAGCAUAUAUACUUGGAAACAUUACUUGAGUUGAAAGUACAAGGAAAUACAAGUUUACAUUGGCCAUUAUAUCUUUUCCUCAAGAGUACAAGUUCGUUUAGGUUUUUAACGUAUAACCAUCGAUUAACAAAGUAGCAAAAGUUUGCGCUAGUUCAAGUGGUAAUCACUUAACCUUCACUCAAGUUGCAAAUAUAGUUUUCUAGUUCUCGAGUAAAAAUUCGGGCAGCAUGCCCUUUGUGUUUACCUAAUUUUCCAGCCAUUUAGGCUUCAUUAUUUUUCUCAAACACAACCCAACAUCAUAUAUAUACGCAAUUUAUGUCAAGAGCCGUUCCAUAGGCUCACAAUAUCAUAAUAAUAAGGUUCACAACAAUAGCAAGUGCAGAAAUUCCAUAUAGCCAAAAGACAGAUUUGACGUAUGAAAGCGGAAAUAAGUUAUCCGAGGCUACGCUAAUCGGAUUAAGGCGAAAACUAUGCCGUUUCGAAGCUAAGACUCAGGGCUACAAUGUUUAUGAUUAUCACUAAGUCCAGUUUCUAAUGUAACUUGGUCAAAUUCGCAAAUUACUAAACCAGAAACCAAUUCAUCGGCUGCUUAAACGCAGAACACUGUAAUGGUCAUAACUCAGUGUACACAAGUCCGAAUCAGGUGUUCUUAGAGGAAUUUUAAAGAUAUUUCAGAACACUACAACUUUCAUGUUUUGGCCCUGAACUAAAUCAGAAUGGAUCCUGGUCAAAAAACGUGAUAAACUGGACUUAACUGGUGAAACGGACUGCUGGGAAAUACUUAGAACAGUAAGGGUAUUUUGGACUUUUCACGUCCUACGUUGCUCCGAUUGAGCUGAAAUUUUGUAGGCACCUAUAAAAUACCAUUCUCUACAACUUUUCUUCUUUGACCUAAGGCCAAAUCAGCCUCUAACAUACAGAUACAAAUUCGGACAGAAUGUUGAGCAAAUUUUCCAGAUUUUGGAAUUUUGAGUUUCUAGUGCAACUUUCCUUAAUUUCUUGGUCUAAUCACUACCACAACACCUUAUAACACCUCAAUUGCAACAUAUAAGCAUCAUACAACAAUUUGAGCAGAAUUUCCACAAGCCCUAGUUCAUCAAAUAAAUUGGGAAAAACUACUAAAACAUGAUAAUCAUCCAUAAUCUCACCACAAGAUCAAGUUGCCAAGCUUAAUUGAACAAAAUUGAAAGCAAAACUUGGAGAGAUAAGCUCUCUUACCUUGACUAGAGGUUACUACAAGUAGCCCAAGCUUUCUCCUCAAAAAAUCACACCACAAGCCACUAGCUAAUCACUCAAGAACAAGUUUAAUCGGUUUACUUUGUUUGUUUUCUCACUAAGUUGUUGGAUUUGAAGAUGAAAUGAAGAAAUUUCUCUCUUGUUCUUCCCCUCUCUCUCUCUCGGCUCCUUGGCAGAAAUAUGAAGAGAAAUGGAGCUUAGUUGCCUUAUAAUAAAGCAAGAGGAUUAGGACUAAUGGUGUCCACAAAUUGGGCAAACACUUGGACUAAUCUUGGCCACAAAAUUUUUUCUCUUUCUUCCCUUGCCUUUGAGCCACAAUUUUCGGUCAACCUUGCUGUAAUUUAAGAAGAUAUUAUGUACAAAAGUCAACAAACUUGUUGGGUAAGAAAAAAUGGUGGUCAAGCAGUGCGUUCAAUCGGUAGUGCGCGGGACCCACCGGAUCGCGCCGUUUUUCUUAAAACUCACGUACUAGGGUUUUUACUUCCCAUUCACUAACCUUAUAUCAUUGCCACUAGUCACAUCUUAUUUCUCACUUAAAAGUCACUUUUAAUCCCCAAAUUAAUUCUUACUCUGUACCGAAAAUUCAUCCGGCGAAAAAUCGCGAAAACCCUAACUUUGCUCCAAACUUGAAACCGAAGUGUAAAACCCUAUUUUCUAGGUUUAUUUACACUUAUGUGAAAUAAUUGGGUAGUGGGCUUUGAUAAAUAAUAAUUUUCAAAUAAAAGGGUAUUUUAGUCCUUAUCGGAAAGCCUUAAAGAGCUGGCUCUUUAAGCUGUUUAUGCGGACCGAAUUUCUUCCAGAUUUAUGUGGGACGGAUUCCUCACAAAACUCUAUUCACCAGAAAUUUUUCCUUUUCUUCUGCCUCGGGGCGUUACAAGCUAGUAGUGGGCCCCCCACCGGCUCCGCCUAGCUCACCACUGUUUGAAAUAGAAGAUUGCAUCACAUAAUAUCACAAACGGCCACUAACAUGCUCAAAACAAGCAAAACGGCAAAAUCGACACAUGCAAGUGCGGAAACGGCAAAAUGGACACAUGCGCGCGCGCGGAAACGACAAACGGAAACGGGCAGAUCUGCCAUCUCAAACCGUUUUGAUCAAACGUUAGGCUAGGAAUAUCGGAUCAAGGUGGGUGAGACACCUUUUCGAAGAUACGAGGAAAGGCUACAAUUUUCAUGAAGACACCUUAAUCUAGAUCUGAAUGGAAGCAGGUCGAAAUUAUGGAAAACAGUACCAGAAAUUUGCAUCUUAGGGUAACGAACAGGGUUUGUUUGCUGGACCAUAACUCACAGCUCAUAAAUCCAAAUCAAGAAAUUUCAAAAGUGUUGUAAAGCUAGGACAUAAGGCUAUAACUUUUGUGUUUUGACCAACAACUGAUUCAGCACGGAACACAGAGAAAAAAUGGGUUCAAAGUUCCUGUCAGAAUUGUCCAAAUUCGGAGGCAGUUCUGACAACCGAUCUUGUUUUGAUCAUAACUGAAGCUACGGAACUUGGAUUUGGAUGCACUUCAUUGGAGGACUGUAGUGAGUGAGUGAGUCCCGGCGAGAGCUGGGCAGGCGACCCGCCAAACCCUUUGGUACGCCUUAGGGGGAGGUGGGGCCGUCACAAGUGGUAUCAAAGCCGACUCCCGACCCCGGUGUGCCAGCGAGGACGCUGGGUCUCCUAAGGGGGGUGGAUUGUAAUGAUCCCACAUCGGCUAGGGAGGAAGUCCUGGGGCUGCUUUAAUAGCCUUUAGUGGUCUCUCCCACCUGACCGAGGCCUUUUGGAGAGGUGCUGGGCUUCUUGACCUGCGGGCUUGGGCUCUUCACUUGUUGUGGGUAUAACCCCACCUCCAGGAACAAAACCCACGGCCCAAUGGGGUGGUUAACGGUGGGACAAUAUUGGUCAGGGCGUUACACUUUCUCCAUUAAUCAUGAUUUAGUUGGGUAUUAAUGUUAGUAUUGUUCUUGUGAUGCUUGUUUCAAGUGGUUUUGUUGAUUGGAUGGAUGAUAUUUGAGUUAGGGUUUCUUGUGGGUUAUGUGUUAUAUGAUGUAUAUAUGUGGUAUAUAAUCUUGUAAAGGAGAUAGUAGUGGUAGUUUCAAGAUAAAAAUGAGAAGUAUAGCUUGAAUAUAGCAAAAUUCCAGAUUUCUGGAAAUCUUAGCUUCAGUUCUGUCCGGUUCUAUUUCAUCAUGUUAGAGGCCGAACUAGGCUUAGCAUAAAACAUGAAAGUUGUAGAUAAUGACCUUUUAUGGUUUCCUACAAAAGUUUAACUCAAUCGGAGCAACGUAGCCUAUGAAAAGAUGAAAAUACCCUGACUGCCCUAGGAGUAAAGUCAGUGGACAGUUUUGACAAUACACUAAGUUGGUUGCGCUUGUUCACCUUGAUAUCUACUGAACUAGCCUUUAACCAAAUUAUUAAAGUUUUAGUACUUUGUCUUAGCUUUUCAACGCCUCCAAGAACGCCUUAAACGGACUUUGGUAGCUUGAGAUAUGGCCAUUUGGAUGUAGUACGGUUAACUGGCUGGUUAGUUGGAAUUUGGUUCUGUGAAUUGGGAAUUUGACUGGGUUACACUGGAAAUUAGACUAGGUGGUCUUCACCAAAGCUGUAGCCCAUUGUCUUAGCUUCGAAAUGGUAUAAUUUACACCUCAAUCUGAUAAGCGUAGCCUUGGUUGUGUCCGUUACGCAAAAUCACGUCAAAUCUGUCUUUUGCUAGACUUCAUUUCCGCACAUGUCGUUAGCUUGAUUUUUGUACUUGUAUUACCUUGAGCCUAUUGAACGGCUAUUGAAAUGGAUUUGUGUUGUGUGUAACUUUGGGUUUGAUUGAGGAAAAUAAUGAAGCCGUAAAUGGUUGGAAAUAGGAAAAUACAAAGGGCAUGCUGCCCAAAUUUAUGCUCGAGGACUAGAGAAAUAUACUUGCGACUUGAGUAAGGGUCAAGAGUGAUUACUACUUGAACCAUCUAGGAUAUUUGCGUCUUCUUUUUCCGAGGUAUAUAAGUAAGGAUUUGGCGAACUUGCACCCUUGAGAAAUAAAAUAAUGACUGCUCGGAGUAUGUUUUCCUUGUAUUUUCAACUCAAAAGUUAUUUCCAAGUAUACAUGUUACAAAAUUUUUCAGUUGGAAAAGCGAGCAAGUAUUUCACGACUAUUCUCCAAGUGAAUUUCAAUUUCUUGAUUCUUAUUGAACGAAACGUCUAAGUUUCGAACCUUAGUCGAUUUUCAAAGUUUUAAGUCAAGUUUUAUCGCAAAUUUGGACUCCAAACCCGGAGUACAACCCAGACGCGAUCACUAGAGGCACUACUUUUGGUGAGUGCUUCCAAAUAUCUGAUUUAACUUGAUAUUUGUGAUUUAUCUUUGACCAAUGUGAUUACAUGAAAUAUAAGUGAUUUGAUAAGGCAAGGGUGUACUUUAUCUCACUUGCCCUAAUAAGACUUGUUCUUGUUCAUCGAUUUCAAUUGUCUUGCUCUACAUGCGUGUGAAUUAUAUCUUGCCUGGAAUUCCAGAAAUCCUGUGGCUAGUUAAUCGAGUCGAGCCGGCAAGGACCUGGUCGAUUAGAUAACGAACCCUGGGUAAUUAGUGAUGUCGAGUGGAGUGUUAUCUCCUCGGCUAAUCGGUAUACUCGAGUAUUACCACCCGUGUUUCGUGUGGCAUGCGGGCCCGGUAAAGGGGGGGAUCGGGGAACGAAGACUGGUGUGAAGUGGGGUUUUUCUGGACUAGUUCAUUACUUGAAAGUUAACGGAGUGUCAACUACCAAUUGAUCAAGCUGGGAUGGAGCCGAGAGAUGAGCUACUGUAUCCUUACAUGUGAAUGUGAACCAGAUAUUUCUUGAUUAUCUGAAGUGUUAUUUCUCUGAUUCGACUUGUUUGCUCGCUAUUUCACUAUCACAUUGUUAUUACUUUAUUUGAUGUCCAAUUUGAUAUUUGGAACUUCACUGAGUUUUGGCUCACUCCGUUAGUUUUGUUUUCCUUACAGGGGUACGAGCGAGGUGUGAGAUAUGUAAAGACUAGCGUAGCCUAGUUGUUUUUGACUUUUGACUUGUACUCGCGCUAUCACUCGAUUACGAUGACUGUACUUGGGUUUGUAUACACUUUGAACCAGUUUGGGAUAUUGAGGCUUUGUAUAUUGAUUGUGCAUCGAUGUAAAUUAUAAGUUUAAAUUAUGUCGUUAUUUAUUAUCUAUGGAUGUAUGCACGUGAUACGAGUGAGUGAGUCCUGGCGAGAGUUGGGCAGGCGGUCCGCCGAUCCCUUUGGUACACCGUAGGGGGAGGUGGGGUCGUUACACGUGGUAUCAGAGCUUAGGUUGUGAAUUGAUUUGGAUAGAUUGAGUGCUUGAUACUAUAGGCUAGGGUUUUAUUCUCGAGCUUAGCCUUUAGCCUUGUUUUCUACGUCUCAUGUACUUACUUUUGCAAUGUUACUUGCAAACCUAGGUGAUGGUGGGUACUGAGGCUUCUGGUGGUGCUGGGCCGUCUCAGACCGUAACUACUGACGCUCCUACUGACGAGCCAUAUUUGGAGGGGCCCGUUUGUCGUGUGAUCACGUACCAGGAGAGCCCCGGUGGGCCAGUGCAUCGGUGGUCCCUAGCACGUAAGAUCCGGUGUUGCGACUGCUGGAAGACCUACUUCUAUCCCGAAUCGGGUAGUGCUCACAGUGGACGAUGAGCGGAGAUGAUUGGGUAAUGCCAAUCGUAGGUGCCAGUCGGAGAUAAAGCGUCUCCAGGAUGCUCUCCGAGUUCAGGGAGCCCGAAUCCGAGAGCUGGAGGCCUCGAUUUUGGAGGAGCAGCAGCGGACUGAUGCCUUCAGCUAGCAGGCUCAGGUGGCUACUGGACGCCUUAUGCGAGUGGUUGAGGAUAUUCGAGACUGGACCGGCCAUAUCCUGACUGAGUGCGAGGCACUGGUGGAAGAUGUGAUUCAGGACUUGGCCGAAGAGGGCCAAGUGCCUGUAGUCCCUGAUGUUCCUGGCACUCCUGAGGAGGAUCCUGAGGAGGGCCCGGAGGAGGAGCCGAGUGCAUCAACGGAGUUGGUUGGGUCGACAUCUAGUCAGAUGACUUGUGAGGAUUGAGGAGACUUUUGUGGGAUAGUUAGGAACAUAGUAGGACGACACGUUUCCUUUUGUUUUUGACUUUGACGUGUCACGGUGGAUGUAAAUAGGGUUUCUUUUGUUCUAUGUUCCUUGGCUAGUAUAGCCUUUGACUUGCCUAAGUUGGCAUGUAUAUGGGACUUGUUUGCUAUGCAUAUAAAGAACUUGUUUAUUAUACGUUUUAUUGACUCUGUUUACCCUUUUGAAGCGUGCUACAUGAACCAUACCUUACCUUGUUUAUAUGUCUAUAGUUGGUUAAAUCCACAAUAUGGAGGGUAGAAGAAGUCAAGCCAGGGGAACUAACCGAGGACGCGGUCCUAGUCGUGGCCGUGGGGAUAGACAAGCACAGGAACCGGUACAAGAACCGAGAGAGAAAAGAAAGGCAACGAUUGAGCCACAACCUGGACCCCAAGCUGUAGGAGGAGAUCAAGUGGCAACUGUAAUCCAACAAAUGACUAAUAUUCUGGCCCGUUUAGUGGAACAACAGGGUCAAGUCCCUGUAAAUCAACCUAGGGACCCCGAUAUGGGGCAAGAUAGGGCCUUAGAAAGAUUCCAGAAGUUCUCUCCACCUAAAUUCUUGGGAGGACCAAACCCGGAAGGAGCUGAGAAAUAGCUAGAGGCCAUGAUCAAUAUCUUUGCCGCUUUAAACUAUACAGAGGAUAGGCAAGUACAAUUCGCAGUUUUCCAGUUCGAAGGUCCAGCCAGGGCUUGGUGGAAUGUAAUCAGGGCCAAAUGGGAGAGAGAGGGAACUGCAUGGACCUAGUUAAACUUUGUACGAGAAUUUAACGAAAAAUACCUUCCACCUAUCGUCCAGGAGAAGAGAGAGGAUGAUUUUAUUAAGCUCCGGCAGGAAACUUCUAGUGUAGUUGAGUAUGAGACUCAGUUUACGAAAUUAUCAAAAUUUGCUCCUGAACUGAUAGCUACGAAGCAAAGAAGAGUACGGAGAUUUGUGCAAGGGCUCAAUGUGGAGAUACAAGUGGCCUUGGCGGUGGCCCAAAUUAAUACAUUUACGGAGGUUUUGGAGAAGACCCAAAGGAUAGAGACUGCCAGGGCACAAGUGAGAAAUUUCCACGCAAAACGGAAAUGGGUACCUAGUGGAGCCCAAGGGUCAGCGCGGAGUGAUCGGAACAUGCCACCUGCUAAAUCCGGUCGUGGGGCUAGAGGUGGACGGUUUUUGAGUGCAUCUAGGGGAGGUGCUCAAAAAGGAGGUGCCCAGAGUGGAGGCCAAAGUGGUAGGGGACAAGGUAGAGGCAUUCCACAGGGAGGCCAGACCUCCACUUCCCGAGUAACGUGUGGAUAUUGCGGGAAACCAAACCAUACAGAGGAUGAAUGCUGGAGAAAGGCUCGGAAGUGCCUAAGGUGUGGAAGUACGGAGCACCAGAUAGUCAACUGCCCGUUGAUCAGUGAUACUCAGUCGACUGCCAAGUCAAACCCAAAGCCGACCAAUGUCGGAGGGACUAGGUCGAGGGUUCCGGCCAGAGUGUAUUCGCUGGACCAACAAUCGGUGCCUGAACCAACGGAGGUAGUGGAAGGUACGAUCCCUGUUUUUCACCGGUUAGCCAAAAUUUUGAUAGACCCCGGUGCCACUCAUUCUUUUGUUAACCCUACAUUUAUGCUUGGAAUUGACAUGAAAGUUGAAAGGCUACCUUAUGACUUAGAAGUAAGAACACCUACGGGUAACCAAACUUUACUUGCGAAUGAGGUGUACAAAAAUUGUGAUAUUUGGGUUGGUGAGCGGAAAUUAGUAGUCGACCUUAUUAGUCUAGCCAUUAAGGGGUACGAUGUUAUUCUAGGUAUGGAUUGGCUAGCUCAUUACCAUGCUCGGGUAGAUUGUAGGAUGAAGGUGGUAGAGUUUUGCAUACCAGGUGAGGCCACUUUAAAGUUAGACGUAAGGGGGAUGUUAGCCCCAUCUGCGCUCAUUUCGGGAAUAAGGGCUAGAAAAUUUCUUAGUCGUGGGGCAUGUGGUUAUUUAGCUUUUCUAGUUAACACUCCGGGAGAAAAGAUUAAGUUGGAAGACAUGCCGACAAUCAGUGAAUAUCCGGACGCAUUUUCGGAGGAGUUGGGGUCACUGCCACCCGAAAGGGAGAUUGAAUUUAAGGUUGAUCUAGUACCCGGAACUACUCCCAUUUUGAAAACCCCUUAUCGAAUGGCACCUGCUGAGCUUAAGGAAUUAAAGGUGCAAUUGCAAGACUUACUAGAACGGGGAUUCAUACAUGAGAGCGAGUCACCAUGGGGAGCUCCAGUGCUAUUUGUUAAAAAGAAGGACGGGAGUUUAAGGUUAUGCAUUGAUUAUCGAGGGUUGAAUGCAGUAACUAUUAAGAAUAAAUACCCUUUGCCCCACAUCGAUGAGUUGUUUGAUCAAUUACAAGGGGCAGUGGUGUUUUCUAAGUUGGAUCUUCAACAGGGGUACUAUCAAUUGAGAAUUAGAAAGGAGGAUGUACCAAAAAUGGCGUUUAACACUCGAUAUGGGCAUUUUGAGUUUGCGGUAAUGCCUUUUGGCUUAACCAAUACCCCAGCGGCAUUCAUGGAUUUAAUGCAUCGAGUGUUUAAACCUUACUUGGAUAGGUUUGUAGUGGUGUUUAUUGAUGAUAUCCUAGUAUAUUCGAAGUCAAGGAAGGAGCAUGAACAACACUUGCGAAUAGUGUUGCAAACCCUAAAAGAGCACCAAUUGUUCGCUAAGUUUAGCAAGUGUGAAUUUUGGCUGGAAAAAGUGGCGUUCCUAAAUCAUAUAAUUUCAAAGGAUGGGCUUGCUUUAGACCCGGCGAAAGUGGAAGCCAUAGCCAAAUGGAUGCGGCCAGAGAAUCCCACAGAGGUGCGAAGUUUUCUAAGUUUAGCAGGGUACUACCGCCGAUUUAUAAAAAACUUCUCGAGAAUUGCGGGACCCUUAACUAACUUGAGAAAGAAACAAGGAAAGUACAUUUGGGAUGUUAAGUGUGAGAGUAGUUUCCAAGAGCUUAAGAAGCAAUUAACCAUGGCUCCAGUAUUAGCUUUGCCCAAGGGGAAUGAUAGCUACACGGUUUAUACCGAUGCUUCAGAGAGGGGCUAGGGUGCGUGUUGAUGCAAAAUAGGAAGGUGAUUGCCUAUACAUCUCGGAAGUUAAAACCUCAUGAGCAAAACUAUCCAACCCAUGACUUGGAGCUUGCAGCUGUUGUGUUUGCUUUGAAAAAAUGGCGACAUUAUCUAUAUGAAGUGACUUUUGAGGUAUAUACGGAUCACAAGAGUCUUAAGUAUUUGUUUUCUCAGAAGGAGCUAAAUCUAAGACAACGUCGAUGGGUGGAGUUCUUAGAAGAUUAUGAUUAUACGAUUAACUAUCAUCCCGGAAAGGCCAAUGUUGUAGCAGAUGCUUUAAGUCGAAAGGCACAACUAGCAAGUUCCAUGGUGGGAGAGUGGAGCUUGUUAGAAGAUGUAUGUGAAUGGAAACCUCGUCUGGAACCGAAGAAGGUGAUUUUUGGAAAUAUUGAGGUGAAGUCGACACUGUUGGAUCAGAUUAAAGAGGGCCAAAUAAAGGACCCAAUGGUGCAAAAGUGGGUGGAAAAAGUGAAGAAAGGGGAGUUGCCUAACUUUAACCUUGGUCCUGAUGGAAUCUUAAAGUUCCGAAAUCGUGUCGUUGUACCUAGGGAUGAGGAGUUAAAGAGGGAGAUUUUGGAGGAAUCUCACCGCUCUAGGUAUACGGUGCACCCAGGGAAUAAUAAGAUGUACCAAGAUCUCAAAAGUCUGUAUUGGUGGGAUAAUAUGAAGACGGAGAUUGCCCAGUUUGUAUAAAAGUGUCUUACGUGUAACAAGUGAAAGCUGAGUAUCAAAAAUCGUCAGGUCUGUUACAGCCUUUAGAGAUCCCUGAAUGGAAAUGGGAGCACAUAACGAUGGAUUUUGUAUCAGGGUUGCCACGAACACAAAAGGAGCAUGAUGCGAUUUGGGUAAUAGUGGACCGACUAACGAAGACCGCACAUUUCGUGCCAGUAAAUAUGAAAUAUUCUUUGGAGAAACUUGCCAAACUCUAUAUGGAUGAAGUGGUGAGACUACAUGGGGUACCCGUGAGCAUUGUAUCCGAUAGAGACCCUAGGUUUGUAUCUCGAUUCUAGCAGAAAUUGCAAGAGACUCUAGAAACUAAGUUGAACUAUAGUACAGCGUAUCAUCGAAAAACUGAUGAACUAUCUGAGAGAACCAUUCAAACUCUUGAAGAUAUGCUGAGAGCCUGUAUUGUGGAUUUUAGAGGAAGUUGGAGCCAAUACUUAACCUUGGUUGAAUUUGCAUAUAAUAAUAGUUAUCAUUCCUCUAUUCAAAUGGCCCCAUAUGAAGCCUUGUAUGGACGACGGUGCCGAUCUCUCAUCCAUUGGGAUGAAGUAGGAGAGAGAAAGAUUAUAAAUCCGGCUACAAUACCAUGGGUUGAGGAAGCCUACAAAAGGGUAAAGAUGAUUGCCAGAGACUUCAAACAGCCCAAAGCCGACAGAAGAGUUAUGCCGAUCACCGGAGGAAGGAUUUGGAGUUCGAGAUAGGAAAUAAGGUGUUUCUUCGGAUUACCCUUUUGAAAGGAAAGAUUAGAGCAGGAAAAGGGAAAAAGUUGCAACCACGAUACAUAGGACCUUUCGAUAUACUCCAGUGAUAGGAAAGGUGGCUUAACGACUUGAGUUACCAGCUAGUUUGUCUCGGAUCCAUGACAUUUUCCAUGUUUCUUUGCUUAAGAAAUAUCAUCCGGAUCCGACUCACAUUUUGCCACCAGAAGAUAUUGAACUCAACGAGUCUUUAACCUAUGAAGAGCGACCCAUUCAAAUAUUGGAUCGGAAGGUGAAGGACCUGAGAAACAAGCAGAUUCCAUUAGUAAAGGUUCUAUGGAAGCAUCAUGAAGUGGAAGAAGUAACCUGGGAGCUAGAAAAGGACAUGCAAGAGAAAUAUCCCGACCUGUUCACGACGAAAGGUAUGAAUUUCGAGGUCGAAAUUCUUUUAAGGGGGAGAGAGUGUGAGGACUUGCAAAUUCCUUAUAUUUUUCUUAAAAAUGCCCUUUUAUUUGAAAAUUAUUCAUUUAUUAUGGCCCUACUACCCAAGCACCCUACAAUAAGUGUAAAUGAAUAUAGAAGUAAGGGUUUCGUUGUCCGUUUUCAAGUUAGAGCGAAUUAGGAUUUUCACAUUUUUCCGUAGUAUGACUAUUCGGUACGGAGUGAGGAUCAAAUUUGGUAGGUAAGAGUGACUUUUGGAUGAGAAAAUAUUAUAUGAUUUGAAAUGAUAAUAAUAAGUUGGUGACUAGAGGGUAAAAACCCUAGUAUACGUGAUUUAAGAAAAAACGGCUCGAACCGACGGGUAUCGAUCACUACCGAUUGAACCCACCACUUGACCACCACUUCCUUACCACCACAUACCCUUGAUAUUUUUGCAAAAUAUCCCCCCUCAUCCUCAGCCAUAUGGCCGAAAAUUGUGGCCAAAAUGCAAGGAAAAAGAAAGCAAAACUUGGAUGGCUUUGGUGGUGACAAAUGUCAACCAUCUAUGGAUUCUUGACCAACCUUUUAUCUCGCCUUCUUAUCCCUUAUUUCAGCCCAUUUUUCCUCAUUUCUUUCUGUUUUUGGCCGAUGUCGCGCCCCACCUCUUGAUGUGUGAAAGUAGUGUGUAUGUGAACGUGUGUGAAAAUGAAAAUAAAAGGCCGUGGGACUUGAAAAUGCGACGAUUCGGCCAAACAAAGUUCAAAAAGGGUUUUUUGAAUGGAAAAUGGAGUCGCCACUUGGUAUAGAGUUAGGGUGUGCCAAGUCACCCAAAAAGUGAUUUUUGGAAAGAAAAGUAAACAAACCCUUUUUAAAGAACUUUUAGGUCUACGUAACCAAAGAAAGGGAUCGGGGGUCACAUUUGAUAAGGGAGAAGGCAAAGGCAAAGCCUAAGGCACUCCCUUACCCCCUAGCCAAAGCUAGUUGCGUGACUUAGCCCCACUUUUCCUAAUUCUUCUACCCAAAGUAUGUGUUGCAUGUUGGACAUGACUAAUGGAUGCUAAAAAAAUAUAAUCCUAAAUCUAAAAUGUCUCUUAUAAAGCUUUUUGGUCCCAACCACAUGAGUUGUGGUGGCCAAUAAGGAAAGUCCUCAUAGAGGUCACGGGCAAUGCAAAUGAAGACUCAAGUAUGAGUGUAAGUGUGCAAAUGUAAGAAAAGUGCAAGUGUGCAAAUAUAAGAAAAGUGCAUGUGUGCAAAUGUAAGAAAAGCGCAUGUGUGCCAAUUGAGCAAAAUGAAGGUGUUUGUGUGCAAGUGGAUGAAAAUAUGCUAUAAAUAGUAGUAAAUGCAUAUAAGUGCAAUUGGGUGCAAUUUGUGAGGUAGAAAAUAAAUAAGUGAUAGGGAAAGAAGAGAAGUGUGUGAACAUGGCAUGUGGAGUGAGAAAAAUAUAAGUAGUGGGAAAUGUAGAUAAAAAAAGUGAGGAAGUGAUAUGAUAAGAAUGAGAGUGCAUGAACCUAGAGGAAUGCAUCAAAUCGGGUACGGGAAUGACUCCUAAUUUCGCGACUUUAAUUUUCCUUUUGAUUAGAAGGAAGAACUAGCGUGCUAAGGCUAUUUUGUAGCCACACUCGCUCGUUUCCCUUAUCUAAAGGGGACUCUCAAGCAAAUGUACCCUAUAACUAGCAUGAAGAUGCAAAAGCCUAAAAUGAAGGGGAAAAGAUUGGAGGAGCAUGCCAAAUGCUAGAAAACUAAGAAAAAUGCAUGAAAUGUAGUGAAACAUGCAAGUAUGAACUAGCGAGGGAAACCCCUAAGGGUCUAGCGUUGGACUAGCCCAUAUCUAUGAAUUCCUACUAGCGUUGGACUAGUGGAAAACGGGACAAUGAGCCACAACUAGCGUUGGACUAGUGUGGUGACGUGCAUUCAUCCAUCAUAUUCAUCUAUGACUAUAGAAAGCAAGUAGACAUGCCAAUCACAUACAAACACAUAGCACAUAACACUUAGCAUGCUCGACUAGAUGCAAGAGCCUAAUAAAGCAAAUUAACACGUAGCAACAAAAGCAAGCAAUCAAGCUAAUGAACCUAUUACAUUUGCUAACUAAAACAAAAUGGGAAGGGGAAAAAUGGACCAAAAUGCUCUCCAAGCCCUAUCUAUUACAAGCCAAGAGGUGUACACAUACCCCAUAAAUAAAUAAAAGGAUGACUUAAGCAAAAGUGAAUGAAAAUGAAAUAAAUGAAAUGAUUUAAGGAAAAGCAAGGAAAGCCAAGUAGACAUGCAAUUCUCAUUUAGCACGUUGGAUCACAUAGGGGAGAGACAAAAAAGAUAAAAGAAGUCAUACCUCCCUUGAAAUGGAGCUCUAAUGGGGUGAAGUCACUUAUUCAUCCUUAGCUACCCCAGGAUUGUCACCAAAUCCUCCGUUGGCUAUAAUGCUUGUCCGGCAGUGGCAGCGGGGAGGAGUUGGGGUGGUAGAAUCAGCGGCAGUAGAACGAUAGCAGCAGUAACAACGGCAUUCUCCCUUUUUUCCAAAAGAAUUUCUCCUGCUCGAACUUUUCCUUUUCACUCUGGUUUUUUCUGGUUUUCUCUCCACAGUUUCUUUCCUCCCCAAAGCGGCGUUCUUUCUUUUCUUCCACCCUAGCCGCUACAGGAUCCUCUUUCCUUUUGUAGCCGUCGUCCCUCUCUAUUUGUUCAGACGUCAACCCAGAAAUCUCUCUCCUUUCUCUCUGUUCUAUUCUCAGCCGCCACCUCUGCCGUCCCAAUCUCCUUAUUCCCUCAGCCCUUUUCCUUUCGUUCCUUUCUAUGAAAAACCUAGCCGUCAGUCCUCUUUUCUCUCCUGUUUUUCUAGCUCUCUCCAGAUCCCUCGUAGCUUUUUCCUUUCUCUACAGCCGUCAACUUUUUGAUCCCCUUUGGCUGCGGUUACUUUCUUUUCUUUUAUAUGAAACCCCAAGGCUCCUAAACCCUCACCCCAAUGGUGAGGAUGAAAGGUUUGCUCUACUCUCUCCCACAAAAACCGUAUGAAGAUGAUAUCAUUUAUGCCGCUGCCUAUACUCGUGUGCAUGUUUGUGGUUGAAAUGUGAUACGGAGAAAAUGGGCUAGGAUCCUAUGCAGUUCCGGGUGCAUGAGCUUGGUUUUUUUUCCUUUUUUUUUUCUUUGACCCUCCUAAUUAGCCUAAAACCCGCUCUCGGGUUUCCCCUUUUUCUUUUUUCUUUUUUCUGACUCUCUUUGAUUAAAAUCAAAUUAGUAGAUAAAAUAAAUGCUCGUAAACUAAUUAAAAUACAAUAAAAGGCACGAAACAGGAAACAACCAAAAUAAACCUAAAAUUGAAACAAAUAAAUCUAAAAUUAAACUAAUAAAAUUCGAAACCAAAAAUUUGGUGUCUACAGCCGAGAGCAAGAAGGGGCAAGAGAGGGAAGAGAGUUUCCAAUCUUCUACUUUGAAUCUAAUCUUUUUAGUGCAAACAAGAAAAACUAAACCGAUCAAUCCCUAGUUUGGAAGCUUGGGAAGCUAAGGAACCAAAAAUCUUAAGGAGAGGUGAAGGAUCAUCCUAGCAAACUCUUGCCUUGAGGUAUAAUGGCUGACCAACCUUUCUUUCUCCAUUAAUCAUGAUUUAGUUGGGUAUUAAUGUUAGUAUUGUUCUUGUGAUGAUUGCUUCAAGUGGUUUUGAUGAUUGGAUGGAUGAUAUUUGAGUUAGGGUUUCUUAUGGGUUAAGUGUUAUAUGAUGUAUAUAUGUGGUAUAUAAUCUUGUAAAAGAGAUAGUAGUGGUAGUUUCAAGAUAAAAAUGAGAAGUAUAGCUUGAAUAUAGCAAAAUUCCAGAUUUCUGGAAAUCUUAGCUUCAGUUCUGUCCGGUUCUAUUUCAUCAUGUUAGAGGCCGAAAUAGACUUAGCAUGAAACAUGAAAGUUGUAGAUAAGGACAUUUUGUGUUGCCUACAAAAUUUCAGCUCAAUCGAAGCAACAUAGCCUGUGAAAAGACGAAAAUACCCUGACUGCCCUAGGAGUAAAGUCAAUGGACAGUUUUGACAGUACACUAAGUUGGUUGUGUUUGUUCACCUUGAUAUGUACUAAACUAGCUUUUAACCAAAACAUGAAAGUUUUAGUACUUUGUCUUAGCUUUUCAACGCCUCCAAGAAUGCCUUCAACGGACUUUGGUAGCUUGAGAUAUGGCCAUUUGGAGGUAGUACGGUUAACUGGCUGGUUAGUUGGAAUUUGGUUCUGUGAAUUGGGAAUUUGACUGGGUUACACUGGAAAUUAGACUAGGUGGUCUUCACCAAAGUUGUAGCCCUUUGUCUCAGCUUCGAAACGGUAUAAGUUCCACCUCAAUCUGAUAAGUGGAACCUCGGUUGUGUCCGUUACGCAAAAACACAUCAAAUCUGUCUUUCGCUAGACUUCAUUUCCGCACAUGUCCUUAGCUUGAUUUUUGUACUUGUAUUACCUUGAGCCUAUUGAACGGCUAUUGAAAUGGAUUUGUGUUGUGUGUAACUUUGGGUUUGAUUGAGGAAAAUAAUGAAGCUGUAAAUGGCUGGAAAUAGGAAAAUACAAAGGGCAUGCUGCCCAAAUUUAUGCUCGACAACUAGAGAAAUAUACUUGCGACUUGAGUAAGGGUCAAGAGUGAUUACUACUUGAACCAUUUAGGAUAUUUGCAUCUUCUUUUUCCGAGGUAUAUAAGUAAGGUUUUGGCCGAACUUGUACCCUUGAGAAAUAAAAUAAUGACUGAUCGGAGUAUGUUUUUCUUGUACUUUCGACUCAAAAGUUAUUUCCAAGUAUACAAGUUACAAAAUUUUUCAGUUGGAAAAGCGAGCAAGUGUUUCACGAGUAUUCUCCAAGUGAAUUUCAAUUUCUUGAUUCUUAUUGAACGAAACGUCUAAGUUUCAAACCUUAGUCGAUUUUCAAAGUUUUAAGUCAAGUUUUAUCGCAGAUUUGGACUCCAAACCCGGAGUACAACCCAGACGCGAUCACUAGAGGCACUACUUUUGGUGAGUGCUUCCAAAUAUCUGAUUGAACUUGAUAUUUGUGAUUUAUCUUUGACCAAUAUGAUUACAUGAAAUAUAAGUGAUUUGAUAAGGCAAGGGUGUACUUUAUCGCACUUGCCCUAAUAAGACUUGUUCUUGUUCAUCGAUUUCAAUUGUCUUGCUCUACAUGCGAGUGAAUUAUAUCUUGCCUGGAAUUCCAGAAACCCUGUGGCUAGUUAAUCGAGUCGAGCCGGCAAGGGUCUGGUCGAUUAGAUAACGAACCCUGGGUAAUUAGUGAUGUCGAGUGGAGUAUUAUCUCCUCGACUAAUCGGCAUACUCAAGUAUUACCACCCGUAUUUCGUGUGGCGUGCGGGCCCGGUAAGGGGGUGGAUCUGGGAACGGAGACUGGCGUGAAGUGGGAUUUUUCUGGACUAGUUCAUUACUUGAAAGUUGACGGAGUGUCAACUACCAAUUGAUCAAGCUGGGAUGGAGCCGAGAGAUGAGCUACUGUAUCCUUACAUGUGAAUGUGAACCAGAUAUUUCUUGAUUAUCUGAAGUGUUAUUUGUCUGAUUCGACUUGUUUGCUCUCUAUUUCACUAUCACACUGUUAUUACUUUAUUUGAUGUCCAAUUUGAUAUUUGGAACUUCACUGAGCUUUGGCUCACUCCAUUAGUUUUAUUUUCCUUAGAGGGGUACGAACGAGGUGUGAGAUAUGUAAAGACUAGCGUAGCCUAGUUGUUUUUGACUUUUGACUUGUACUCGCGCUAUCACUCGAUUAGGAUGACUGUACUUGGGUUUGUAUACACUUUGAACCUGUUUGGGAUAUAGAGGCUUUGUAUAUUGAUUGUGCAUCGAUGUAAAUUAUAAGUUUAAAUUAUGUCGUUAUUUAUUAUCUAUGGAUGUAUGCACGUGAUACGAGUGAGUGAGUCCUGGCGAGAGUUGGGCAGGCGGUCCGCCGACCCCUUUGGUACGCCUUAGGGGGAGGUGGGAUCGUCACAGGGACGAAUGGAAAACUGCUUUUAAGACUAAACAUGGCUUAUAUGAGUGGUUAGUCAUGCCUUUUGGCCUAACUAACGCACCUAGUACUUUUAUGAGAUUAAUGAACCAUGUUUUGCGUCCUUUCAUUGGAAAAUUUGUAGUGGUAUAUUUUGAUGAUAUCCUUAUCUAUAGUAGGAGUUUAGAGGAGCAUACAUUGCACUUACAAGCUGUCUUGGAUGUACUUCGAAAGGAAAGGCUCUAUGCCAACCUUAAGAAGUGCACUUUUUGCACUGAUCAACUUGUUUUUCUAGGAUAUGUUAUAAGUGCACAGGAUGUACAAGUUGAUCAAGCAAAGGUAAAGGCUAUAAAUGAAUGACUAACACCUACCAACGUAAGUGAGGUGAGGAGUUUCCAUGGCUUGGCAAGCUUCUACAGACGCUUUGUCAAGGACUUCAACACCAUAGCUGCACCACUUACAUCCAUCAUCAAGAAGAACGCACCAUUUUAAUGGGGGGAAGAAUAAGCUAAGUCUUUCUAAGUACUUAAACACAAGCUCACACAUGCACCUGUUCUAAGUUUACCUAACUUUGACAAAGCUUUUGAGAUAGAGUGCGAUACCUCUGGUAUAGGUAUUGGAGCUGUUCUACUCCAAGAAGGCCGACCGAUUGCCUAUUUUAGUGAAAAGCUGAAUGGAGCUUCUUUGAACUACUCAACCUAUGACAAAGAGCUAAUGACCUUGGUUCGAGCACUCCAAACUUGGCAACACUAUCUUCGACCUCGAAAGUUCGUCUUACAUAUUGAUCACGAAUCUCUCAAGCACAUCAAAUCACAAACCAAGUUGAGUAAACGACAUGCAAGAUGGAUAACUUUCAUAAGGCAGGUAAGUCUAAUGUAGUAGCGGAUGCACUUUCUAGGCAUUAUACACUACUUACUACAUUAGAUGCAAAAUUACUAGGAUUUGAAUAUCUCAAGGAUCUCUAUGCCACUGACCCAGAUUUUGGUGAGAUUUUCAACUCCUUGCUACGAGACACUCGUGAGCAUUACUUUCUAUCACAGGGAUUCUUGUACUACAAGGACAAAUUGUGCAUUCCACUAAGCUCCAUGCGACCCCUGUUAGUUUGAGAAGCCCAUGGAGGAGGACUUAUGGGUCACUUUAGAAUUACUAAAACAUUGUCCAUCCUCCAAGAGCACUUCUUUUGGCCACGCAUGAAGAGAGAUGUUGAAAGACACAUACAAAGUGUGUAACUUAUCACCAUGGAAAAUCAAAGGUAAAUCCUCAUGGGCUCUACACCUCUUUACCUAUCCCCCAUGCACCUUAGAUUGACUUGUCUAUGGAUUUUGUACUUGGAUUACCUAGGACUAGACAAGGUCAUGACUCUAUCUAUGUUGUAGUUGACCGUUUCUCUAAAAUGGCACAUUUUAUACCUUGUCAUAAGACCGAUGAUGCUAAGCACGUAGCCGACUUGUUCUUUAGAAAUAUAGUACGUUUUCAUGGCAUGCCUCGUACCAUUGUGUCAGAUAGAGAUGUAAAGUUCCUUAACUACUUUUGGAAAACAUUGUGGUGUAGGCUAGGCACUAAAUUGCUUUUCUCUACUUCUAGUCACCCACAAACUGAUGGACAAACUGAAGUAGUUAAUAGGACUUUGUCUACCUUGUUGCGUGCCAUAAUCAAAAAGAACAUUAAGACAUGGGAAGAUUGCUUACCGCAUGUUGAAUUUGCUUGCAAUUGCAUUGUGCACACUUCUAUCCAAUAUUCCCCUUUUGAAAUUGUCUAUGGCUUUAACCCUCUCACUCUAUUGGACUUAUCUCCUUUACCUGAUCAUGAGAGAAUUAACUUGGAUGGAAAGAAAAAGGUGAAAUUUGUACGAGACCUACAUGCUAAGGUUCGAGCUAACAUCGAGAAGCGCACCCUUCAAUAUGUCCAAAGUGCAAACAAAGGCCGACGCAAAAUGGUAUUUGAACCAGGUGACUGGGUUUGGAUACACAUGCGCAAAGAGUGUUUUCCACUCCAAAGGCGCAACAAACUCCUUCCAAAGGGUGAUGGUCCAUUCCAAGUCAUGGAGAAAAUCAACGACAAUGCCUACAAACUUGACCUUCCAGGUGAGUACGGGGUACAUGCUACUUUCAAUGUUGCUGAUUUAAGCCCUUUUUAUGUAGAUGAUGAGAUUGAUUUGGGGACAAAUUGCCUUCAAGAGGAGGGGACUGAUGAAGGAGCACCAAGGGCCCUCGGCGAUCAAGAGCAAGUCAUUCGAGUACCAAGUGGUCUAAUCACAAGAGCUCGUGCCAAGAAGAUGCGUGAAUCCCUUCAAGCUCUUGUGUGUACUGUCCAAGAGAGAAUUGGAUAUGAUUUGAAGAUUAUUGAAGGCUUGGAGAAUGAAGAUUCAACAAUAUACACAUUGCUCCAAGUGGAAGAUUCAAGUGAGGAUUAGUCUUACUUGAAGCCGAGGACUUAUUAGUCAAUUUAGCUUCUAUUUUUCGUUAUUUAUUCUGUUACUGGAGUCGGCCAUCAAUCCCUUAGCCUUGGCCGACCAUUAGUUAGUAGGUUUGAUUAAUAGAAUCGACCCAAAAGGCCUUAGCCUAGCCGAGUUAGGGUUUUGUUUCAAGUCACUUUAGGUUGUCAAGUGUAUGGCUAUAUAUAGCCAAAGCAAGAGACCUUUACACUCAAUUUUUUUUGACAUCAAUAAAAUUGUGAGUUUUUCACUUUUCUCUUUCCAAGAGAGCCUCUCUGAAUAUUUGAGAAUCUUUCUCAAAUUGUUCAAUUGAACUUAUCAAUCAAGUAACUCCUUGGUUGUGGCGUUCUUCUACCUUUAAUUUGGUUCUCUAGUUUGUUAGAUGACGGGUUGAGAUAAUAUCAAUAGUGUUUGUUAUCUCGGGGAUUAGAUUUGGGUCAAAUUUCCGCUGCCUAAACCGUUGGUGAAUUGGUUGUUUAGAUCGUGGCCAGGUGGUUUCACAUCAUGCUAUCUUCAUUUGUUUUGAUUCACAUUCAUCCAAUUCGAUCCUCUAGUGUUCAUAUACAGGGGGUCAAGUCACUUAGUACCAUUGGAGCUCAAAAUGCAACACAUAAAUAUGAUUUAAAAGGCCAUAACAGUUUAGCCAACAAGAGAAACCAAAACAGUCUACUAGUGGUCCAAACAACCACUUUACUUCCUUCAUUUCUACUUCAACUCACACAUAAGCUCAACCAAUGUCUAGCCAAGUGUCUUAGACUUAAUUUAAGGUGCAAAAGAACCACAAAAUCAAGGAGAAACUUCUCCUUCCAAAACCGGUCAGCCAAGAAGAAAAAAAAUAGUCCACAAGUUCACUUAUUUAACCAACCUUCAUCCUUUCAUGGUUUUCACUUAAACAACAUGUCAAGUGUUAAAUCUAACUCAAAAGGGUCUAAAACAUGUUAAUACUUCAAAAACCACCAUGAACAAAGUUCAAACAUUUCAUCAAACACAUGAUAGGCAAACUAACUAACCCUACUACCACUUGUUUAGUUCAAGAAGAUUAACCACAAAUCUCAUCCAAAUAACUUGUAGUUUGCCAUUAAAACUUAAAGUACAUGAUAUAUUGUGACGCCCCCACUUCUCCCAAGGGCGAACCCGAGGGUAUCGGCGGGACGCCUGCCUAGCUCGCGCCAGGACUAUGCACAAUAUAUAUAUUAGCAAAAGGGUUCUAUUUACAUCCUCCAAAAUAGAUAUUCCGAUCACUACAUCACCAUAUGCUAAUCACCAAGAGUAUAAAGUAGACCUGAUGAAGGGUUCUUAUACAAAUCACCAAAACAAGAAGAAACAUCUUAGUUCUCCGGCUAUUACAAACCAAGCCUAACUAUACUAGUGAUAGUGCCAAAAGUUCCCCGCGUCGGCCCCUGUUAAGGAAAACAAAGGGAAAGGGGUAAGUUAGAUGCUUAGUAAGUAAACGGGGGUAAAAACGUAAAUUUCACAGUGAUACAAACAAUUACGUCACAAAGAUGUCAAAUCCAAAAUAUAAAAGUAACAACACAAGUUAAGGAUACAGGUUGGCUCCAAAGCCACGUCAUGUGCCAUGUGUGACCUCCUGUCGACACUCCGUCGACCACAAAUAAGGGUCCUUAGAACUCCACUUACUCUCACCGUACACCUUAUCACCCACACUAGCCAGUCACCUCACAAAAUGGCUUGAGCAAACGAAAUUGAGCUUGGUUCACAAGCUCGGUUCACAAACUUGGUUCACAUACUCGGUGAACCGGAUUCACGAACUUGGUGAUCUCAGACUAGGUCGGACUGACUUCGACCAAGCCCUGACCUGCUCGAAUAGUCCAUCUAGGUCUUGAGAUCGGGCCCACAACUUCAUCGCAUUUCACAAAUUUCACAAAAGUCACCCCGAGUUACAAGCUCAAGUGGUUCAGCACCAAAAUAAAUCAUAUAUACACAGCUCAUAAAGAAGCACAAGUACAAAUUAGGGUUUAGGUUGAGUGUGAUCAAGUACACCCUCGCCUAAAUACCCUCUCAUCCACACCACAGCACAUAAGCAAGUUAUACACAAAAACGGCCUGAAUACUUACACAAAAGCAAGUAUAGCAAAAGAGCGAAGAUCACGUCACGUAUAGUAACUAGUAGGACCCACCGGCUCCGUCUAGCUCACCACCGUCUGAAAUAGAAGAUUGCAUCACAAUAUAUCACAAACGGCUACUAACAUGCAUAACUCAAGUAAAACGGCAAAAUUGGCACAUGCAUGCGCGGAAACGGCAUACGGAAACGGAAAUGGCAGCAUAACCAUUUUGGUGUCAAAAACUGUUUUGAACACAAUCGAAGCUACGAGUGUUGGAUCAAAGUGCAUGAGGUACCGUUGUGAAGAUAAGAGGAAGGGCUACAAUUUUCAUGAAGACACCUUAAUCUAGAUCUGAAUGGAAGCAGGUUGAAAUUAUGGAAAACAGUACCAGAAGUUUGCAUUUUAGGGUGACGGACAGGGUUUGUUUGCUGGACCAUAACUCCCAGCUCACAAGUCCAAAUCAAGAAAUUCCAAAGGCGUUAGACAGAUAUGUCAUAAUACUAAAACCUUUAUCUUUUGGCCAAAACCUGAAUCAAUACCAGGUAGGGUGGAAAAUGGGUCCAAAGUUCCUGUCAGAACUGUCCAAAUUCAAAGGCAGUUCUGACAACCGUUCUUGUUUUGGUCAUAAAUGGAGUUACAGAAUUCAGAUUUGAAUGCAAUCUAUACCGUUUCGAAGCUAAGACCAAGAUCUACAUUUCUUAUAAAGGGAUCAACACCCAGUUCGCACGUUAUACAAGCGAACCGAGCAUGGCCAGAGGCCAAAUUUGAAAACGUAACACAAUCCAGUGUUCCAAACAGGAGAGAUUGUUUUGGCUAUAACUUGGGCCAUACUGAUCCGUUUGACCUGAAAUUUUGGAGGCACAUUAAGGACUUAAGACGCUACAACUUUUAUGUUUUGAGAAACUUCUGAAUCAGCACGCAUCAUAAAGAAAAAUGGAACUCAAGUUCGGAUUUGUGGACUGCCCUGUUUCCAAUUUUUGCCGGUUUUUGAACUUUGCAAACACAUGGUCCAUUGCUACGAUUCUUAUCCAAGGUUUCUAACUAAUUUUAUACCAAAUAAUACUACAUAUACCAGAUCCUAAAAGACUUACUAAUGGUUCGAAAUUUCUCCCCAAAUUACCACAAAAAUUACCAAACGCCAACCACAAUCUAGAAUCCAAUCUCACCAGUUUUGCACUCACUUCAAAACCAUAACCAACUAAACCCUAGCCAAGCUAAACUAACUUCCAUUGAUAUUAGGGUUUCAUAACAAACCUGCUUUUGUUAAGAACCCACCAUUCAAAUGAGAUAAUCACACCAAAAGUUCCAUUAUCAAGUCGAAUCACCAACCAAAUCAACUAAGAAAACCUAUAACAAGAAGCCCUAAUUUCUCUUGGCUUGACCGAAAUUUAAGCAGCAAAAUAUCACCAAGAUGAACCAUUAAACUCCAUAUAAUCACCAUCUAUAUCAUAUAAGAUCAUAAAAACAACAAAAGCAUCACCUUUCAUGGAUUCAAGACUUAAGCACCAAACUUUAACUUCCAAGAGAGAUAACUUACCUUCAAGUAGGCUUUGUAAGUGAUCAAACUACCACAAUCAAGUGCUAAGGUUGUUACUUCAAGCUCCAAACCAAGAUGAGUGGCUAAACUUGAAAACUUGGAAGAAAUUUAUUCUUUUCCUUCUCUCUCUGUUAUUCUUGAUUUUGAUGAUCACAAAGGUCUUUGAAAUGUUUGUUUAACUCUCUUCAAAUAUAAGUGUUUUCUGCCUAUCAAAGAAUCAGGUACGAAUAUGUCAAGAAUUGAAAAUCAACCAAAAGAAGAAGCAAAAACAGGACACUCAUAUCGGACGUCCUAAGGAAUUGGUCGGACGUCCGAAAGGAUGAAGAUCAUUAAGAAGAAGAUUCUGUCGGACGCUCGUGAGGAAGUAUCGGACGUCCGGAUGGAUCGGACGUACUCCUCAGACGCACAUCGAACGUGUCGGACGUCCUAAAAAUUCCACAAAAUGUUGAUGACUCUCUGCCAAGACUCUGUCGGACGCUCGUAAGGAAGCAUCGGACGUCCUGAAGGAUCGGACGCAUGCUUCGGACGCACAUCAAUCUCAUCGGACGUCCUAAAAAUUCCACGAAGAUUUGAUAACUCUCUGGACGACGUUCGGACACAGAAGCUCGGACGAUAAAAUACCAUCGGACGUCCGAACAACAACUUGACUGAUUUUCGGACGAUGGGAUCGGACGAUGACUAAGACGUCGGACGUCCGACAGCUCCAACGGCUAGCUGACUCUUCAUCUGCCUUCUAUCCGUUGGAAGUAUUAAUGAAGCUCAUUUUUGGCUCCCUUUAAAUACAAACGAUUCUGAUUCAGAAGAGGACUUUUGCACACUUUGUUUACAAGAUCUCAAGAGAUAUUUUAGCUAGAAAAUAGUCUCCAAAGCUAGAUUUGUUCUCCAAGUGGUGUGAAUUUCUUGUGAGCUUUUCUCUUGUGGUUGAAAGUUUCAUUAGUGUAGCUUUGUUGAGGGUUAUCUGAGUGAUUGUAAAACUUCUUAGCUUGACUAAGUGAGGCUUAGGGCAAGGAGGAAGUGCUCCCUCCAUUGUACAUCUAGUUGAUCAUCUUUCAUCAAAGAGAAGUUGCUCAACCUAGUGAUUGGUCUUCAAGUUUGAGGAAAGCUUGGUAGACAAUCGGUUUGAUAUUCUAUCUUAUUCUUUUUGUUUAAUAAAAUUCUCAUUGCUUAUCUAUACUUGUUUUUCGAAUCAAUAUUGCUCUCUUCUUCUAAUCUACUUGAUUGAUCAUUACUAGAAAAGAAGGUAAAUUUUUAUUAAGCAAAAAUUGCAUAAAUUUGAUUAAGAUUUUAAUCAACCUAAUUCACCCCCCCUCUUAGGUUGUCUUUGGGCCUUACAAUUGGUAUCAGAGCUUGGUCUCCUAGAGAUUAAGCUCUAACGGCUUGGAGUAAAGAUGACAACCAGUCAUGCUAUGUUUGUUGAGGGGCAAUCUGUUACUAGGCCUCCCAUGUUCAGUGGCUCCAAUUAUGUUAGCUGGAAAGAAAUGAUGAUUAUCUUUUUGCAAUCUAUUGAUAUUGAGCUAUGGUUUAUUGUGAGUGAAGGACCGCAUGAAGCUAACUUUCUUGAUGCAGAUACAGGGUUGCUUCGGCCAAAAAGAAGAGCUGAAAUGAAUGCUCAAGAUAGGACUAAUCUCACAUUGAAUGCCAAAGCCAUGAAUGUUCUUUAUAGUGCCUUAGAUUCAAAUGAAUCAAUUAGAGUAAAAGGCUGUAAAUCGACCAAAGAAAUGUGGGAUAAGCUAAGAGAAAUCCAUGAGGGUGGUGACAACGUGAGAGAACAGAAAAAGGCUAUCUUGGUCACAAAGUAUGAAUCAUUUAAAAUUGAACCUCUUGAGGAUAUUGACAAAAUGUAUUGCAGGUUCAAUGACUUGAUCAAAGAUCUCGAGGUGUUGGGCAAAGAGUACACCUUGGGAGAGAAGAACAUGAAAAUUCUCAAUGCAUUGGGCAAAGAAUGGGAAAAUAAAGUGACUGCAAUAGAGGAGGCUAAGGAUUUAAAUUCUGUGCCUAUUGAAUCUCUCAUUAACUCACUAACCUCUUAUGAGUUGAAACUGAAAUCUAAAGUGCAGGAGGAAGAGGAUGCUAGAGCAAAGAGAAAUAUUGCUCUGAAAACUACUCAAAGUGAAGAUGAUCCAGCUCACUUGGAUGAUGAAGACUCAGAUGGUGAUGAUAAUGAUCUUGCUCUCAUCACAAGAGGCUUCAAGAGAAUCUUGAAUAAAAGGAAGUUUAGAAAGGGAGGUCCUAACAAUCAAUUUCAAAAUUAUUCAUCAAAUGCAAGGAACAAAGGAAAACAAGAAUUCAACAAGAAAGUGGAUAAAUGCUAUGAAUGUGGACAGCCUGGACACUAUGCAAAUGAAUGUCCCAUGAAGAAAAUGAAAGAUGGGAAAGCUGAUCGAAAGCCAAGAUUCAACAACUUCCAGAUUACUUGGAAUGAAUGCAACUCUGAAGGGGAAGUUGAAGAAGAGGAAGAAUCAGCUCAAAUGGCCUUCAUGGCUAUUGGAGAUAAUGAGGUAACUUCCAUACACUCUCAAUCUGAAAGUGAUGAUGAAGAAGAUGAUGAUCUUGAAUCCUUUGUUGAAAAACUGCAUAAUGCCUUGAAGGAAUCUUAUGAUACUUCAACAAAAUAAACAACUAAAGACUGACAAUGAUUGUCUUGUAAGAGCCGGAUUUAAUGUUCAAAAUGAACUUGAUAGAAAGACAAAUAUUUGUAAAAUGCUGAAGGAAAGACAUGGUGAUUUGAUGAAAAGAAUGGACAACUUGGAUGAGACUUUGAAAGCAAGAAAACAAGAUUUUCUCAAAAAGAACAUGUCAUCUACCUUUCUUACUGCUCAUCAAAGAACAUUAGCACGCAACAAAAAUGCACAUGGUUUCACAACAUAUAGAAGAAAUGGAUUGAGAUAUGUCAAACCAGUACAUGUUAAGGACUCUUCCAUUAUGUGUGAUUUUUGUUGUCAAAAAGGGCAUUUGAAAGGAGAUUGCUAUGUGAAAAGAAAUCUGAACAAAGGGAUGAAAUGCAUAUGGUUAGUGAGAUACAAUGCUAACUAUUGUGGACCCAAAAAUUAAAAAGGGUACCAAACAUUUUCUCUUUUCAGGAAAAAGGCUCAAACAAGUCCAAAUGGUUUAUUGAUAGUGGCUGCUCAAGGCAUAUGACCGGUGAUCCCUCUUUGUUCAUAAAGCUAAAAUCAAAAUCAAGUGGAAAGGGGACAUUCGGUGAUGAUGUGAAAGCUAAGACAAUUGGAAUAGGUGAUGUUGGUAAGGAUGGUGAAACUUUUGUUCAUAAUGUGCUCUUAGUUGAUAAUUUAGGUUAUAACUUGCUUAGUGUUAGUCAAUUGUGUGAUAAAGACCUGAAUGUGUUGUUUAAAAAGCAUGAAUGCAUUGUGCUUGAUUCCAAAUAUAAUGUUGUGUUCAAAGGUAAGAGGUUUAACGACAUAUAUAUUGUGGUUCUUGAUAAAAUUGAUUCUUCUAGCUUCAAAUGUCUUAAAGCUUCAAAUGAAGAUCCUUGGUUGUGGCAUAGGAGACUUUGUCAUUUUAACAUGGAUUUACUAAAGGAGAUUUCGAAAAAGGAGCUGGUUAGAGGCUUGCCAAAAAUCUGUUUUGAAAAGGAUAAAAUUUGUGAUGCUUGUCAAUUUGGAAAGCAAACAAAAGUUUCUUUUAAACCAAAGAAGUGUGUUUCAACUUCUAAACCUUUAGAACUCUUGCAUCUUGACUUAUUUGGUCCUACUCAAAUCACUAGUUUGGGAGGUAAGAAAUACUGCUUUGUGAUUGUGGAUGAUUAUUCUAGAUAUACUUGGGUGAUAUUUCUUGCUCAUAAGGAUGAUGCCUUCAAGAAUUUCACUUCAUUGUUUGCUAAAGUGCAAAAUCUGCUUGGCUUAAAAAUUGUUAGGAUUAGAAGUGAUAAUGGAACGGAAUUCAAGUAUUGUGGUUUUCCAGAUUUCUGUGAUCAUAAUGGCAUAACACAUGAGUUUUCAAUUGCUAGAACUCCACAACAAAAUGGUGUUGUAGAAAGGAAAAAUAGGACACUACAAGAGGCUGCUAGAACUAUGUUGAGUGAAUGUAGUUUGCCAAAAUACCUUUGGGCUGAAGCAGUAAACACUGCAUGUUAUGUGAUGAACAGAAUCCUUUUGAGACCCAUCUUGAAUAAGACUUCUUAUGAACUGAUUUGUGAUAAAAAACCUACGGUUGGAUAUUUCAAAGUCUUUGGUUGUAAAUGUUUUAUUUUAAAUUUAAAGGAACAUCUUGGUAAGUUUGAGAAAAAAUCUGAUGAAGGAAUAUUUUUGGGUUAUUGUGAGAACAAAAGAGGAUAUAGAGUCUUUAAUAGAAGGACUCUUGUGAUAGAAGAAGCCAUUCACAUAACAUUUGAUGAAACUAAUGAUGAUAAUUCCAAAAGUUCGUGUGAGGAUGAUGAUGUAGGUGUUCGUGAGGGAAUGGAAAAGCUGAAAAUUGGUGAUGAAGGAAUAUCUAAACCAGCAGCAAUGGAAAUGAUGGAUGAAGCUCAUAAUGAUCAAGAAAAGGGUGAUGAAGAUGAGAAUGAUGAUUCAGUCAAAGACCUUCCCAAUGCUUGGAAAUUCAGCCAAAAUCAUCCAAGAGAGCUUAUAAUUGGUGAUCCAUCCGAAAAGGUAAAGACUCGUUCUUCAUCUAGAAUAUUGAUAGACAAUUUUGCUUUAGUUUCUCUUUUUGAACCCAAAAACAUCAAUGAUGCUUUAAAGGAUGAUAACUGGAUUUUGGCUAUGCAAGAGGAACUUAACCAAUUUGAGAGAAAUAAGGUUUGGACACUUGUUGAUAGACCUCAAAAUCAACCUAUCAUUGGCACAAAGUGGAUAUUUAGAAAUAAAUUGGAUGAUAAAGGUGUUGUUAUAAGGAAUAAAGCCAGAUUAGUUGCUAAAGGAUAUGCACAAGAAGAAGGAAUUGAUUUUGAUGAAACAUUUGCUCCCGUAGCAAGAUUAGAAUCUAUUAGAAUGCUUCUUGCUUUUGCUUGUUUCAAAGGUUUCAAAUUGUUUCAAAUGGAUGUUAAAAGUGCCUUUUUAAAUGGUUUUAUUGAUCAAGAAGUAUAUGUGGAUCAACCUCCCGGUUUUGAAAAUACAAAAUUUCCAAGUCAUGUGUUUAAACUAUCUAAAGCAUUAUAUGGUUUAAAACAGGCUCCAAGAGCUUGGUAUGAAAGAUUAAGUGGUUUCUUGAUUGAAAAUGGUUUCAAAAGAGGUUUUGUGGACACCACACUGUUUACUAAGCAAGUGUUAAAUGACCUUCUUAUUGUGCAAAUAUAUGUUGAUGAUAUUAUUUUUGGUGCUACUAAUGAGUAUCUAUGCAAGGAUUUUUCCACCACUAUGCAAAGUGAAUUAGAAAUGAGUAUGAUGGGGGAAUUAAAUUUCUUCCUUGGACUUCAAAUACAUCAAGCCCUUGAGGGAAUUUUUAUAAAUCAAGCAAAAUAUACCAAGGAAUUGCUGAAAAAGUUUGGCAUGGAAGACUCAAAGCAAGUUGGAACUCCAAUGUGCACUUCUACAAAACUUGACAAAGAUGAAGAAGGUAAUCAUGUGGAUGAAAAGCACUAUAGAGGUAUGAUCGGAAGCUUACUCUAUUUAACCGCAAGUAGACCUGAUAUUAUGUUUGUUGUUUGCUUGUGUGCUAGAUUUCAAUCUUGUCCAAAAGAAUCACAUUUAAAUGCUGUUAAAAGAAUUUUUAGGUAUUUGAAAGGUACAUUAGACUAUGGUCUUUGGUAUGCUAGAUCUUGUGAAUUUGCUUUAUAUGGAUAUUCGGAUGCGGAUUUUGGUGGUUGUCGUGUGGACAGAAAAAGUACUAGUGGAACUUGUCACUUUCUUGGUAAUUGCUUAGUUUCUUGGUUUAGCAAAAAGCAAAAUGCAAUAUCUUUGUCUACAACCGAAGCGGAAUAUAUUGCCGCUAGUGCAUGUUGUGCUCAACUUUUAUGGAUGAAGCAUACCUUGAAUGAUUUUGGAUUGUUAUAUGACUGCAUGCCUAUAUUCUGUGAUAAUACUAGUGCUAUUAAUUUGACCAAAAAUCCAAUUCAACAUUCUAGGACAAAGCAUAUAGAUAUAAAGCACCACUUUAUUCGAGAUCUUGUUCAAAAAGGUGAAAUUUGUGUAAAUUAUGUUUGUUCUAAAGAUCAAUUUGCUGAUAUUUUUACCAAAGCUUUGCCAUUAGAUCAGUUCACUCAUCUAAGAUCAAAAUUGGGAAUAAUCGAAAAAUCAUCUUAAAAUUUCUCAAAGUCUUCGGACGUCCGAAAGAAGAUGAACGGACGUCCGAUAAUGUUCUUCAGCUAUUUUUUCCAGAAAACACCUGUUCGGACGAAUAUGUCGGACGCACGACUUCGUUCGGCCGUCCGACAGUGCAACGGUACACUUUUUAAAGUAACUUUCUUCCUCAUUUGCUUCAAACUCUUCUUCUUCUAUUUCCUCUCGGACGAGAACUCUCUCAUCUCUCACUCUCAAAUUCAUACCAUUCUGAAGCUCUCAUUCCCAAAUUGACUCAACCAAAACUUUUCCUGAUCGAUUGCGACUCGUUUCUCCUGAUCAUUUCACCGAAUCGCAUAACAUUUCGUAAAGUCCCAAAUUUCCCUCAAAACCCUACUUUCUCAUAACCGCUCUGUCAAAUCUUGUUCAAGGCCUGUUUGUCCCAAAAUUUCUGUGCGAUUCACUUCCCUACUACUGUGUGCAUCAUUUGCAUCCUUCAUUCCACACAUUUCGCACAAUGGUGAAUCUAAGAGGAGGAAAGGUUACUGCCGGACGCAAGCAUCCACUCAGGGAUGAGGAGGAGGAUCUUCCUACGGUCAAACGUUCAUCCAAACGCUUCAAGAGAGGAGCCAUAAAAGGUCAAAUGUCACGGCCUACUCCACAACCCACCUCUCAACCUGAAACUGGACAGGGAACCUCUUCUCAACUGCCUCCAAAAUCAGCCACACUCCCUACAUUCUUUGAUGAUGCGGCAAAAGACAAACACUCCUGGAUAUCCCAGAAAGGUGUCAUCCCUCAACGAAUUGUAAACUCUUCUGAAUUUCGCCACAUAGGUUUAGAAUCCAUUCUGAGUCUAUUUGCUUUCCAGAAAUGGUCACAUCUCGUUUCUAUGCCCAAUGUUUAUUACCCUGAAAUGCUGUAUCAAUUCUUUGCUAAUCUUAGGAAAGGCACUGAUCAGACUGAGAUUAUGUCCAGGGUUAAUGGGGUAGACUUAGUCUUUGAUUCUGAAAUUGUGAAUGAUAUUUUAAAAACUACCAUUGAACCUGGAUGCAAGGACAAAAUUGCAAAUUUCUUUUCCUAUGAAGAGCACCCUACUGCUGAUAAUCAUUUUGAUGGGGCUAAAAUAUUAACUUAUUUUAAAAGAAGUUUUACCUCCCCUGCUGAUGCUAAACUGAAUGAUCUUGCUCCUGUGAAUCUAAUUGCCUUUUCAAUCAUUUCAAACCUGCUUGUACCCACUGAUGGCCAUAGAACUGAUACAAACAAAAUGGAGUUGUAUCUCUUUUACUGUUUUCGAGAAAAAAUUCGUAUUGAUUUUGGUUUUGUCAUGUGCAAGUUUUUACUUCGCUAUGCCACUGAUUCUCGCAGAAAAUUAUCUUAUGGAAAGUUUCUUCAAAAGAUUUUUGAGUUUUACAAAGUUCCAAUUCUAGGUGUUUGUCCCAAAGAAGCAUCUUCUUAUGCCUUUACCAAAGGAUAUUUUGAAAAGGAAAAAUCUUGUUUUUAAAGAUAAUCUGUGGGCUUAUAAGGGGGCAUCAUCUAGUGAACAGAGGUCUAAGACUGCACAUGAUCCUUCAUCUGUUUCACUCACUCCCAUUCAUCCCAGGAAGUCUGCCACUAAAGCAGCUUCCUCCUCCAAUGAUGAAGUGAUUGAGUUCCUUCGUGAACUCAAACAGCAUGUUCUUCUUCUAGAACAUGGUCUAAUGCUCACCAUGUCCUCUGAGCAACAAACAGCCUUCCUAGACAAAAAGAACCUUCUUUUUCCCCCACCUGUGGUUGAGGAAGUUUCCCAUGACAAAGAACCACACCCCACUGAUCCAAGCUCAUCAAUUCCAGACCCUGGUUCAUCAACUCCUGUGACUCCUCAUGGCCCUUCCACAUCAGAUAAAGGCAAGGCACCAGUUGAAGAGGCUGCUGCAGAUGAUGAAGAAACUGAAGAGGAGGACCUCUCCCAAUAUCAGCUCUCUCGAAGAACACCUGGAUCCACAUAGUUCACCAUUUAGGACAUUUGCAUUUUGUUUAUUUCAUGUGUUUGUGGUGUUCAAUAAUGGAUAUGUAGAUGAAUUCAACAUUUGGUUACGAUUAUGUUUAUGUUUCUUUUGGUACCGUUUGAUAGAUGUUUAAGUAUUUUGAAUGAUGAUUGUGUGGAUGUAAUGAAUUUUAUGGAUGAUUGUGUGGAUGUUUAAGUAUUUUUGAAUGAUGUUUGUGGAUGAGAUGGAUGUGAUUGAUUGCCCUUUUGUGAUGACAAAAAGGGGGAGAGGACUGGAUUGAUUGAUGAUUGAUGAUUGAUUGAUUGAUGAUUUGAUCAAAUUUGAAUUGGCUGAUGGAUUGAAUUGGUAAAAUGUUGGAUGUUGGCUGCUUAAUUGUCAUAUUUUGGAUAAUUGUUUAAUUCGGUUGGGCAGCCAAGUGAGGGGGAGUUUUUCAAAAUUUUUUUAUGAUUCACUAAGCAAGGGGGAGUUCUUGUCUAUUGAGAAAGGGGGAGUUUUUAUUGCAAUCAUCAAAUCUCAUUUCAAACCUUUGUUUUGUCAUCAUCAAAAAGGGGGAUAAUGUUAUUCUUGGUUUUGAUGAUCACAAAGGUCUUUGAAAUGUUUGUUUAACUCUCUUCAAAUAUAAGUGUUUUUUGCCUAUCAAAGAAUCAGGUACGAAUAUGUCAAGAAAUGAAAAUCAACUAAAAGAAUAAGCAAAAACAGGACACUCAUGUCGGACGUCCUAAGGAAUUGGUCGGACGUCCGAAAGGAUGAAGAUCAUUAAGAAGAAGAUUCUGUCGGACGCUCGUGAGGAAGCAUCGGACGUCCGGAUGGAUCGGACGUACUCCUCGGACGCACAUCGAACGUGUCGGACGUCCUAAAAAUUCCACAAAAUGUUGAUGACUCUCUGCCAAGACUCUGUCGGACGCUCGUAAGGAAGCAUCGGACGUCCUGAAGGAUCGGACGCAUGCUUCGGACGCACAUCAAUCUCAUCGGACGUCCUAAAAAUUCCACGAAGAUUUGAUAACUCUCUGGACGACGUUCGGACACAGAAGCUCGGACGAUAAAAUACCAUCGGACGUCCGAACAAUAACUUGACUGAGUUUCGGACGAUGGGAUCGGACGAUGACUAAGACGUCGGACGUCCGACAGCUCCAACGGCUAGCUGACUCUUCAUCUGCCUUCUAUCCGUUGGAUGUAUUAAUGAAGCUCAUUUUUGGCUCCCUUUAAAUACAAACGAUUCUGAUUCAGAAGAGGACUUUUGCACACUUUGUUUACAAGAUCUCAAGAGUUAUUUUAGCUAGAAAAUAGUCUCCAAAGCUAGAUUUGUUCUCCAAGUGGUGUGAAUUUCUUGUGAGCUUUUCUCUUGUGGUUGAAAGUUUCAUUAGUGUAGCUUUGUUGAGGGUUAUCUGAGUGAUUGUAAAACUUCUUAGCUUGACUAAGUGAGGCUUAGGGCAAGAAGGAAGUGCUCCCUCCAUUGUACAUCUAGUUGAUCAUCUUUCAUCAAAGAGAAGUUGCUCAACCUAGUGAUUGGUCUUCAAGUUUGAGGAAAGCUUGGUAGACAAUCGGUUUGAUAUUCUAUCUUAUUCUUUUUGUUUAAUAAAAUUCUCAUUGCUUAUCUAUACUUGUUUUUCGAAUCAAUAUUGCUCUCUUCUUCUAAUCUACUUGAUUGAUUAUUACUAGAAAAGAAGGUAAAUUUUUAUUAACCAAAAAUUGCAUAAAUUUGAUUAAGAUUUUAAUCAACCUAAUUCACCCCCCCUCUUAGGUUGUCUUUGGGCCUUACACUCUCAAACUCGGCCUUCUCUCUCUUUCUUUUCCUUUGGUUUUUCCUUUGGUGUUUUAUUGUUUAUAAGCUUGGUUCUCUCUUGAAUAUUCUAGAUUUAAGCUUAGUCAUCAACCCUAAUAGCUUAGUCAUCAACCCUAGGAGAUAUUUCCCAAACAACCAAUCACAUAAGAGGUGGGAUUUUACUUCCUAGCCCUUGCAACAACACUUUCUCUUUCUUAUACUCUUGCCCACAAACAUUUGGAACUCUUUCAAUUUACUCCAUUGGACUUAAACUUAAUCUAGUCCAAACUAACUAAUCUUACUUGAUUUCUCUACUAAUCACCCCACUAACUUAAUCAUCUACACUUAAUCAUACUUUCUCCAUAAUAAAAACAAUUAAACAACAACCUUUAUAACAUUGGCAAAAUUAGGGUUUUAAAUCCAACUUAAGCUUUCUAAUCUAUUGGAACACUAGAGGGUUUACUAGUCUGAGGUUUUCUAACUUUUACACUUACUUAACCGAUAUAAAAUAAAUCGAAUCCUAUACUUACUUGUACCAAAACCCACUCUAGUCUACCAAACAUGAAUUACAACUCAAAUUUGUGAUUAAUACAAAAACUAGGAUUUUAUAAAUAAUCCAAUUUAGGGUUUUCUAAUAAUUUAGUACAAAAUAGAACAAAAUGCUAGUAAUAUCACAUAAUUUCGAAAUUAGGGACUAUCCGGGGUCUCACAUAUAUCAUCAUAAACUAAGAUUUAAAGAUCAUUUACCUCUCUUGUAACAAGCUUGAGUCAUCCAAAACGACCACCAAACCAAGAGCUUCAAGCUUGAAAAUCACCCACUAGGUUGGAAGUAGUUUGCUCACCAACUCAAACUAGGUUUAGAAAGCAAGGAAAAUGGAGUUUUCUCUCCUUCUUUUGGAAGCUAUGAGGGCCGGCCAAGCUAAGGAAAAAAAAAAGGCUCCAAGAUGGCUUAAAUUCCUUCUAAUCCCUUGGUCAAACAAGAUAUAUGGCUAGGGUUUGGCCACUUGGCCCAAUUCUUGUCCAUUUCUUCCUUAAUCUUUGACUAAAGAUGUUCAACCCUUCCAAAUGUUCCAAUACCUAUUUAACACCUCUAACCUAUCAUAUAAAGUCCCAACCACAAUAAAAGAAUAUUUGGUAAAAAUUGCAAGUGGUGAAAUAAACUAAACCAACUCAAAGAAAUGUUUUAAUUUAAGUAAGAGGAAAUGAAAUGCAAUACAAGGGAAUUGUUGUAACACAUGUAGAAUAUAAUGCAAGGGCAUAUAAUAAAUGAUUUAAAUCCUAGGGCAAGGCAAGUAAUUUGGCGAAAUUGUAUUUAAAGUGAGGGUUCUCACACUCUCUCUCCCUUAAAGAAUUUUGUUCUCGAAAUUCUCACCUUGAUCACUGAAUAGUUCAGGGUACUUGGCACGAAUGUCCUCUUCCACUUCCCAAGUAGCUUCCUCCACCUCAUAAUUCCUCCACAAAACUUUAACUAAGGGUAUUUGUUUAGUUCUCAAUUCCUUCACCUUUCAAUCUAAGAUCUGUACCGGCCUUUCUUCAUAAGUUAAAGAUUCGUCAAUGUCAAUUUCUUUUGGCUUCAGUACAUGAGUGGGAUCUAGAUGAUACUUCUUCAACAUAGACACGUGAAAUAUAUCAUGAACCCUAGAUAGACUUGCCGGUAACUCCAAUCGAUAUGCUACAUUUCCAACUCGUUGGAGAAUUUUGAAUGGUCCCAUGUAUCUCGGUUAAAGCUUCUUUCCUUUUCCCGCCGUGAGAUUUCGAAGUGGUAUAACCUUCAAGAAUACCUUGUCCCCAACUUCAAACUCCAAGUCCUUUCAUCGAUUAUCAGUAUAACUCUUCUGCCGACUUUGAACUGUCUGAAGCCUCUGACGUAUCACCUUUACCUUUUCAUAAGCGUUCUCGAUCCAUGGUAUGGCAGUUGGGUCUCAAACCCUUCUUUCCCCUACUUCAUCCCAGAAUAUUAGUGAUCGGCAUUUCCUUCCAUAGAGAGUUUCAUACGGUGCCAUUUGUAUGGAAGAAUGAUAGCUAUUAUUAUAUGCAAAUUCAACUAAAGCCAUGUAUUGUCCCCAACUUCCCCCAAAAUCCAAAAUACAUGUCCUUAACAUGUUCUCAAGUGUUUGAAUAGUCCUCUCCGACUGUCCGUCAGUUUGAGGAUGAUAAGUAGUACUAAAGUUCAACUUGGUACCCAUGACUCCUUGUAAUUGUUGCCAGAAACGAGACACAAACCGCGGAUCUCUGUCAGAAACAAUACUUACGGGGAUCCUAUGCAACCUCACUAUCUCACCUAUGUACAGUUGGGCCAAUUUCUCCAAAGAGUAUCUCAUAUUUAUAGGUAAGAAAUGAGAAGACUUGGUCAACCUGUCUACUAUUACCCAAACGGCAUCAUGACCUUUCUGGGUACGGGGUAAUCCUGACACGAAAUCCACGGUAAUAUGUUCCCAUUUCCAUUCAGGGAUUUCAAGAGGUUGUAGAAGACCUGAGGGCUUCUGAUGUUCAGCUUUCACUUGUUGGCACACUAAAUACUUUCGGACGAAUUGAGCAAUUUUUUUCUUCAUUUUAUCCCACCAAUACAGCCUCCUCAAAUCUUGGUACAUUUUACUGCUUCCAGGAUGUACUGUAUACUUGGAUCGAUGUGCCUCUUCCAAAAUGUCCCUUUUUAUCACUUCAUCUUACGGUACCACUAUCUGAUCACGAAAUUUCAAGAUACCCUCGGAACUCACAUUAAAGUCUAAGAUUUCCCCUUUCUGCAUUUUUUCUGUCCACUUUUGCAUCAUCUGGUCAUUCUUUUGAGCUUCUUUAAUUCGGUCCAACAAAUUAGAUCUCACCGUAAUAUUGCCUAAAAUCACCCUCUGUCGGUCCAAUCGCGGGUUCCAUUCACUCACAUCUUCCAACAAAUUCCACUCCUUAACCAUUAAUCUAGCUGCAUGCACUUUUUGACUUAAAGCAUCCGCUACAACAUUGGUCUUGCCCGGGUGGUAGUUAAUUGUACAGUCAUAAUCCUCAAGAAAUUUCACCCACCAACGUUGUCUCAAAUUUAACUCUUUCUGAGAGAAUAGGUAUUUCAAACUCUUAUGGUCAGUAUACACCUCAAAAGUCACCCCAUAUAAGUAAUGUCUCCACUUCUUUAGGGUAAAAACUACAGUGGCCAAUUCUAAGUCAUGAGUGGGGUAAUUUCGCUUAUGGGAUUUUAAUUUCCUAGAGGCAUAGGCAAUUACACUCCCAUUUUGCAUUAGAACACAUUCGAAUCCUUCUCUUGAGGCGUCUGUAUGUACAGUGAAGCUGUCUUUCUCAUUUGGUAAAGCUAAAAUGGGUGCCGACGUUAACCGUUUCUUUAAUUCCCGAAAACUAGAUUCACACUUAGAACUCCAGAAAAAUUGACCAUGCUUUUUCGUCAAGUCGGUUAAAGGACCGGCUAACUUGGAGAAAUCUUUAAUGAACCGACGGUAAUACCCAGCUAAACCUAGGAAACUACGGAUCUCAAUUGGGGUUUCUGGCCGUUUCACCUAAGCUAUGGCCUCUACUUUCACUGGAUCCACGAAAAUGCCAUCUUUAGAUAUUAUAUGCCCUAGAAAAGAAAUUUUCUCCAACCAAAACUCGCACUUACUAAAUUUGGCAUAUAACUGAUGCUCUCUUAAAGUCUACAAAACUAUCCUCAAAUGCCGUUCGUGAUCCUCUCGAGUCUAAGAAUAUACCAAGAUAUCAUCGAUAAACACUACGACAAAUUGAUCCAAGUAGGAUUUAAAAACUCGAUGCAUCAAAUCCAUAAAUGCGGCAGGAGCAUUUGUUAAACCAAAAGGCAUCAUGGCAAAUUCAAAAUGUCCAUAUCUGGAAUUAAAAGCAGUUUUCAGUAUGUCCUCCUGCUUAAUUCGUAACUGAUAAUAACCUUGUCUUAGAUCCAAUUUAGAGAAAACCACCGCUCCUUGCAACUGAUCAAACAACUCAUCAAUGUGUGGCAAAGGACACUUAUUUUUCACCGUGACAUCAUUUAGGCCGCGAUAGUCUAUACAAAGUCUCAAACUACCAUCCUUCUUUUAACAAAUAAAACAGGCGCUCCCCACGGUGGUUCACUUUCUCGAAUAAACCCUCGCUCUAACAGAUCCUGUAACUGCAGUUUCAAUUCCUUAAGUUUGGCAGGGGCCAUUCAGUAUGGUGUUUUUGCAAUAGGAGUGGUUCCAAGUACCAAAUCGAUCUUAAAUUCUAUUUCCCUCUCUGGUGGCAUCGACUUCAACUCGUCAGGGAAAACAUCAGGAAAUUCAUUUAGUACUAACACAUCCUCCAUUUUCACCUUAUCUCCAGGAGUGUUAAUCAAGAAAGCUAAGUAACCCUGCGCCCCUUUUCUCAAUAACUUCCUAACUCGAAUUUCCGAAACAAGUGCAGACGAGACUAACCUACCUCUCACAUCCAACCUUAGAGUGGCAUCUUCGGGUAUCAAGAAUUCCAUCACCUUAGUUUUACAGUUCAAUUGGGCAUUAUAACGGGCCAACAAAUCCAUGCCUAUAAUCAUGUCGUACCCCUUAAGGUCUAAACUUAUCAAGUCUCCCACCAACUUCCGUUCUCCUACCCAAAUCUCACAAUUUUUACAAACUAUAUUGGUAAUUAGGCUUCGAUUCCCAGUAAGUGCUUUAACUUCCAAGUCAUAGGGCAAUUUAACAGGAUUCACAUCAAUACCACACAUAAAAGCAGGAUUCACAAAUGAAUGGGUUGCCCUAGGGUCAAUUAAAAACUUAGAUAAGCAGUGGAAUACAGGAAUCAUACCUUUUACUACCUCAGAGGACUCAGGGGCUCACUGAUAGUCCAUGGCAAAAACCCUAGCAGAGGAUUUUGGUCUACUCCCACUAGCAGUUGGUUGCUUAUGGUUUGACAUCUCCGGCCAUGCACCCUCGUUUCCUUCACGGCUCUUAAUAGGACAAGUGGUGAUCUGAUGUUCUGAACUUUCGCAACGGAGACAUUUCUUCAAUUUUCGCUAGCAAGCGUCCUCAGUGUGGUUUGCCCUACCACAAUAUCUACAGUUUGCACGAGGAGUGGGUGUAGGAACUCCUAGGGAUAUAGUCCUCUAUUGUUCUUGUCCCGUUCCAUUUUGAGCCCCUCUAGAUGGAGCUCCUCCUCUCGGUGCCCCAACAAUUCGGACUCCACCCGCACCUCUUCCAAACUUAGGAGGCAGUACAUUCUGAUCACCUCGUCCAGGGACACUACUAGAUGCACCACGUUUCUUGGUUUGAAAGGUCCGAACCUGAAGUCGGACCUGCUCCACUCGUUGAGUUUUGUCAAGAGCAUCUUUAAAUGUAUCAAUUUGAGCAGAGGCUAAGUCCUUUUGAAUUUCUACAUUCAAACCUUGUAUGAACUGUCUUAUGCGCUUUUGCUCAUUAACUACCAAUUCUGGAGCAAAUUUGGAGAGUCGGGUGAACUGGGUCUCAUAUUUCGCCACUCUUGAAGUGCCUUAGCGCAGUUUGAUAAACUCGUCCUCUCUUUUCUCCUAGAUUAAGGGUGGGAGGUACUUCUCAUUAAAUUCCCUGGUGAAAUUUAACCAAGUACGUGGGGUUUGCUCCCUGUCCCACUUUGCCCUCACUAUGUUCCACCAAGAACGGGCCGCACCUUCCAGUUGGAAAACAGCGAAAGUCACUUGCCUCUCUUCAGUGUAAUGUAACGCAGCGAAUAUAUCCUCCAUUCGCUCAAACUAGUUCUCGGCAACUUCGGGAUCGGGGCCCCCAAGAAAUUUUGGAGGAGCGAACUUUUGGAACUGUUCCAGGGCCCUAUCUUCACCUACUUUGGGGUCCUUUUCCUGAUUACCAGGUACUUGACUCUGCUGGUCAACCAAACGGGCCAGUAAAUCAGUCAUACGAUUGAUAGCUGUAGCUACCUAGUCCCCUCCUUCAACUCUGGGUCCCUGAUUUUGAUUAGCUACAGACCCCUGUUCCUUCUCUUGAUCCUGAACCUGCCUGGAUCCAUGUCCACGGCCCCGACCACGUUGUCAUCUAGUCUCCAUUAUUACUUACUGGUCUAGGGCCCAAGUAUUAUAACUAACUGGGUAAGCAAGUAUAGGUACACAACAGAUACUUAUUCACAAUCGAAAGUCAAAGAAAAAUGAAGUCGAAAUCACGAUAAGCAAGGGAAAACACAAAGUAGUUAAAUGCCAAUUUGAAAUAAAGUCAGGUCAAAGUCAAAGUCAAAAGUCAAAAGUCAAAAUCAAAGGUCAAAGUAUUAUACAUUCAAAGGUCAUAGCAGUCAUUUUCAAGCUAACAAGGCUAGAAGUAGCAAGUACGAGCCUCAAAAGUACAGGCACAGCUCAUCAUGUCAUAUCAUGCACAGGCCAAUGUACGCAGUCAAAAGAGAACUGUACAACUACCAAGUCACCACAUUCCCUAACCUUUCUAUGUACAAUGGUCAAAAUCAUCCACAAUCCUAACCUAGAAGUGAAGACCUAAUCCGCUGUGGGACUAGCUGACCUCCCGUCCUGGGCAGGUUUAGCUCCUGCCUCGUUUCCAAUGUAGGAAGCCUCAUCGCUCACAUCCCCAAGUAGGUCAUCACAAACGUUCGGGAUCGACUCGGCUCUAGUCCUCACCUUCAUAGCUCUAGUAACCAUGCGCGCCUGAGUUUCUGUGAGAACCCUGAAAAUAGACAUAUAAAUAUCAGUGCAUAUUUUAUUUACAUUUUAAUUCUUUAAUAAAUUUUAGCACUAAGUCCAAUUGUCUUUAAAUGAGUACGUAGAAAUAAACGUCAGGUGCAAAAUAAAAGAAUUGUGCUAAACUACUAAACUUCUUAGUUUUGUUACAUUAACUUCAUAUUUCUAUGGUAAACUAUUUCAUUGAUCUAAUAAUUAAUUUCUUUGAAUUCUAGUAUUGUAAUUAAUUGUUUUGCAAUAAAAGUAUAAAGAUAAUUUCUAUGUAAUAAAUAAUAUAAUUGUGCCAAUAUUGAAUUAUUCGGUUUGCUAUACUAAAUUAAUAUUUCUUGAGUUGGAUUAAUUCUAUUACCUUAAAAUAAAUUCUUUGAUUUCCGAUAACUAGUUUUAAUCGUUAAUAAUGUUAAAUGUUAAUAGGAAUUUCCGCGUUAAGAUGAAAACCAAUGAAUUUUAGAUAAAUAUGAUUCUAAUAUAUUAAACAUGCUUACGGCGUGAAAAUUCGAUAAAUAUAUCCUUAUCUUUCUUUGUUUUCAAAUAAGUGCGUAAAAAUAACUUUUAUGUGCAAACUGGCACACUUGCAUUAAAGUAUUAUUUCACUUGACUUCAUUAUACUAAAUCGAUAAAUUUCGAGUUAGACUAACUCUAUUUCUUGGGAACAAAUAAUUGGAAAUUCUGAUAACUAAUUUAAUCGCUAAAUAAUGUCAGGAAUUAAUAGGAACCUUAAUAUUCAAGUUUAAUUGAUUAUUAUUCGAUAAAAAUGGUUUAGGUAUAUUAGCGUAUAAUUAAGCGAUCAAAUCAUACUUGGGAUUAAUUUUUGGGAUCAAGUUAAGACCAAGGCCUUAAGUGGCUAAUAGGAGAAGUGGUGAAAAGACUAAAAUAUCCCUCACAACUUCACAACAUCACCCACGGCCAUAACCAAUUUCUGCAACACCAAACACUCCCCCGGAACACAAUGAUCAAGCACCUCUUCAUCCGGCCAAUGCCCUUCUUCUCUAUCUACACACUCAAUCACUCCUGCACACUCCACCUCCAUUCCAUAGCCUCUGCAAUCCUUCAACCCAGGCCACACUCCACCCUCCCCUUGUUAUUAUCGACCGAGAGUGAGGGAGAGGUUGAGCUGCUACUUAUAGUCGAGAGUGAGGGAGGAAGCUGGGAGUUGCGAGCCCAUUUCUGGUUCUGUCCGCAAGCAUCGAAGAGGGAGGAGAGGAGGAGGAGCCGUGAGCAGACUUGCCUCUGCCUUCUCCAUGCUCAGCCAGUGUUAUCCAGCUUCCACCAUCACCAGCUGCACCCACUGCAACCCAACUAGAACCAGUCUGCCGUGCGUGAGGAGAAGAGCCGAGUGAGAGGGAUUGACUUCAGCUUUCUGUCGAGUGAGUGAGCUUCUGUGAGGUAAAAUUAUGGAUUAUUUUAGGACUAAUCAGGGGUAGUAUGAGCUAUCUUGAAGCAUGCAUGUACUGUGGUACCAUCGGAUGAUGGAUUUAAGCUAUUAGGAAAAUUUCUGUUUUGGUUAUAUGUCCCUGCCGAGUAGCUGUAUUAGCAAUGCAGCUUCAAUCUUAUUUCCCUGGGGUAAUCUGAGCUCACCUAUGCGAUUAUUUAACUCUGGACAUGAGAUUUAAGACCAUGCAUGUCAAUCAAGUGUUCGGAUGUUGUAUUAAGAAGCUUAGGAAAAUUUUGUUUUAAGGGAUAUGAUUCUGCCGAGAAUAAUCUGGAAAUGAUUUGCUUAAUUCGCAUAAUUUUGACAAGCUGUGAUUUUAAUCCUAACUAUCCCUAUUGAUAACCUGAGCUCUCGGCUGUGUUACCUAACUUAAGACAAGAGAACUAUGGCCUUGCACAUAGAGUGAUUCGAUCAAAUGUUGGAACCAGAGGUGUGAGAAACUCUGCUUGAGGAGUUGAAUUACCGUGAGCUGGAAAUUUUGAACUGCAAUCUAAUGUGAUUAAAUGUGAUAAUCUGAGUUGAUAUCUAUACUUAUCUAGCAAACAACUUGAUGAUUGAGGCUGGCAUGAGGAUGAUUAACACGGCAAACCAAGAAAAUAAAAUGAGAACAGGAUCUGUUUCAUGCAGGUUAUUCCGGGGCUAGCUGGAAACUUUGUUCUCGAAAAAAUUGAACGUCAUUGGUGUUGAUCAAACCUAAUUCUUGAACUAAAGAAGCUAAUUACCAACUAGGUGUUGGCCUACUGAAUUGAGUAACUAAAUACCCUGUUUUGGCCAAGGAAAAGGUUGGAGUUAAGAACAUACCAUUGCUGGAAAUCUCCUUGUGAGCUGCCGAGAGCUUGAUUGGGUUAAUGCAUCUUGAUUUGGUUUAAUUGCCUAUAAUCGUAACCAGCUAGCUUAUAGCAAGGAAAUCUUAGCUUUGCAUGUAGCUAAAUAGUUGGGUCAGAACUGAAAAUAAAAAUAAGAUGCAACUGGAUUUUGUGCAGCUCAUGCCGAGGCUAGAUGGAGAUUUUCUUGGAAAUUCGGUGACUUGUGUUGUUAUCCCACCUGAACUUUUGUUAUUUUUAUUUUUGGAACUGGAAAUGUUACUCAGCCAAUUAAGUAUCCGUAUGCCGGAUUUGAGUAUCUAAAUCCCUGAAUAAGCCAAGGGAGAAAUUUUAUACAAGACAAAUGGUUGCUGGAAAAUUUAGCUAACCAAACGUUUGAGCAGAAAAUAUUGAAUUGUUUCCGGAUUUCACUAGUUGAUGUUCGAAUAUUUUCCUUGGCAUAAAAUGGUUUCGAAACACAGAAAAAGGGUGCAUUUUAAGACAUACAUGCUGUUUAGCAAUGAAAUACUUGAUAUCACGAAUGACUUAACCAAAAACGUGGGUAUACGAAUGCUGGAAAUUUUCCCUGUAGUUGUCAAAGUUUGAGUAAGAAUUUCCAGCUUGAUUGUGAAAUUAUUCUUUGAAUUCAUAAUGGUUGAAAUUGACUGGAAAAUGUGGUGCUUAAAUUCUAUUAGAGUCGUAUGAAUGGUUAGACAAAAAGCCUUGUGGUUUUAAAAAGAGAAAAAGGAGCUUUUCCCCAUGUGAGCAAGAGCUUCCAGAUUUUCGGGACUUACUGACCAGUCUCAGUAAAAUGCUUAUAUCUUGGUGUAGGAAAAUCCGAUUAAGGUGCCGUCAGUGGCAUUUGAAACUAGAUUCAUGGGCCUUUGUUCUGUAGAAAUUUCAUAUUUUUCCUCCAUAUGUACUGCUGUCCGUGACUCCUCAAAGUGGACUGUCUGGUGUGAAUGCCUUGUUUCUUUGUGAAACUAAAGUUGGAUUUGGAUUGAGAUUUUAGCUUACUUGUGGUUUAAAUUCUUGAUUAAAUUGUGGUUGGGAGUGAUUGAUGUUGUCAAGGGCUAAUGAUUGAUGAAGCCCUUGGCCAUUGGAAUGAUUUUAUAAGUAUUACUGGAUGAUGGAAGUUAAUUGCUGGAAUGUCUUGGGGCUUUACUUCUAUUUCUAUUUGCUUUCGAUGGGUUUGCUGAAACCAAGUGCUAAUGAUUGAUGAAGCCUUGGCUGAUCAUUUUAUUUUAUUCAGAAAUGCACUUGUUGAAAGCUAGGGCUAAUGAUUGACGAAGCCCUAGUAAUUUGCUAUGUGAUUAUUUGCCAUAUUUUGAUCCAUAUUAUGAUCUCGAAAUGGAAUCGGAGCGGGGGGAAAUUGUAUAGACCUUGCGAACUCGAGUAACUGCGUUCAAAAUUAACCAAAAAUAUUUUCCAACUAGUAUUAAAUUAUAAAAACUCAAUAUCUAGUGUUUUGCCUAAAACUUUCCAACUCGAUAAUUUUCUUUAGCUCAAUCUAGCCUUGAUAGCUAUAGUAAAUAAGUUCUAUAGCUUUUGAAAACUCUAAGUCUUAUUUUAAUUCCUUUUCUUUUCUUAAGCUUUGCACUUGGAUAGUUAACUAUAGGAAAAGUUCCAAAAUAUGAGUUUUACUAAUCUUAGUGAAAAGCUUGGGAAACUUGCUCGGCAAGAAACCCUAUUUUAGGAAAAAUAGUUUUUAAGGAUAAUUUUUGCAAAAGCCGUAACUUUAGAGAAAUGUUCAAAGUAACUUUCUAACAUUCAUAUUAAAAGGUUUGUCGACUUAUUUCAAGAAAAUAAAACUAGUUACCUUUUAUAAGGAAAAGUAUCUUAAGGAAAACUAUAAUAAACAUUUCUUCUACUUUCGUCAAGAUUCAACCUACGGAAACUCUUGAUUCUUCUAAGGAAAAGUAGACUAGUAGUAUAUUAAAUAUACCUCGAUGUCUAUAAGCUUAAAAGCUGAGUAGAAACUUAUAGUUUCAAAAUUUCAUUUUUAGGAUAUUACGAGGACGCGGAAUUCGAUUCCCAACUUGAUAUCUGAACUCCACUCUUGGUGAGUGUCCCUGCCUGUUCUUUUCCUACUUGAAUUAAGUGCUUUCUUGACUCGAUAUGUGAUGAAUUGUAAAAUGAGUUUUUGAUCCAUCGAAGUGAGCAGUGUGUACUUUAUCGCACUAGCCGUUCGAGUGGUGACUUGCGUGAAUCAUUUUUCUCGUGAAUCCUUAAUCUAAGAGUAGUUACGUCGUUGGGUGAAUCCCUCGGCACUUGAAUCAACUACAAUAAUCCUUGAAUCUAAAAGUAGUUACGUCGUUGGGUGAAUCCCUCGGCACUUGAAUCAACUACAAUAAUCCUUGAAUCUAAAAGUAGUUACGUCGUUGGGUGAAUCCCUCGGCACUUGAAUCGAACUACAAUAAUCUUUGAAUCUAAAUGUAGUUACGUCGUUGGGUGAAUCCCUCGACACUUGAAUCAACUACAAAAACGUCGAUUCGUGAAUCUCUCGACAAAUUUUAUUACGGGUAUAUCUCGAGUAUACUGCGUCGGUAGACGAAGUUCGGGCCCGAAGCGGAGGUAUGAAUGGUGACGGGUUAGGAUUAAAAUAAGUGGAUCUACAUGGACUAUAAGUAGUGAAAGUUGACGGAGGGUCAACUACGAGGGUAUCUGAUCAAGCAAGGAGAAUGGCUCCCGAGAGCCCCUGUAUCCUACCUUGUGCUGUUAUACGCUUUCUUAAUUGAUUAAAUUUGUUUAAAUUGUUAUCUGUUGUUUGAUUUAUGUGAGUGCAUAUUUUGGGGCACCACUGAGCUUUAGCUCACCCCACGUUUAUUGUUUUCCUUAACAGGUUCUGGAAGUUGAAAGUUGGAAUACUUGCUUAUAUUUCCCUUCUUGAAUGUACCGAAUACUAUGACUUAUGUUGUGGGCUGUAUUGUGUUUGAUUCGGAUAAUGUACUUUUAUUUUGGAUUGCCACUUGAAGCUGGAAAAUGUGUAAACCCUAGUUCGAUAUUUGUUGUAUAGUUUUAUAUGUAUUUGGGAUUGUGCGAUCCUAUUCCUUGGAUGUAAUGCGUGAGAAGUUUAAGAGCAGUAGGUUGGAAAUUUUAAUUACUGUUAUCCGUGUAGUUAGUGUGGUUUCGUGAUGAGACUAUUCGAGGAAAUUGUUUUGUAAUAGAUUAGAUUUUUAUCGAAAGGAUUUGGGUUAGAAUGCUUGCGUGAGUCCUGGCGAGAGUUGGGCAGACGGCCCGCCAACCCUUUGGUUCGCCUCAGGGGGAAGUGGGGUCGCCACAGGUGGUAUCAGAGGCAUAUGCCGACAGUUGGGACCUUAAGUCCUUCGUCUGGAAAAGCCCCGAGCCUCUUGUUCGUGAAGAGUCACGAAGCGAAACUCUCCGUAGGGGAUGCCCGCGUGCGGGUGGCAAGCUGAUAGGUACCCCGUGAUGUGACCCUGAGAACCGUUACAGUUGGUAUCAGAGCUCUUAUCGAGCUCAAACUGGGAAAAGGUUCUCGGACUGUGGGGAUUGACUUGUUAAGUGUGAAACAAAAGUCUACAGUUGGGGAUAUUAGAUAUGUAUGUUGGGUAGGAAUCUCAAAUGUAGGUAAGUUACUCUUGGGACUGGCCAGCCUGAGCUGUGAACUACCCCGUUUCUAGAUUCCUGUACUCGAAUACCAGAUAUUUCAUUAAAUGGUGUAUUUGCAAAUUUGGAAGAAUUUAGUAUAUUGCAUUAUGAUGUGACUAGGGAUCAAAUCCAGAAGAGUAGAACCGAAAGUAGCAAGUUUAGCUUUUGAAAAAUAAAAGUAAAAAGCCAAUAGUGAGAUCUUGAAGAUUAGUGCCAAUUCUGUACUUAAGAUGGAUAAUUUUGCUAGUCAUUCACAUGGUAAGUGGAUUAUAUGCCAUCUUUUACCCAAACUAUUGGUUUAGACAUAGAGAUUGAGCGAAAUCGUAGUUUAAGUAAGAACUAUGCAGUCGUGAAUAGCUCUAAACCUUGAGGAGAAUUUUAAAAAAAUUUGAGGUGAGAUGAGUUUGAUGAAUUUGCCAUGUAAGGUGAAUUUUCGACGGCAUUGUGGCUCCUUAAAUUUUACUGGAGGAUUAUUUGGGGCUAAUGUUCAAAAGGAUAAAGAUAACUAGUUGUAGGUUAUUAGAAAAGCCAAUGUAGGAAAUGUUUGAGAUCAUUUAGAAUACUCAAGAGCCACUGAUGUACUUAAGUAAUGAUCAUAUUAUUUGAUUUGGCACUAGACGUAGUAGAUCUACAAUUUACUAAGGAAAUUUGAUUAGUGUUACUAAGGGGGUCUAGUGGGAUUGUCCAGGACUAAACUAAUGAAGGUUAAGUUGAACCCAAACUAAGGGUUAGGCUAUUAGCUAUGUGGUUAUAAUAAUUUGUGUGUUGUUGUAUUGUAUCCUUUCAUGCUUAUAAAGAUUGAAGUUUGAGUUAUGUAUGAAAAUAUUGAAUGUAUUUGGGAAUUAUCUAGCUUUUGAAGUUGUAUGAAUUCGGUAUGCAAUGUGACAUAUAUUGUGAGUAUAUAAUUUGAUGAUUACGUGUUUAAUUUUGUAACGCUGUAAUAUUUAUUAGUUCCGGGAAUUAAAUAAUUACUAACCUGAGUGAAUUUUGGUAACCAAAGUGGUGUAUAGAACUAUGAGAUUAGAAAAAAAAAUAAAAAAAUAAAAAAAUAAAUAAAAAUAAAAAUAAAUAAUAUGUGGAGUAGGUGGAGACUAUUAGGGCAAUCAUGUCUUGGUAAAAUCGUUACAGUUUAUGAGUUAAAGAAAUAGUUAUCGUAUCAUGUAUACAAGUUGUUGAUGUAACCAUUAUUAAUAACCAGAAGUAGGAAAGGGUAAGAACAUGAAUAAAAUUUAAAAGUUAGUAAACUCGAUCUAUUUAUCAGCUCAUACCUUUAGAAGAAGGGUUAAACCAACGUUGAAGCAAUGACUUGAUAGAUCCAGUGAAUGAAAAAAAAAAAAAAGAGGAAAUAAUGAAAUAAACUGAACUUUUGCGAACAAAGGUAGGAAUUUCAAGGAUUCACCAACUCUAUUACGGAUAGAAAUCAAUAGGAUGGGAUGCUGGAGUCGGAACUUUACCAUGUUUGGAUAUUGAAUGCACUUAAAAAGAGAUUUGUUCGAUUUCUGAUUAGAGUGUACUUGAGCUGGAUAUAUGUUGUAAUUGACUUUGUUUUGUGAUAUAAUUAAAUUGAUCAUGAAUUUGCUUAGUAUUAAUGAUAUAUAUGGAGUGAAAUUAACCGCAAUCGUAUAUAUGCAUAAUAGGUUAUUACUUAUUUUAAAUCAGCUCGUUGUGAGAAAUAUAGAGCCUAGGGAGUGAUAAUGCUAUCUUGGGUGAAAAUUUUUAGUUGAGUAUGACGCGCAGAUAAAUUGUAAAUUCGAGCAGUUGAACUUUUAUAUACUUUGGGAAGCAGUCGAUUCGACACUUAAAUUACGGAAAAACACUAAGGCCAAAUUCCUUUAGUUAAGGUUUCGUGGCAAACAUGAAUGAUUAGACGAAAUGAUGUGGAAAUGGAAGAUAAAAUACGGAAAGGAUACCCGGAAAAUCUCUACGAUUAAAAGUGGGAAAUUUUGAUUAUCAAGAUCAGAACCAAUUUCUUUUCUUCUCGCCCUCCAUUCGAAUAACCAUUUUAUUUAUAUAUGUAUCUAGACCACAAUUUUUCCAAACGUGUAAUUAAUACCCUGUUAUUAGUCACGAAAGGUACGUAAAAUUUUGAAAGUAGAGCCUUUAAUGAUGUUAUAAUUGUUGCAAGAGCUAAUGGUAGACAGACUUCGACAAAGGUGCCAUCAAUGGGAAUUUAGAAGGAACCACCCACGUAGUUACCCCAAUUGACCAUAUGACUGAUACCUUAGAAUGGUUGGUGGAGUACCAAAGCUUUAGGCCAAUCAACUAACCUAGGAACCAAAAGAGUUGCGAAAAUGGAGUGACUCUUGAAAUUCGUCUACCUAGGUUUUAUUGGGGAAUCUGAUCUCAAAAUAGUAAGAUUGAAUCGAAGGAAUAUAAUAAGGCCCUAGUGAGAAUAAAAAGUACGACUAUUGUUUCAAACAACUUUGAAGGUAAGUAUUGAAUAGUGCACUAAGACAUGAAAAUUUUUCUUUGGGAUAAGGCUUCCUUACUCUGUCGUGAUAGUGAUUAACGAUGGUAAUCUCGGUGACAUUUAAGAACUCGUUGGAUUAAGUAGAAAGUAGUAAGGUUUAUAUCUUGGAGUAACCAUCAGUAAAAGGAUGAUGGAGUAUUACGGCUUAAGCUUCCAGUAUGAAUAGAUGCUUAUUUUGAUUCUAUGAUCUGCCUGGCAGGCUAGCUGUUCGACUUAAGCCAACUAAUAAGAUGACAACUUUGGAAGAAAUGCGUAAGGAAAUGGACAUUCUCCGAAAUGAGGUAGAAUUUCAAAAGAAAUUGGCCGACUACUGGGAAGGACGAUGGAAACAAGAAUAUGCAGAGAAAAUUGAGCUACUACGCCAAAAUAUAGAACUGGAGAAGGAAAAUAAAGAAAACUCUCGAAAUAGCCAGGCCGCCACUUUUCAAGCAAAUUGUAGGUAUUGUAGGAAAACUGGCCAUACUAAGGACGGAUGUGGGAGGAAACAGGGAAAGUGCUUGAGGUGCGGUAGUACCAAGCACAAGAUUCCGGGAUGCCCUAGAGCAUUUACAAAGAGGAAGUACUCAGCAGAUAAUUAAGUCCGCUACAGAUCGAUCAGGUGCCAGAUGGAAGUAAUUCGUGUUAAUGACCUUGAACGGGGUCCUAGUAGUGAACGUUUUACAAAUCAAGAGGGUUUGAUUUCACUCAAGGAAUAGAGGUUAUAGUUACCCUAAACUAGACUAGCACUUUUGGAAGCGUAAUUUUCCGCUAAGAAUUACAUGUACGCUACGAAUUGUAUGUAUGCUACGAAUAUCCUUUAUUUUAACUACUUUGCUAUUAGAAAUAUUAUAGCAAAUAAAUGGUUAAAUUAAGUGCCUAAUUGAAUUUAUAUACAAAUAUAUAUAUAUAUGUACCCCGAUCUAUCUCUUUAGGAAGUAAGAAUUUUGAGGACAAAAUUCAUUUUAAGGAGGGGAGGAUGUGAGAACCCUGAAAAUAGACAUAUAAAUAUCAGUGCAUAUUUUAUUUACAUUUUAAUUCUUUAAUAAAUUUUAGCACUAAGUCCAAUUGUCUUUAAAUGAGUACGUAGAAAUAAACGUCAGGUGCAAAAUAAAAGAAUUGUGCUAAACUACUAAACUUCUUAGUUUUGUUACAUUAACUUCAUAUUUCUAUGGUAAACUAUUUCAUUGAUCUAAUAAUUAAUUUCUUUGAAUUCUAGUAUUGUAAUUAAUUGUUUUGCAAUAAAAGUAUAAAGAUAAUUUCUAUGUAAUAAAUAAUAUAAUUGUGCCAAUAUUGAAUUAUUCGGUUUGCUAUACUAAAUUAAUAUUUCUUGAGUUGGAUUAAUUCUAUUACCUUAAAAUAAAUUCUUUGAUUUCCGAUAACUAGUUUUAAUCGUUAAUAAUGUUAAAUGUUAAUAGGAAUUUCCGCGUUAAGAUGAAAACCAAUGAAUUUUAGAUAAAUAUGAUUCUAAUAUAUUAAACAUGCUUACGGCGUGAAAAUUCGAUAAAUAUAUCCUUAUCUUUCUUUGUUUUCAAAUAAGUGCGUAAAAAUAACUUUUAUGUGCAAACUGGCACACUUGCAUUAAAGUAUUAUUUCACUUGACUUCAUUAUACUAAAUCGAUAAAUUUCGAGUUAGACUAACUCUAUUUCUUGGGAACAAAUAAUUGGAAAUUCUGAUAACUAAUUUAAUCGCUAAAUAAUGUCAGGAAUUAAUAGGAACCUUAAUAUUCAAGUUUAAUUGAUUAUUAUUCGAUAAAAAUGGUUUAGGUAUAUUAGCGUAUAAUUAAGCGAUCAAAUCAUACUUGGGAUUAAUUUUUGGGAUCAAGUUAAGACCAAGGCCUUAAGUGGCUAAUAGGAGAAGUGGUGAAAAGACUAAAAUAUCCCUCACAACUUCACAACAUCACCCACGGCCAUAACCAAUUUCUGCAACACCAAACACUCCCCCGGAACACAAUGAUCAAGCACCUCUUCAUCCGGCCAAUGCCCUUCUUCUCUAUCUACACACUCAAUCACUCCUGCACACUCCACCUCCAUUCCAUAGCCUCUGCAAUCCUUCAACCCAGGCCACACUCCACCCUCCCCUUGUUAUUAUCGACCGAGAGUGAGGGAGAGGUUGAGCUGCUACUUAUAGUCGAGAGUGAGGGAGGAAGCUGGGAGUUGCGAGCCCAUUUCUGGUUCUGUCCGCAAGCAUCGAAGAGGGAGGAGAGGAGGAGGAGCCGUGAGCAGACUUGCCUCUGCCUUCUCCAUGCUCAGCCAGUGUUAUCCAGCUUCCACCAUCACCAGCUGCACCCACUGCAACCCAACUAGAACCAGUCUGCCGUGCGUGAGGAGAAGAGCCGAGUGAGAGGGAUUGACUUCAGCUUUCUGUCGAGUGAGUGAGCUUCUGUGAGGUAAAAUUAUGGAUUAUUUUAGGACUAAUCAGGGGUAGUAUGAGCUAUCUUGAAGCAUGCAUGUACUGUGGUACCAUCGGAUGAUGGAUUUAAGCUAUUAGGAAAAUUUCUGUUUUGGUUAUAUGUCCCUGCCGAGUAGCUGUAUUAGCAAUGCAGCUUCAAUCUUAUUUCCCUGGGGUAAUCUGAGCUCACCUAUGCGAUUAUUUAACUCUGGACAUGAGAUUUAAGACCAUGCAUGUCAAUCAAGUGUUCGGAUGUUGUAUUAAGAAGCUUAGGAAAAUUUUGUUUUAAGGGAUAUGAUUCUGCCGAGAAUAAUCUGGAAAUGAUUUGCUUAAUUCGCAUAAUUUUGACAAGCUGUGAUUUUAAUCCUAACUAUCCCUAUUGAUAACCUGAGCUCUCGGCUGUGUUACCUAACUUAAGACAAGAGAACUAUGGCCUUGCACAUAGAGUGAUUCGAUCAAAUGUUGGAACCAGAGGUGUGAGAAACUCUGCUUGAGGAGUUGAAUUACCGUGAGCUGGAAAUUUUGAACUGCAAUCUAAUGUGAUUAAAUGUGAUAAUCUGAGUUGAUAUCUAUACUUAUCUAGCAAACAACUUGAUGAUUGAGGCUGGCAUGAGGAUGAUUAACACGGCAAACCAAGAAAAUAAAAUGAGAACAGGAUCUGUUUCAUGCAGGUUAUUCCGGGGCUAGCUGGAAACUUUGUUCUCGAAAAAAUUGAACGUCAUUGGUGUUGAUCAAACCUAAUUCUUGAACUAAAGAAGCUAAUUACCAACUAGGUGUUGGCCUGCUGAAUUGAGUAACUAAAUACCCUGUUUUGGCCAAGGAAAAGGUUGGAGUUAAGAACAUACCAUUGCUGGAAAUCUCCUUGUGAGCUGCCGAGAGCUUGAUUGGGUUAAUGCAUCUUGAUUUGGUUUAAUUGCCUAUAAUCGUAACCAGCUAGCUUAUAGCAAGGAAAUCUUAGCUUUGCAUGUAGCUAAAUAGUUGGGUCAGAACUGAAAAUAAAAAUAAGAUGCAACUGGAUUUUGUGCAGCUCAUGCCGAGGCUAGAUGGAGAUUUUCUUGGAAAUUCGGUGACUUGUGUUGUUAUCCCACCUGAACUUUUGUUAUUUUUAUUUUUGGAACUGGAAAUGUUACUCAGCCAAUUAAGUAUCCGUAUGCCGGAUUUGAGUAUCUAAAUCCCUGAAUAAGCCAAGGGAGAAAUUUUAUACAAGACAAAUGGUUGCUGGAAAAUUUAGCUAACCAAACGUUUGAGCAGAAAAUAUUGAAUUGUUUCCGGAUUUCACUAGUUGAUGUUCGAAUAUUUUCCUUGGCAUAAAAUGGUUUCGAAACACAGAAAAAGGGUGCAUUUUAAGACAUACAUGCUGUUUAGCAAUGAAAUACUUGAUAUCACGAAUGACUUAACCAAAAACGUGGGUAUACGAAUGCUGGAAAUUUUCCCUGUAGUUGUCAAAGUUUGAGUAAGAAUUUCCAGCUUGAUUGUGAAAUUAUUCUUUGAAUUCAUAAUGGUUGAAAUUGACUGGAAAAUGUGGUGCUUAAAUUCUAUUAGAGUCGUAUGAAUGGUUAGACAAAAAGCCUUGUGGUUUUAAAAAGAGAAAAAGGAGCUUUUCCCCAUGUGAGCAAGAGCUUCCAGAUUUUCGGGACUUACUGACCAGUCUCAGUAAAAUGCUUAUAUCUUGGUGUAGAAAAAUCCGAUUAAGGUGCCGUCAGUGGCAUUUGAAACUAGAUUCAUGGGCCUUUGUUCUGUAGAAAUUUCAUAUUUUUCCUCCAUAUGUACUGCUGUCCGUGACUCCUCAAAGUGGACUGUCUGGUGUGAAUGCCUUGUUUCUUUGUGAAACUAAAGUUGGAUUUGGAUUGAGAUUUUAGCUUACUUGUGGUUUAAAUUCUUGAUUAAAUUGUGGUUGGGAGUGAUUGAUGUUGUCAAGGGCUAAUGAUUGAUGAAGCCCUUGGCCAUUGGAAUGAUUUUAUAAGUAUUACUGGAUGAUGGAAGUUAAUUGCUGGAAUGUCUUGGGGCUUUACUUCUAUUUCUAUUUGCUUUCGAUGGGUUUGCUGAAACCAAGUGCUAAUGAUUGAUGAAGCCUUGGUUGAUCAUUUUAUUUUAUUCAGAAAUGCACUUGUUGAAAGCUAGGGCUAAUGAUUGACGAAGCCCUAGUAAUUUGCUAUGUGAUUAUUUGCCAUAUUUUGAUCCAUAUUAUGAUCUCGAAAUGGAAUCGGAGCGGGGGGAAAUUGUAUAGACCUUGCGAACUCGAGUAACUGCGUUCAAAAUUAACCAAAAAUAUUUUCCAACUAGUAUUAAAUUAUAAAAACUCAAUAUCUAGUGUUUUGCCUAAAACUUUCCAACUCGAUAAUUUUCUUUAGCUCAAUCUAGCCUUGAUAGCUAUAGUAAAUAAGUUCUAUAGCUUUUGAAAACUCUAAGUCUUAUUUUAAUUCCUUUUCUUUUCUUAAGCUUUGCACUUGGAUAGUUAACUAUAGGAAAAGUUCCAAAAUAUGAGUUUUACUAAUCUUAGUGAAAAGCUUGGGAAACUUGCUCGGCAAGAAACCCUAUUUUAGGAAAAAUAGUUUUUAAGGAUAAUUUUUGCAAAAGCCGUAACUUUAACGAAAUGUUCAAAGUAACUUUCUAACAUUCAUAUUAAAAGGUUUGUCGACUUAUUUCAAGAAAAUAAAACUAGUUACCUUUUAUAAGGAAAAGUAUCUUAAGGAAAACUAUAAUAAACAUUUCUUCUACUUUCGUCAAGAUUCAACCUACGGAAACUCUUGAUUCUUCUAAGGAAAAGUAGACUAGUAGUAUAUUAAAUAUACCUCGAUGUCUAUAAGCUUAAAAGCUGAGUAGAAACUUAUAGUUUCAAAAUUUGGUUUUUAGGAUAUUGCGAGGACGCGGAAUUCGAUUCCCAACUUGAUAUCUGAACUCCACUCUUGGUGAGUGUCCCUGCCUGUUCUUUUCCUACUUGAAUUAAGUGCUUUCUUGACUCGAUAUGUGAUGAAUUGUAAAAUGAGUUUUUGAUCCAUCGAAGUGAGCAGUGUGUACUUUAUCGCACUAGCCGUUCGAGUGGUGACUUGCGUGAAUCAUUUUUCUCGUGAAUCCUUAAUCUAAGAGUAGUUACAUCGUUGGGUGAAUCCCUCGGCACUUGAAUCAACUACAAUAAUCCUUGAAUCUAAAAGUAGUUACGUCGUUGGGUGAAUCCCUCGGCACUUGAAUCAACUACAAUAAUCCUUGAAUAUAAAAGUAGUUACGUCGUUGGGUGAAUCCCUCGGCACUUGAAUCGAACUACAAUAAUCUUUGAAUCUAAAUGUAGUUACGUCGUUGGGUGAAUCCCUCGACACUUGAAUCAACUACAAAAACGUCGAUUCGUGAAUCUCUCGACAAAUUUUAUUACGGGUAUAUCUCGAGUAUACUGCGUCGGUAGACGAAGUUCGGGCCCGAAGCGGAGGUAUGAAUGGUGACGGGUUAGGAUUAAAAUAAGUGGAUCUACAUGGACUAUAAGUAGUGAAAGUUGACGGAGGGUCAACUACGAGGGUAUCUGAUCAAGCAAGGAGAAUGGCUCCCGAGAGCCCCUGUAUCCUACCUUGUGCUGUUAUACGCUUUCUUAAUUGAUUAAAUUUGUUUAAAUUGUUAUCUGUUGUUUGAUUUAUGUGAGUGCAUAUUUUGGGGCACCACUGAGCUUUAGCUCACCCCACGUUUAUUGUUUUCCUUAACAGGUUCUGGAAGUUGAAAGUUGGAAUACUUGCUUAUAUUUCCCUUCUUGAAUGUACCGAAUACUAUGACUUAUGUUGUGGGCUGUAUUGUGUUUGAUUCGGAUAAUGUACUUUUAUUUUGGAUUGCCACUUGAAGCUGGAAAAUGUGUAAACCCUAGUUCGAUAUUUGUUGUAUAGUUUUAUAUGUAUUUGGGAUUGUGCGAUCCUAUUCCUUGGAUGUAAUGCGUGAGAAGUUUAAGAGCAGUAGGUUGGAAAUUUUAAUUACUGUUAUCCGUGUAGUUAGUGUGGUUUCGUGAUGAGACUAUUCGAGGAAAUUGUUUUGUAAUAGAUUAGAUUUUUAUCGAAAGGAUUUGGGUUAGAAUGCUUGCGUGAGUCCUGGCGAGAGUUGGGCAGACGGCCCGCCAACCCUUUGGUUCGCCUCAGGGGGAAGUGGGGUCGCCACAGGUGGUAUCAGAGGCAUAUGCCGACAGUUGGGACCUUAAGUCCUUCGUCUGGAAAAGCCCCGAGCCUCUUGUUCGUGAAGAGUCACGAAGCGAAACUCUCCGUAGGGGAUGCCCGCGUGCGGGUGGCAAGCUGAUAGGUACCCCGUGAUGUGACCCUGAGAACCGUUACAGUUGGUAUCAGAGCUCUUAUCGAGCUCAAACUGGGAAAAGGUUCUCGGACUGUGGGGAUUGACUUGUUAAGUGUGAAACAAAAGUCUACAGUUGGGGAUAUUAGAUAUGUAUGUUGGGUAGGAAUCUCAAAUGUAGGUAAGUUACUCUUGGGACUGGCCAGCCUGAGCUGUGAACUACCCCGUUUCUAGAUUCCUGUACUCGAAUACCAGAUAUUUCAUUAAAUGGUGUAUUUGCAAAUUUGGAAGAAUUUAGUAUAUUGCAUUAUGAUGUGACUAGGGAUCAAAUCCAGAAGAGUAGAACCGAAAGUAGCAAGUUUAGCUUUUGAAAAAUAAAAGUAAAAAGCCAAUAGUGAGAUCUUGAAGAUUAGUGCCAAUUCUGUACUUAAGAUGGAUAAUUUUGCUAGUCAUUCACAUGGUAAGUGGAUUAUAUGCCAUCUUUUACCCAAACUAUUGGUUUAGACAUAGAGAUUGAGCGAAAUCGUAGUUUAAGUAAGAACUAUGCAGUCGUGAAUAGCUCUAAACCUUGAGGAGAAUUUUAAAAAAAUUUGAGGUGAGAUGAGUUUGAUGAAUUUGCCAUGUAAGGUGAAUUUUCGACGGCAUUGUGGCUCCUUAAAUUUUACUGGAGGAUUAUUUGGGGCUAAUGUUCAAAAGGAUAAAGAUAACUAGUUGUAGGUUAUUAGAAAAGCCAAUGUAGGAAAUGUUUGAGAUCAUUUAGAAUACUCAAGAGCCACUGAUGUACUUAAGUAAUGAUCAUAUUAUUUGAUUUGGCACUAGACGUAGUAGAUCUACAAUUUACUAAGGAAAUUUGAUUAGUGUUACUAAGGGGGUCUAGUGGGAUUGUCCAGGACUAAACUAAUGAAGGUUAAGUUGAACCCAAACUAAGGGUUAGGCUAUUAGCUAUGUGGUUAUAAUAAUUUGUGUGUUGUUGUAUUGUAUCCUUUCAUGCUUAUAAAGAUUGAAGUUUGAGUUAUGUAUGAAAAUAUUGAAUGUAUUUGGGAAUUAUCUAGCUUUUGAAGUUGUAUGAAUUCGGUAUGCAAUGUGACAUAUAUUGUGAGUAUAUAAUUUGAUGAUUACGUGUUUAAUUUUGUAACGCUGUAAUAUUUAUUAGUUCCGGGAAUUAAAUAAUUACUAACCUGAGUGAAUUUUGGUAACCAAAGUGGUGUAUAGAACUAUGAGAUUAGAAAAAAAAAUAAAAAAAUAAAAAAAUAAAUAAAAAUAAAAAUAAAUAAUAUGUGGAGUAGGUGGAGACUAUUAGGGCAAUCAUGUCUUGGUAAAAUCGUUACAGUUUAUGAGUUAAAGAAAUAGUUAUCGUAUCAUGUAUACAAGUUGUUGAUGUAACCAUUAUUAAUAACCAGAAGUAGGAAAGGGUAAGAACAUGAAUAAAAUUUAAAAGUUAGUAAACUCGAUCUAUUUAUCAGCUCAUACCUUUAGAAGAAGGGUUAAACCAACGUUGAAGCAAUGACUUGAUAGAUCCAGUGAAUGAAAAAAAAAAAAAAGAGGAAAUAAUGAAAUAAACUGAACUUUUGCGAACAAAGGUAGGAAUUUCAAGGAUUCACCAACUCUAUUACGGAUAGAAAUCAAUAGGAUGGGAUGCUGGAGUCGGAACUUUACCAUGUUUGGAUAUUGAAUGCACUUAAAAAGAGAUUUGUUCGAUUUCUGAUUAGAGUGUACUUGAGCUGGAUAUAUGUUGUAAUUGACUUUGUUUUGUGAUAUAAUUAAAUUGAUCAUGAAUUUGCUUAGUAUUAAUGAUAUAUAUGGAGUGAAAUUAACCGCAAUCGUAUAUAUGCAUAAUAGGUUAUUACUUAUUUUAAAUCAGCUCGUUGUGAGAAAUAUAGAGCCUAGGGAGUGAUAAUGCUAUCUUGGGUGAAAAUUUUUAGUUGAGUAUGACGCGCAGAUAAAUUGUAAAUUCGAGCAGUUGAACUUUUAUAUACUUUGGGAAGCAGUCGAUUCGACACUUAAAUUACGGAAAAACACUAAGGCCAAAUUCCUUUAGUUAAGGUUUCGUGGCAAACAUGAAUGAUUAGACGAAAUGAUGUGGAAAUGGAAGAUAAAAUACGGAAAGGAUACCCGGAAAAUCUCUACGAUUAAAAGUGGGAAAUUUUGAUUAUCAAGAUCAGAACCAAUUUCUUUUCUUCUCGCCCUCCAUUCGAAUAACCAUUUUAUUUAUAUAUGUAUCUAGACCACAAUUUUUCCAAACGUGUAAUUAAUACCCUGUUAUUAGUCACGAAAGGUACGUAAAAUUUUGAAAGUAGAGCCUUUAAUGAUGUUAUAAUUGUUGCAAGAGCUAAUGGUAGACAGACUUCGACAAAGGUGCCAUCAAUGGGAAUUUAGAAGGAACCACCCACGUAGUUACCCCAAUUGACCAUAUGACUGAUACCUUAGAAUGGUUGGUGGAGUACCAAAGCUUUAGGCCAAUCAACUAACCUAGGAACCAAAAGAGUUGCGAAAAUGGAGUGACUCUUGAAAUUCGUCUACCUAGGUUUUAUUGGGGAAUCUGAUCUCAAAAUAGUAAGAUUGAAUCGAAGGAAUAUAAUAAGGCCCUAGUGAGAAUAAGAAGUACGACUAUUGUUUCAAACAACUUUGAAGGUAAGUAUUGAAUAGUGCACUAAGACAUGAAAAUUUUUCUUUGGGAUAAGGCUUCCUUACUCUGUCGUGAUAGUGAUUAACGAUGGUAAUCUCGGUGACAUUUAAGAACUCGUUGGAUUAAGUAGAAAGUAGUAAGGUUUAUAUCUUGGAGUAACCAUCAGUAAAAGGAUGAUGGAGUAUUACGGCUUAAGCUUCCAGUAUGAAUAGUUGCUUAUUUUGAUUCUAUGAUCUGCCUGGCAGGCUAGCUGUUCGACUUAAGCCAACUAAUAAGAUGACAACUUUGGAAGAAAUGCGUAAGGAAAUGGACAUUCUCCGAAAUGAGGUAGAAUUUCAAAAGAAAUUGGCCGACUACUGGGAAGGACGAUGGAAACAAGAAUAUGCAGAGAAAAUUGAGCUACUACGCCAAAAUAUAGAACUGGAGAAGGAAAAUAAAGAAAACUCUCGAAAUAGCCAGGCCGCCACUUUUCAAGCAAAUUGUAGGUAUUGUAGGAAAACUGGCCAUACUAAGGACGGAUGUGGGAGGAAACAGGGAAAGUGCUUGAGGUGCGGUAGUACCAAGCACAAGAUUCCGGGAUGCCCUAGAGCAUUUACAAAGAGGAAGUACUCAGCAGAUAAUUAAGUCCGCUACAGAUCGAUCAGGUGCCAGAUGGAAGUAAUUCGUGUUAAUGACCUUGAACGGGGUCCUAGUAGUGAACGUUUUACAAAUCAAGAGGGUUUGAUUUCACUCAAGGAAUAGAGGUUAUAGUUACCCUAAACUAGACUAGCACUUUUGGAAGCGUAAUUUUCCGCUAAGAAUUACAUGUACGCUACGAAUUGUAUGUAUGCUACGAAUAUCCUUUAUUUUAACUACUUUGCUAUUAGAAAUAUUAUAGCAAAUAAAUGGUUAAAUUAAGUGCCUAAUUGAAUUUAUAUACAAAUAUAUAUAUAUAUGUACCCCGAUCUAUCUCUUUAGGAAGUAAGAAUUUUGAGGACAAAAUUCAUUUUAAGGAGGGGAGGAUGUGAGAACCCUGAAAAUAGACAUAUAAAUAUCAGUGCAUAUUUUAUUUACAUUUUAAUUCUUUAAUAAAUUUUAGCACUAAGUCCAAUUGUCUUUAAAUGAGUACGUAGAAAUAAACGUCAGGUGCAAAAUAAAAGAAUUGUGCUAAACUACUAAACUUCUUAGUUUUGUUACAUUAACUUCAUAUUUCUAUGGUAAACUAUUUCAUUGAUCUAAUAAUUAAUUUCUUUGAAUUCUAGUAUUGUAAUUAAUUGUUUUGCAAUAAAAGUAUAAAGAUAAUUUCUAUGUAAUAAAUAAUAUAAUUGUGCCAAUAUUGAAUUAUUCGGUUUGCUAUACUAAAUUAAUAUUUCUUGAGUUGGAUUAAUUCUAUUACCUUAAAAUAAAUUCUUUGAUUUCCGAUAACUAGUUUUAAUCGUUAAUAAUGUUAAAUGUUAAUAGGAAUUUCCGCGUUAAGAUGAAAACCAAUGAAUUUUAGAUAAAUAUGAUUCUAAUAUAUUAAACAUGCUUACGGCGUGAAAAUUCGAUAAAUAUAUCCUUAUCUUUCUUUGUUUUCAAAUAAGUGCGUAAAAAUAACUUUUAUGUGCAAACUGGCACACUUGCAUUAAAGUAUUAUUUCACUUGACUUCAUUAUACUAAAUCGAUAAAUUUCGAGUUAGACUAACUCUAUUUCUUGGGAACAAAUAAUUGGAAAUUCUGAUAACUAAUUUAAUCGCUAAAUAAUGUCAGGAAUUAAUAGGAACCUUAAUAUUCAAGUUUAAUUGAUUAUUAUUCGAUAAAAAUGGUUUAGGUAUAUUAGCGUAUAAUUAAGCGAUCAAAUCAUACUUGGGAUUAAUUUUUGGGAUCAAGUUAAGACCAAGGCCUUAAGUGGCUAAUAGGAGAAGUGGUGAAAAGACUAAAAUAUCCCUCACAACUUCACAACAUCACCCACGGCCAUAACCAAUUUCAGCAACACCAAACACUCCCCCGGAACACAAUGAUCAAGCACCUCUUCAUCCGGCCAAUGCCCUUCUUCUCUAUCUACACACUCAAUCACUCCUGCACACUCCACCUCCAUUCCAUAGCCUCUGCAAUCCUUCAACCCAGGCCACACUCCACCCUCCCCUUGUUAUUAUCGACCGAGAGUGAGGGAGAGGUUGAGCUGCUACUUAUAGUCGAGAGUGAGGGAGGAAGCUGGGAGUUGCGAGCCCAUUUCUGGUUCUGUCCGCAAGCAUCGAAGAGGGAGGAGAGGAGGAGGAGCCGUGAGCAGACUUGCCUCUGCCUUCUCCAAGCUCAGCCAGUGUUAUCCAGCUUCCACCAUCACCAGCUGCACCCACUGAAACCCAACUAGAACCAGUCUGCCGUGCGUGAGGAGAAGAGCCGAGUGAGAGGGAUUGACUUCAGCUUUCUGUCGAGUGAGUGAGCUUCUGUGAGGUAAAAUUCUGGAUUAUUUUAGGACUAAUCAGGGGUAGUAUGAGCUAUCUUGAAGCAUGCAUGUACUGUGGUACCAUCGGAUGAUGGAUUUAAGCUAUUAGGAAAAUUUCUGUUUUGGUUAUAUGUCCCUGCCGAGUAGCUGUAUUAGCAAUGCAGCUUCAAUCUUAUUUCCCUGGGGUAAUCUGAGCUCACCUAUGCGAUUAUUUAACUCUGGACAUGAGAUUUAAGACCAUGCAUGUCAAUCAAGUGUUCGGAUGUUGUAUUAAGAAGCUUAGGAAAAUUUUGUUUUAAGGGAUAUGAUUCUGCCGAGAAUAAUCUGGAAAUGAUUUGCUUAAUUCGCAUAAUUUUGACAAGCUGUGAUUUUAAUCCUAACUAUCCCUAUUGAUAACCUGAGCUCUCGGCUGUGUUACCUAACUUAAGACAAGAGAACUAUGGCCUUGCACAUAGAGUGAUUCGAUCAAAUGUUGGAACCAGAGGUGUGAGAAACUCUGCUUGAGGAGUUGAAUUACCGUGAGCUGGAAAUUUUGAACUGCAAUCUAAUGUGAUUAAAUGUGAUAAUCUGAGUUGAUAUCUAUACUUAUCUAGCAAACAACUUGAUGAUUGAGGCUGGCAUGAGGAUGAUUAACACGGCAAACCAAGAAAAUAAAAUGAGAACAGGAUCUGUUUCAUGCAGGUUAUUCCGGGGCUAGCUGGAAACUUUGUUCUCGAAAAAAUUGAACGUCAUUGGUGUUGAUCAAACCUAAUUCUUGAACUAAAGAAGCUAAUUACCAACUAGGUGUUGGCCUGCUGAAUUGAGUAACUAAAUACCCUGUUUUGGCCAAGGAAAAGGUUGGAGUUAAGAACAUACCAUUGCUGGAAAUCUCCUUGUGAGCUGCCGAGAGCUUGAUUGGGUUAAUGCAUCUUGAUUUGGUUUAAUUGCCUAUAAUCGUAACCAGCUAGCUUAUAGCAAGGAAAUCUUAGCUUUGCAUGUAGCUAAAUAGUUGGGUCAGAACUGAAAAUAAAAAUAAGAUGCAACUGGAUUUUGUGCAGCUCAUGCCGAGGCUAGAUGGAGAUUUUCUUGGAAAUUCGGUGACUUGUGUUGUUAUCCCACCUGAACUUUUGUUAUUUUUAUUUUUGGAACUGGAAAUGUUACUCAGCCAAUUAAGUAUCCGUAUGCCGGAUUUGAGUAUCUAUAUCCCUGAAUAAGCCAAGGGAGAAAUUUUAUACAAGACAAAUGGUUGCUGGAAAAUUUAGCUAACCAAACAUUUGAGCAGAAAAUAUUGAAUUGUUUCCGGAUUUCACUAGUUGAUGUUCGAAUAUUUUCCUUGGCAUAAAAUGGUUUCGAAACACAGAAAAAGGGUGCAUUUUAAGACAUACAUGCUGUUUAGCAAUGAAAUACUUGAUAUCACGAAUGACUUAACCAAAAACGUGGGUAUACGAAUGCUGGAAAUUUUCCCUGUAGUUGUCAAAGUUUGAGUAAGAAUUUCCAGCUUGAUUGUGAAAUUAUUCUUUGAAUUCAUAAUGGUUGAAAUUGACUGGAAAAUGUGGUGCUUAAAUUCUAUUAGAGUCGUAUGAAUGGUUAGACAAAAAGCCUUGUGGUUUUAAAAAGAGAAAAAGGAGCUUUUCCCCAUGUGAGCAAGAGCUUCCAGAUUUUCGGGACUUACUGACCAGUCUCAGUAAAAUGCUUAUAUCUUGGUGUAGGAAAAUCCGAUUAAGGUGCCGUCAGUGGCAUUUGAAACUAGAUUCAUGGGCCUUUGUUCUGUAGAAAUUUCAUAUUUUUCCUCCAUAUGUACUGCUGUCCGUGACUCCUCAAAGUGGACUGUCUGGUGUGAAUGCCUUGUUUCUUUGUGAAACUAAAGUUGGAUUUGGAUUGAGAUUUUAGCUUACUUGUGGUUUAAAUUCUUGAUUAAAUUGUGGUUGGGAGUGAUUGAUGUUGUCAAGGGCUAAUGAUUGAUGAAGCCCUUGGCCAUUGGAAUGAUUUUAUAAGUAUUACUGGAUGAUGGAAGUUAAUUGCUGGAAUGUCUUGGGGCUUUACUUCUAUUUCUAUUUGCUUUCGAUGGGUUUGCUGAAACCAAGUGCUAAUGAUUGAUGAAGCCUUGGCUGAUCAUUUUAUUUUAUUCAGAAAUGCACUUGUUGAAAGCUAGGGCUAAUGAUUGACGAAGCCCUAGUAAUUUGCUAUGUGAUUAUUUGCCAUAUUUUGAUCCAUAUUAUGAUCUCGAAAUGGAAUCGGAGCGGGGGGAAAUUGUAUAGACCUUGCGAACUCGAGUAACUGCGUUCAAAAUUAACCAAAAAUAUUUUCCAACUAGUAUUAAAUUAUAAAAACUCAAUAUCUAGUGUUUUGCCUAAAACUUUCCAACUCGAUAAUUUUCUUUAGCUCAAUCUAGCCUUGAUAGCUAUAGUAAAUAAGUUCUAUAGCUUUUGAAAACUCUAAGUCUUAUUUUAAUUCCUUUUCUUUUCUUAAGCUUUGCACUUGGAUAGUUAACUAUAGGAAAAGUUCCAAAAUAUGAGUUUUACUAAUCUUAGUGAAAAGCUUGGGAAACUUGCUCGGCAAGAAACCCUAUUUUAGGAAAAAUAGUUUUUAAGGAUAAUUUUUGCAAAAGCCGUAACUUUAGAGAAAUGUUCAAAGUAACUUUCUAACAUUCAUAUUAAAAGGUUUGUCGACUUAUUUCAAGAAAAUAAAACUAGUUACCUUUUAUAAGGAAAAGUAUCUUAAGGAAAACUAUAAUAAACAUUUCUUCUACUUUCGUCAAGAUUCAACCUACGGAAACUCUUGAUUCUUCUAAGGAAAAGUAGACUAGUAGUAUAUUAAAUAUACCUCGAUGUCUAUAAGCUUAAAAGCUGAGUAGAAACUUAUAGUUUCAAAAUUUCAUUUUUAGGAUAUUACGAGGACGCGGAAUUCGAUUCCCAACUUGAUAUCUGAACUCCACUCUUGGUGAGUGUCCCUGCCUGUUCUUUUCCUACUUGAAUUAAGUGCUUUCUUGACUCGAUAUGUGAUGAAUUGUAAAAUGAGUUUUUGAUCCAUCGAAGUGAGCAGUGUGUACUUUAUCGCACUAGCCGUUCGAGUGGUGACUUGCGUGAAUCAUUUUUCUCGUGAAUCCUUAAUCUAAGAGUAGUUACGUCGUUGGGUGAAUCCCUCGGCACUUGAAUCAACUACAAUAAUCCUUGAAUCUAAAAGUAGUUACGUCGUUGGGUGAAUCCCUCGGCACUUGAAUCAACUACAAUAAUCCUUGAAUCUAAAAGUAGUUACGUCGUUGGGUGAAUCCCUCGGCACUUGAAUCGAACUACAAUAAUCUUUGAAUCUAAAUGUAGUUACGUCGUUGGGUGAAUCCCUCGACACUUGAAUCAACUACAAAAACGUCGAUUCGUGAAUCUCUCGACAAAUUUUAUUACGGGUAUAUCUCGAGUAUACUGCGUCGGUAGACGAAGUUCGGGCCCGAAGCGGAGGUAUGAAUGGUGACGGGUUAGGAUUAAAAUAAGUGGAUCUACAUGGACUAUAAGUAGUGAAAGUUGACGGAGGGUCAACUACGAGGGUAUCUGAUCAAGCAAGGAGAAUGGCUCCCGAGAGCCCCUGUAUCCUACCUUGUGCUGUUAUACGCUUUCUUAAUUGAUUAAAUUUGUUUGAAUUGUUAUCUGUUGUUUGAUUUAUGUGAGUGCAUGUUUUGGGGCACCACUGAGCUUUAGCUCACCCCACAUUUAUUGUUUUCCUUAACAGGUUCUGGAAGUUGAAAGCUGGAAUACUUGCUUAUAUUUCCCUUCUUGAAUGUACCGAAUACUAUGACUUAUGUUGUGGGCUGUAUUGUGUUUGAUUCGGAUAAUGUACUUUUAUUUUGGAUUGCCACUUGAAGCUGGAAAAUGUGUAAACCCUAGUUCGAUAUUUGGUUGUAUAGUUUUAUAUGUAUUUGGGAUUGUGCGAUCCUAUUCCUUGGAUGUAAUGCGUGAGAAGUUUAAGAGCAGUAGGUUGGAAAUUUUAAUUACUGUUAUCCGUGUAGUUAGUGUGGUUUCGUGAUGAGACUAUUCGAGGAAAUUGUUUUGUAAUAGAUUAGAUUUUUAUCGAAAGGAUUUGGGUUAGAAUGCUUGCGUGAGUCCUGGCGAGAGCUGGGCAGACGGCCCGCCAACCCUUUGGUUCGCCUCAGGGGGAAGUGGGGUCGCCACAGUUUCCCCUGGCUGCGCAUAAAGAUUAUCAAUCCUCUCCUGGCCCUUGACCAUAUAUACUCAAGCUCCUUAAUCCGCUCGGCUUGCAUAUUAUUAGAUUCCUUUAGUUGAUUCACUUCAGGUUCAAGCCUAGCAUUAUCCUUCGCUAACUCCUUCCUUUCCUCUACUACGGCCAAAACUACGGUAUUAGGGUAGGCAUAGGUAUGGCGGCACUUGCAACGCCGAUGGUGGUUACCCGGACUCCAACGCAUAGUGGCUUCUCGUGGCCUAAUCUGGUACUUAAUUAUCGGGAGUACUCCACAAGGUGGCUCGCCAACUGGACUAUUACUAGGACCACUAAGUCCAUCCAUCCUACACAAAGUGUAGAGAAAACUUAAGUGCCCUUAAGGGGAAAUAAUCAAAUAUAAUCCUCAAGUCGAAAAUUCCUAACACGCCUAGGCCAAUUCAAACCUAGGCUCUGAUACCACCUAUGAUAGCCCCACCUCUCCCUAAGGCGAACCGUAAGGUAUCAGCGGACUGCUUGCCCAGCUCUCACUGGAGCUCGGUUGAUCAAAGAACUAGCAACUCAAUAUAACCGGUGAAAUAACUUCAAAUUAAAGCGUACAAACUCUAAAGGCAUAUAAUCAUCAAGCCAACUUUCCAAACUUAAAAUGUCAAGCUAAAAGUCACACUUACCACUCCAUACUACAAUUACAUAACAUAAGUCGAACUUAUGGAUUCAAACUUACAAGAGUCAAAAGUAAAGUCAUCUUAAACAAAAGGUUACAAGUUCAAAGCAAAAUAAAGCUAAGAAAGCUCUUGACCACAAGUCCUUCCCCGAUCUGUUAAGGAAAACAAAGGGAGUGGGGUAAGCUAAAGCUCAGUGGGGUUCCAAGUAAAUAAGUAAGCACAUAGCCAAAUAAGGACAUAAUAUAACCAGGCAAACAACGUAUAGUACAAUAACAAUUUAAUCACAGUUCAAUUCAAGGAUACGGGUGGCUUCCAAAAGCCAAAUCCCCUCGAGCUUGAUCAUACUGGGGUCCGUUGACUCUCCAACAACGUUUGCAUUUAAAUAAUAUAAAGUCCGUAGAACACCACUUCCUCCAAUAUCUGUCCACCGGUCAACCUCCUACCGGGCCCGCAUUUCAUAAAUAUUAGUUAGGUAAUACACAAGUAUAUCGGUUUCCAAUCCCCAAGGUUUAUCGGCCUUCUCGACCAAGCCCUUGCUGGCUCGAUAUGUGAGAACCCGUAAAACCCUAAUUAUUUUCCUAGGGUUUAUUUCCCCUUAAUUGCAUGUUUUCUGCAUUUUCGGGCCUAGGAAUAUUUUUCUGGUAGAUUUUAUGAGUAAUUAUAGUUUUUAGAUGAUUUUUCUAGUAUUGGUGAGUUUUUAGAAAAUUAAGAAUAUAUUUUGGACGUGGGACCCACUAGUGCGAAAGUUUGGAAAAAUUCGGCCAAUAAGGUUAAGUUUCGGAUACAGUGAAAAUUUUAUCGGGUGUUAAGAGAUAAGUAGUGUGUGUGAAGUGAUUGAUGUGAGAGAGAGAAAAGAAUGAUAAGGAUGCAUUUAUGGAGGUGACAAGUGUCACCUUCUCAUUUGUUGGACUUUAAGAAACACUAUUCACUUUCUUGACUUUUUUUGACCAAAGGUUUAAAUAUCAAAAAAAUGCACAAAACCACCAUUUUCUUACCUCUUAUGGCCGGCCCUCUCCUGCAAAGAAGAAAGGAAUUUCUUCAACUCUCAAGCUUCCAUUUCACUCAAUCUUGCAAGACCAAAAGCCUACACUAGAUUCUAUUCCAUAAAAAUCUUUCUUCUAGUGCUUGUAAGUGUAUUAGUGAAGUUGUUUUGAAGCUCUAAGGUGGCCAACCUCUCUAUCUCUCUUAAUUUCUUGGUAAGUGAUGCUUGAACACCCUACUACACCUAAUGAUGGUUAUAUUAUGCUUAGAAGUGGCUUGAGUGUUGGAUUAUAUGAUUUAUUUCUUGGUUUGGCUUGAUUUGGUGAAGUUUUCCAUUUUAUGAGGAAUUUUCUGGUUUCAUAUGAUUUUGAUGUUUUGGACUAGUAUGAUGGUUGGUAAUAAGGGGCUUUGGCUCUAGUAGGUGUGAAUUGUUGUUAAAUGCAAUCAAUUUUGGAUUUGGAAUGAAAUGUGAAAAGUUAGGGUUCUUGAACCCCUAUUCUGUCCGAAAUUUUAGGUCAUAGCUAGAGGUCGAAUUGGACUUUGCUCAAAACAUGAAAGUUGUAGGUAUUGAUGAUUUUAGUGUGUCUGCAAAAUUUCAGGGCAAUUGGACAAGUGUAGAGUGAGUUAUGCCGUUUUUACUGUUGCUUUUUUUGGUGCACAGAAUGUCCGAACUGCGAUAGUAAUUGCCUGUUUUGACUGGAAUUGGUUUGGAUUUGGAAGUUGGUGUCUUCUGAUGAAAUGUAGCUGAAUGUCUUAGCUAACUUAUGCCUUUGGAAUUUCGGCAUUUGGACUUGUAUGGACUGAGAUAUACCGAUUACAGUUUUCUGUGUUUUGCAAACCUGUUUUGGUGAUUCUGGUUUAGUGUUUGGCAUUUUUGACCUAGUUGGGUCAGGAACUGGAUUGAGUGACCUUCUACAUUGUUGUAGCCCUGUCCCAUAGCUUCGAAACGGUGGGUCUUACACCCCUAACCGAUAAUUGUAGUGAGAGUUGUGCCAUUACCGCAUUAUGACGUCAAAACCGGUUUUCUUAUCAAGGCCAACAUUAAAGCCUUUCUUAAUUUCUGGUUUGCUUUCAUGCUUGUAUAUGUUUAUAAAACCCUAUUGGGGUUGUGAAUUGGUGUUGUUUAUGGCUCGGUAUGGUUUCUUGUUUUAUGAUAUUGUGAGCUAUGGAACGGCUCUUGACAUGAAAUGCUUAUAUGCGUGUUGUUGGGUUGUGAUUGAAGAAAAAUAAUGAAGCCUUAUGGCUGGAAAAUUUGGUAAACACAAAGGGCAUGCUGCCCGAAUUUUUACUCGCGAUUUAGAAAACUAUAUUCUCGACUUGAGUAAAGGUUAAGUAUUUAACCCUUGAAUUUCCAUGCAUGAAACCCUAUUGGGCGAUAAUUGGUUUGACUUUAUGACUCGUUAUCGAGUCUUAUGGUAUUUGUUUACAUGUUCUAGGGCGUGACGAUAGCUCACGACAUUCUCCUGACGGAAGUGCAUGAAAUAGCACUUAAUUGAUUGGUGAGUGUACUACUCACUUGUGUGCUAUUAUAUGGCUUUGAUAUUUGAACUUGAGAUGUUGUAUGUUAAUGGAUUGAUGUGAGAGUGUACUUUACCACUCUCACUUAUUGUUUCACAUGUUAUUGAAAAGUUAUUGGAAAGUUAUUGGAAAGUUAUAUGAACUGAUAUAUGAAAUGAAAUACAUGACUUGAUAUCGAUUGGACAAGUAUCCAACGACUACAAAUGUUAUCAUUGAGCUCAACCCCAUUGGUAGUUGAUUGAAUCGAGCCGACAAGGGUUUGGUCGUGACAAUUAAUGAGCCUUGGGUAAAGUUAUAAGGAAUCUUGUAGUAUGAGAGACUCUUGAUUCCGGUAUACUCGAGUAAUACCACAGUGCAAGUGUUUGGAGUGCGGGCCCGGUAGGGGGAUGUUUGGUGGAAGGAAUGGGAGAGAAGAGGAGUCUACGGUUGGUCACUCUUCAACAUUGACGGAGAGUCAAUGAGGUUGGAUCAAGACAUAAGCGUGGAAAUGGGCUCUUGAGAGCCGACCGUAUCCUUUCACUGAUUUACUUUACUUCGAAAUUGCAUACUGGAAUUGAAUGGUUUUGCUUAUGUGAUCUUAAUUGCUAUUGUGAUAGUUGCUCACUGAGCUUUAGCUCACCCCGUUCCUUUUGUUUUCCUUACAGGAAUAUGACACUUUUGGAAUGAAUUUUGAUAAAUGGUUGCCAAAUGAACUAGAUGAAUGACUCUUUUGUAUUGUAUAUAAAAUGGGACCCUAAAUGUAUCAUUAGGGCCGUUUUCACUUUUGUCUUGGCAAACCAUAUAUGUAGCGACUUUUGUAUCACUUUUAAAUGUCAUUUUUGGUUUGUAAAGGCUAAAUGUUAUGGGGUAUAUGUAAUUCGAUGUUUGGUUGGGUUCGGACGAGUCGGUUACUAUUCAUGGCCGACUCCGGGUUUCAUUUUCUUUUAUUUUGGGUUAUUUUGCCCUUUUGCCUUAUUUGCGCGCGUUAUAAGUUCCGGAACGUGAAAGAUCGCUCUAUACUGCACCGUUAGUCCUGGCGAGAGCUGGGCAGGCAGUCCGCUAACCUCUUUGGUUCGCCUUAGGGGAAGGUGGGGCUGUCACACGAUACAACCGACUCACCUAUGAGGUUGGGUACCCAAACGGUAGCAGUUGUUGAUGGAGUAUCACCCAAACAACUCAAGUACAAUCACAUAUAGAGAAAUCACAUCUCAUAAUAGCAGUAUACAGAGCCUCAGUGGAAAAUGAGGGAGGUCGAGUGUGAUAAAGUACACGCUUGCCACCAUUUUUAUCAAAACAAGGUUUGGCUCAAACAGUCGUAAAUCAAGUAUUUAGAUAUUUCACAUAAGCAGGUAACAGGUAGUGGAACACUCACCUGUCAAGCAAUGCAGUGAUCAAACGUCAAGUAUCUCGGUUACAAUCACCUCUGUUUCCCAAUCCUAGGGCAACGAGUGAAAUCGUUAACAUUCUAGAUCCAUUUCCUACUCAAAUGUAGGCUCAUUAAGAGACCAAGUGAGUAGUUAAAGCCACACAAUUCAUCAUGCAAAUUUGGCCCAAAAUGCAGUAAAAGUUCAUGAGAAACAAGUUUGACAAGUGCAUGAAAGUUGGGCACAAGAAAAGUUUCAUCCAAGCUCAAAAUGUUCUUCACGGGUAAAACAGUUGCCCCCGCGCAGUUUUGGGAAAAUGGCUAUAUCUCACUGUGGAAAUGUCGAAAUUAGAUUUCCAAAUACACACUCUAGUUCAUCUCCUAUUAGUGCCAGUAGCUCGGACAAGAUGGCUGAUUUUUCAGUUCUAGAUCAGCCCUAAACCCUAGCAAAGAUACACUAGAUCUUGAUGCUAUCUUCAUUUGUUUUGGUUCACAUUCAUCCAAUUCGAUCCUCUAGUGUUCAUAUACAGGGGAUCAAGUCACUUAGUACCAUUGGAGCUCAAAAUGAAAUAGAUAAACAUGAUUUAAAAGGCCAUAACAGUUUAGCCAACAAGAGAAACCAAAACAGUCUACUAGUGGUCCAAACAACCACUUUACUUGCUUCAUUUCUACUGCAACUCACACAUAAGCUCAACCAAUGUCUAUCCAAGUGUCUUAGGCUUAAUUUAAGGAACAAAAGAACCACAAAAUCAAGGAGAAACUUCUCCUUCCAAAACCGGUCAGCCAAGAAGAAAGAAAACAGUCCACAAGUUCACUUAUUUAACCAACCUUCAUCCUUUCAUGGUUUUCACUUAAACAAAAUGUCAAGUGUCUAAAACAUGUUAAUACUUCAAAAAUAACCAUGAACAAAGUUCAAACAUUUCAUCAAACACAUGAUAGGCAAACUAACUAACCCUACUACCACUUAUUUAGUUCAAGAAGAUUAACCACAAAUCUCAUCCAAAUAACUUGUAGUUUGCCAUUAAAACUUAAAGUACAUAAUAUAUCAUCAUAAAUUAAGAUUUAAAGAUCAUUUACUUCUCUUGUAAGAAGCUUGAGUCACCCAAAACAACCACUAAACCAAGAGCUUCAAGCUUGAAAAUCACCCAUUAGGUUGGAAGUAGUUUGCUCACCAACUCAAGUCCUUCACUUUUGAUUUUUCUCUCAAGAUCAAACUAGGUUUAGAAAGAAAGGAAAAAGGAAUUUUCUCUCCUUUUUUUGGAAGCUAUGAGGGCCGGCCAAGCUAAGGAAAAAAAAAGGCUCCAAGAUGGCUUAAAUUCCUUCUAAUCCCUUGGUCAAACAAGAUACAUGGUUAGGGUUUGGCCACUUGGCCCAAUUCUUGUCCAUUUCUUCCUUAAUCUUUGACUAAAGAUGUUCAACCCUUCCAAAUGUUCCAAUACCUAUUUAACACCUCUAACCUAUCAUAUAAAGUCCCAACCACAAUAAAAGAAUAUUUGGUAAAAAUUGCAAGUGGUGAAAUAAACUAAACCAACUCAAAGAAAUGUUUUAAUUUAAGUAAGAGGAAAUGAAAUGCAAUACAGGGGAAUUGUUGUAACACAUGUAGAAUAUAAUGCAAGGGCAUAUAAUAAGUGAUUUAAAUCCUAGGGAAAGGCAAGUAAUUUGGGAAAAUUGUAUUUAAAGUGAGGGUUCUCACACUUUAAGUGUAAUUUUGUUAUUGUUGGUUGGUGGAUUUUAAUCGUAACUUUUAGCUUUGAAGUUAUAGCUUGUAUAUUCAAACUACUUUUAUUAAGUCGAUGGUUGUUUUGUGGCUCUAUAUGAAGCUUGAACGAGUGCGUGAGUCUUCACAAGAGUUGGGCAGGCGUCCCGAUGAUACCUUAGGGUUCGCCUUAGGGAGAGGUGGGAGCGUCACAGUUAGUAUCAUAGCUUUAGACUUCAGAUCUUGUAGUGUAUCCUAGGCUUGAAGUUUUGGAUGCCGGACUGUGGGAUUAACUUAAAUAUUACAUGAACUGGAGAACCUACUGUGUUUUAGGGGUUAAAUAGAAUUAAUACUUGAGAGUUUCUUAUAUAGCAUUGGUGGAAACAAAACUGAGGAGUUAUGUGGUAUUAUAUCGAAAGGAAACAUUAUGUGAGAGAUUAGUAGUGAAAUAUUGAAUGAGAUUCGAAUUAUCUUUAUACUUGUAGGAAUGAAAGAAAUCGGUGCAAAUAGUAGUUUUAGCUAUUAGAGAUACGAAAUCCAGAUUUGCUAGUUAAUUCCACAUAUGAUGAUUUUAAACCAAAACAAAAGAGUUUUCAAAGGAAUAAAAUGCAUUUUCCACUUAUUUACCUACUUAAAAAAAUUUAUUAAAUUUUCACUCUUAUGAGCGUCAUUCUGAAAAUUUUAUGUCCUUCUCUUAAAUUUCAAACAUUUUGAUUUCAUUAUAAAGCUAUAUUUUCUCUUUGUGGAGAGGAAUUAACCCAAGAGCCUUAUUAUAAUUGAUGUAAGGUUUGAAUUUAUCGGAAUAAGUGAUUAGAGGAUAAUCGAGGACUGGGGGCAACUGUGGAUGUCUAGACUGCUAGAAUUCAUGAAUUGGAAAUGGAUGUACUUGAGGAGCGGAAAAAGGUUGAGACUUUUCGUGAGUAGUUUCAGGAGGCUAAGAGCCGACUUGUUAGGAUAGUACACGAAAUUAGAGACCGGACUGAGGGGAUGAUGGUUGAGCGUGUUACUUUGGUCGAACAAGUGGUGGAUGGCAAGAUACUUGCGAGGAAAAUGAGGAAGAAACUCCUAGUGCUGAAUAUGAUCCUACUGAAGUAGCAGAGACUUCUGGCUCUGCCAAUCACUAAGUUAGUGAUUUAGUCUACUUUAAUAGUUUUUGUCCAAGAUAGUCGGGGUAGUACUUGUUCAAAUACCAUUGUAUUUUGCUUAACUAUGUUUCCUAUCUUUUGAAGCACUUGAACGUUACUUAUGAGGUGCUUGACUUUAUUGCUCUAUGACUUCUAAUCUAUACUAUGGGUUGUGCAUGUUUGCAAUUAUUUCGGUGUCUCUCUUAUUUAUUUUUGUUUUGCAUGAUUAAAGUAUCAUUUUCAAACUUCGCUUAUGUAUAUUUAUUUUACGUCAUGCCUUUAGAAAAUAUUAAAAUUUUGGACGGCCAAAGAAGUGGAAGAGGCCGAGGGCGAGGGGCUAGCUAACCCCAAGCUCAAGGGGAUGAUCAGGGAUCAGCAAUUGGACAGAACCAAGGACAAGGAAAUGAUGGAGAUAACCAAGUAGCUACUACUAUUAACCGUAUGACUGAUAUCUUAGCAAGGUUAGCUGAGCACCAAGGCUCUGAGCCAAUCAACCAACCUAGGAACCAAAAGAGGGGUGAGGAUAGAUCUUUAGAGCAAUUCUUGAAGUUCGCCCCACCUAAGUUUCACGGAGGGUCUGAUUCCAAAGCAGUAGAAAAUUGGUCUAAGAGGAUAAUAUAAGGCACUAGUGAGAGCACGAGGUUAGGGAUUUUUCUUGAACAACUUUGUAAAUGAGUAUUGGAGAGUGAGUUAGGAUGUGGAAAUUUUAUAUUAAGGAAUAUGAUUCCAUAUUUGGUUAUGUGUAUAAGUACUGAUAGUAAUCCUUGUGGAGACUCAAGAGUUCGUCCAUAUUAAGCAGAGAUUAGUUAAAAUUUAUACUCUAGGGUAACUUGUAAGCAAGAGAAUGGAAGAGUAAUAUGGCUAGAGCUUUCCAUUGUGAUAGUUACUUAUUUUGAUUCUCUUAUUUGCUUGGCAGGCUAGCAUUUGAUUUGAGCCAAUCGAUGAGAUGACAAAAUUAGGAGAGAUGUAUAAGGAAAUAGACAUUCACCGAAAAGAGGUAGAAUUUCAAAAGAAAUUGUCUGACUACUGGGAAGGAUGAUGGCAAUAAGAAUAUGCGGAGAAAAUUGAGUUGCUAUACAAGAAAGUGGAACUGGAGAAGAAAUACAAAGAAAAUUCUCAAUUUGGUCAUGUCGUGACGUCUCGUGUAGCUUGUGGAUACUGUGGCAAGUUUAACCAUACUGAGGCCGUGUGCUUGAGAAAGCAAGGAAAAUGUCUGAGAUGCGGUAAUGCCGAACAUCAGAUUUCAAGCUGCCCUAGUGCCUCUAAAAAGAGGAAAUACUUAACAGCCUGCUAGAUCCACUGCAAAACAGACGAGUGCCAGAGGGAAUGGUUAAUGCUAAUGGCUAUAAAAGGGAUCCAGGUUGUGGAAGCUUUACGAGUGGGGAUGGAUCUGACUCCACUCGAGGGAUAGGGGUUGUAAUAUUACCGUAGUUUAGAUGGCACUUUUAGAGGUUCUAAUCUUUUGUAUAGGGGAUAAAGUUCUUUUGGUGUUUUGUACGUUUGUGAUUUAGUAUGUUUUCCUACGAUUUUGUUUGUCUCCACUUUCUUUUGAAAUGAUUUGACGAAAUUAUCCUCACUUGGUGCAACUAUUAUGAUCUUUUAUGACACAUAAAGAUUUACUUUGCUUUAAUUGAUUUUACGGCUUAUAUGCAUAUUUAAUGUAUUGUUCCACACCUUUAGACCUAUGAUAAGAUCAUGAACGGAACCUGAGGAUAGUUUUAAAAAUGUCGAGAGAGCACCAACUUUUGUUAAGUUCAAUAAGUUUGAGUUUUGAAUGGGAAAAGUAGGACUUGAUGAGAAUUUGUCCUAUGAAGAAAGGCCGGUAAAGAUUUUAGAUCGAAAAGUGAAGGAAUUAAGACGUAAGCAAAUCCCUCAAGUGAAGGUUUUGUGGAGAAAUCAUGGAGUGGAGGAAGCGACUUGGGAAGUAGAAGAGGAGAUUCGAAAGAAUUACCCAGAAUUGUUCCUAAAUCAAGGUAUGAAUUUCGAGAAAGAAAUUCUUUUAAUGGGGGAAGGAUGUGAGAACCCAAAUUUUUAUUUUACUUACUUUUACUUCACUUUACUGGCUUAUUUAAUUAUUUAUUUAUCCGUUUACUCCGAAUAAUUUAUUUCAUUCAUUUCAAAUCCAUUUGUACGCAAAAAUGUCUCAUUUAUAUUUUUAAAACAUUUUCGUUAGCGAAUUUAAUUUUUCUACGGCCCAUUUAGCGAGAAAUAGUGCAUGCACGUUUUCGAGGUAAAUUCAGAUCGAGAGUGCAAUAAUCUUGGAGUAUUAAGGAUGAUCAAUAGUAGACUGAGAAAAGUUAAUUGAGAGAUUAGAGUGAGUGAGUUAAGUUAAGCUCAAUUAGGAGCAUUAAUGGCUCACUAAUCAAUCGUUGACUUUUGGGGCCAAGACCACUCUCUUUCUUUCCUCUCCAUGGCCGGCCCUUCCUCUCCUCAUUUCCACCCCAAAAAUUUCAGCUAGCUUCUUCCAUUGUUGCACCAAGAAAACUCCCCACACUUGCUUCUUGUCUUGGGUCUUCAUACAAGCUUGGAAGAGAACUUGAUCAAGAAAGAAACUUGGUGAUUUAGGAGCUCAAAUCCUAGUGUUUAAUCUUCUUUUGGUAGCAAGGUAUUCUCCAUGAAACCCUCAAAUUUUCCUCUUCAAUUCAUAGUAGUAAGUUAGUAGUUAGUUAGUGAUAGCAAGAUAGCUGUUGGACUUGAGGGCUUGAUAGGUAGAGGCCUUGAGGAUUUUGUACAUUUAAUUGCUUGUUUGUUACUUGCUUUGAUGAGAUAUGGUUUAGUUCUAGUUGCAAAGUUGAAAAGAAAGCUGGAGGAAUGAAAGUUGUAUGCUGGCCGAAAAUUUUUUGUUGCUCCUCUCUUGUUAAUUUCGAAAUUUUUAUGUUAUUUUGGUGCAAUAAUGCUUGAUACAUGUUGGUGGUUAUGUGUAUGAAUUACCUUCCAAAAAGCUUUCCAUUUGGUUGUGUUUAAGUAGGGUUAAAGUGAGGUUGAAUUCUGGAAAAUUUCUGAUCAGAUGACCCCAACCAGUGUUCACAUUUUUGGUUAUAACUCUCUAUCUGGGAGUUGAAAUCGAGUGCUGUUUGUAGCAUCCGAAACUAGACUCCGAGAUCAUUCCGUUGGUAUAAAAUGCACCUCCUAACGCAUUUCCUAUGAGCCGUAGGGAACCAGAAAGAUGACUGAAAUUCCUCUCUGCUUGCAUAUGAGAAAUAGUUCUAGCUGCAGUUUGUAGCUCAAUUUUGCCUAUCUUGUAAAAUGAAUUUUAUGACAGUUCCUCCUAGUGAAUUGUAUUAUUUUGAAUCUAGUUUUUAACGCCACAAAACACACUAAAUUUUGAGUUGUGUAGCUCCAGUUAUGAUCAGAUUUUGAAACUCUGUCUAGUACGUCAGAACUGGAAUUUUGUAAAACAGGUUCCAAAUUUCAGUUUUCAUAGAACUGUUGUAUCUUGGUAUAGAAAGGUCCGAAUUGAGUUUCGUUUGUUGUGUUUAAAACUAGGUUUGGACUUUUAAUUGGCAUAUAAAUUUCAAGGGUUGAUUCCAUUUCUACGAAUUUUGCCGAAUUUCCAAAUUUCACUGAAUUUGCAAGCCUGUUUUGCUCUAUCCUGUCUACAACAGUGACUUUGAGCUAAAAUUUGAAUGACAUCGAAUUGGAGUCUGAGAAAAGUGUCUUCUAGAAAGUUUUAGUGCUUUAAGUGUAGUUCCCAACGGUAUAAAGUUUCAAUUUUUGGACUUACGGAACUCAAGAUACAAUUUUUCCAAGUAGUGUCACUUUGAACUGGGAAUUUCUGAUUUUCAAACAAAUACACUUUUAAAGAAAUUUCCACCUUCCUUUGCGAUUAUUGGACUGUUUUAGGUGUAAUUUCAUGGUUGAAUACACGGUUCCUUUGGAACUUUAAACUUUCAUUUAAAUCUUAGUUUCUGAAGGUUAAACCUCUCUUGAUGCGUUUUCUAGGUCAUAUAACUCCCUUGGUUAAUGGUACUUCUCUUCAUACCCGAAUUAGGGACUUCAACCCCUAUUCUUAUUGUGAGAACCCAAAAAUUUACUUAUUUCCAUUUUUUUCAUUUUCUUUUCUUUUCUUUUCCUCUCUUUUUGGUCAAAAUUUUCAGCCAACCCUAGGAUAAUAUUAGGGGAAGGAAAACAAAAGAAAAAUGAGAAGAUUAAGGAAUGAAAGUAUUGGCUGAGUGGUGUCCUCCACUGGUAACAAACGGCGCACAUCGGUUCAAGCCUAUUUUUCUAAUUCUCUUGUACUUUGUUUUAAAUUAUGAUUCACUAAUGUACUCUAAACACUUUUAAUCAUAUCCUUCCUCUUACUUAAUACCCGCUCUUAUCCACCAAAUUUUGUACACACACCUCACCAAUUGAUCAUACUAUCUCGACGCACCAAAACCCUAACAUACACUAACUAUAAAAAAAAAAAAGUAAAACUCUCGACUCUAUUUUUUAUUACAACUAUUAAUGGAGUAAAUUAGUAGUAAAGGAAUUACAAAUUAAAUUAUUCAAAAUAAAAGAGAAUUUUAAGAAAAUAUAAAUGAAUUUUUCAAGUCCUCACAUCAAUAAUAGCAAAUGUUAAGAAUUUAACUAAAAUAAUUAACCAAUGCUCUUUCACAAAAUCCUAGCACUAGAAACAAAUUAGUUCAGCAUAAACAUGAUAUAAAUCAACAAUUCAGGAAACAAAUACAAUAUUGGAGAAUAAUGUCAAAAAAAAAUAUUCUCAAUCUUUGAUGCUCUAAUCCUCAUGUUGAUCACUCCUUGAUUCUUGCUUGUGUCCUCUUCAUCUAGAUCUCUCAAGAAGAGGAUUUGAAAACUGAUGAACUAAAACUGGCCUAAUGCUUUUUCUCAUAAAAAUGUUCUAGAUAAUCCCUAUUCAUAGUUUUCUAAAAUUCUAACCCAAAUAUAGUAGAGUUAUGCUUUUUGGAGCUGAAAAAAGUCGCGACCAAGCCAAUUUCCCCUGAAGACCGGCCUAUGUCCAAUGCUGGUCAUUGGGUGAAGCUCAAAACUCAAACGAAUCAAAAGAAGUCCGAUGUGAAGUCCAAACUGAUGACCAGUGCUAGAUGUGACGGCCCCCACCUCCCCUUAGGGCAUAUCCAAGGGUUUGGCGGACCGCCUGCCCAACUCUCGCCCGGACUUAGUCAUAAUUCAUGAAAACUUACAAAUAAAAACCCUAAAAAAAAUGAUAGUUACUACAACCUUUAACAUGUACACUCAUGGUCCUCUAAUAUCCACAUGACCUAUAAAUACAAUCAAAGAAUCAGACUUACAAAAUCGAACCAAACAAGCUGGCUAGAUAUCUAAGAAGUACACGCUUGAGCAACUAACAAUCUUAGAAGAAAUCGAGACUUUCCUCAAUUCAACCUCUCAUGUUCUCAUCCCUGUAAGGAAAACAAAUGGCGUCGAAUGAGAUAAAGCCCAGUGAGGUUCCAAGUAACCAAACAGGUAAAGUACGAGACAAGAUAGCAUACCCAGACAUCAAGAAACAAGUCAAACUCAAAUAAAUCACGAUCCAAUAUAUAGUUAAGCAAUUAGCCAGAUAAAUGAUGCAAAAGGGUACAAAAAAAAGAACACAUUCAGGGCAAAGGAUAUAGGUUGCUCUUAGGAGCAAGUUUCACAGUAGCUUGAUCAAGGUCUGUUGACUCUCCAUCAACCACGAAAGUAUAACGUCCAUAGAUCUCCACUUUACACCAGUUUCCGUCCACCGAUCAAUCCCCUACCGGGCCUGAAGGUCUAAGAAGUAUCCAAGGUUCGUCGAUCUCCUCGACCAAACCCUUGUUGGCUCGAUUCAACCACCUAACUGUAGGUUGGACUUAUAGUCCCAGAUAUUCAGUAAUUCAAGAUAUGGCUUAUAGCCCAAAGUGUUCAGAUAAUCAAGAUUGGAGUCGUUGGUUGUUAUCCAACGCUCACACAGUAAAGCUUGGAGACGUUAGUUGUCACUUAACGCUCCGUAUUCAGAAAUAAAUAGUGGUGGUAAUAUUCGAGCAUACCAAUUAGUCGACGAAAUAAUACUCCACUCGACAAAACAGGAUAGAGGUAUUGAGACGGGAUGAGAGGCACCUCCCACUCGGAUGGAGUGUGGUACAUGCUACCGCUCAGCACUAGUAUCGACGAGAUAACUCUCCAAUAGACUUAAUCAGGAUAAAAGUAUUGAGACGGGAUGAGAGGCACCUCCCACUCGGAUGGAGUGUGGUACAUGCUACCGCUCAGCACUUACAGGUCAAGCACAAGCACAAACACAAGUACAUGUCAAUGAAGUACAAGCGAGUACAUGAUCAUUCAAGAAGGGGAGGCCGAGCGCGAUAAGAACACACUCGCCUAGCCAGAAUCAAGUCACAAGUAAUAUCCAGUAAUUCACAUUCUCAAGUAUUUUAAGUAUUUCAAGUCAAUAUACAGGUCAUAUACAAAUCAAGUUGCUUGUUCAUGCGUGAAGGAGAUAUCAAGUGUUUAGUCAAGUCAGGUCAAUUGAGUGUACAUAAGAGCACACUCGCCUAAACAGGUUCAAGUCACAAAUAAAUUCAACAUAUCAUGUUUCAAGUAUUUCAAGUCCAAACAGUUGAAAAUCAGGUGGUUAAGAACCCUAAUCAAACAAGAAAAUUGGAAGAAAGCCACAGAAAUCAGAAAUUUUCUCAGUAAACCCGGCCACAAAUCCGUCUGACAAUCCAGCCGGAAAUCCGGCCAGAAAGUGGCUGGAUUCUAGCCACUUUUUAGUUGUAACAAAACGGCUAACACAUGUUUUAACAAAAUCUCACAAAUUUAGUCGAGUUAGGCCAAGUGCAAUAAAGUACACACUUGCCUAUGAGACAAGAAAUCAAGUACCUAGCAUUGUCUAACAACAAUGAGCAUGUAACACGUAAGUCGGUAGGAUAACCACCUAAGUGACCAACAAGUCAAGUGCAGGCAAAGCAUUUCAUUUGUAGACACCAAAUUUUGAUUUUAAACUUUAUUCAUUUAAUUAAUUUAAUUUUUAUUUUAUUUGUUUUGAUUUUAGGUUUUUUAUUUUAUUUUGUUUUAUUUUAUUUUGUUUCGUGUCUCUUGUUUUAUUUUAAUUGAGUUAAGAGUUUUUUGCAAAAAAAGAAAAAAGAGAGAAAAAGGAACAAAAAGGAAAAAAGAAAAAAGAAAAAUAAUAAAAAUGGCAAGUGGGGGGCAUGCAUUAGGACAAGUGUCCCCUUUAUGUGUUGGACAACUAAGCACUUAAGGGAUUAGAUGUUAGACACUUGGAGGCCUAAGAUUUGAAGGAAGAGAAAAACAAAAAGAAAAAAGAAAGGAAAGGGCGGUUGGAGAUUUUUGGGGGGGAUUGAGCUAGGAGAACCAUCGGAGAGGCUUGAGAACAGAGGGGCAACAACACAAGAAGAAAAAUAGAGGAAGAAAAAGAGCAAAGGAGGGAGCCGAGAGGGCGGCAGAGGAAAAAAGAACAAGGAAAAUUAGAAGGGAGAUUUGGGGGUGAAUCAAAAAACAGGAGAGGAAAGGGGCUUCGGAAAAGGGGAGGAAAAGAACAAAACAGAGGAGCAGCGGUCUGAGAGCAAGGGAAAAAACAAAAAACAGAACAAAAAGGAAAAAUGGAGGUGGUUUCGUCUGAGAGCAAAAGAAACGAAAAGAAGGGAGCAAAAGAAACGAAAAGCUGGAAAAUUGAAAGAAGCUUCGGCAGUAGAAAAAUCAGAGGGGAAAGAAGAAAAAGAGACGAGGGUGGCGGCUGGAAUCUGGGGAAGAUUGCGAAAAAGAACACAGAAAAAGGAAAGAAAAAGACGAGAAGAGGGAACGAUCUAAAUUUUUUUAGAGGAGAAACAGAGGGAGCUUCGGUCGGGAAAAAAGAGAAACAAAGGGGCGGCGGACAGAAAAAAAAUAGAGGGGAUUUUUUUGGAGAAGCAAAACUAGAAAGGGAGUCUGAGAAAGCUUCGGCUUCGGUUGAAAAACAGAAACAGAGGAGGAAGACAAAAAUGCUGAGCAAGAGAAGAAGGGGUAGUCUGAGGAAGAAGCCGCGACAGGAACCGCCGCCGCUCAUAGCCGCCAUCACCUCGUCGGAAUCCACCAUUGCCACUUGUGAAUCUGCACCAAGAAAACGCUGUAAGUUAUCCCCUUUCUUUGCACUACGGUUUUCUUUCAAGCAUGGACUUUGGAAGCUUUCAGAGCACGUCUGCCGUGCCUUUAUUUAUUGCAAUUUUCCCGCUGAUUGUGUAUGAUUUUGGAUUGUACAUGUCUUCUGUGUCAAUUGGACCGAAGUUUUUGUUGUCUGAACAAUUUUGGGGCUAAUUAACUUCAAUUGGGCAAAGAAUUGGCGAAAUUUUUUAUGCCCCUAACCUGUUCGAUGAAGUGCCUAACUGAGAUUUCUAAUUGAAAGAUAACUCGUCUGCAUUUUUGCGUGUGAAGAAACUGGAUAAGUUAGCAAGUUCAAUUCCUUGCGUUUGAGAAAUCUUGAUGUACUGGUAUUUAUGCAUUUUUUUUCUGUUUUCGUUUCCGAAUGCUCCCCUCGGUAUGAAUUUGAAUCAAUGAUUGUGAGAAGGAAUUCAUGUGAGUUUCUUGUUUUUUGGGGAGUGUAAAAAUGAUUUUUUUUUUUAUGUUUUGCUUUCUGCGAAUAAAGAUUAAAUGGCAGUUGAUGUUCUAUUGAUCUUUCAUGGUUUAAUAGUUAGGAUUGGGUUGUGUUAAUCAAAGGGGCUUGAACUGAUUAAAGAGCUUUUGUUUGAUAGGUUCUCAGGCUUAGUUUGCGCAAGAUUUAUGCACUGAAUAGGUUUCAAUUGUAGAACUCAGAAAUUAGUGUCGAAGAAGAGAGCUUCUGCGGAGCAUGAAUGAAUAAAUUUCUGAAAAUUGCAGUUUAACCCCUCCAUUUUUGCUUAAUUAUACUACGUCCUAAAGACUUUAAUUUUCUUUCAAUUAGGUCCUUGUUUUAAUUACAAUUUGGUCCUUUUAUUUUAGUUUUAUUUAAUCUUAACCCUAACACUUGUAAUAAUGAUGAUUUGAUCCCUUAAACUUCUCUAAUUCUUUCAAUUGGGUCUUUGUUUGUCUUAAUUGGUUAAAUAUGAGUAGUUCACUUUCCUUGGAAUGAUUUAAUUGAUUCAAUUUCAUGUUUAUUUUUUAUCUUUUGUGAUUACUUAUUAAUUAAAGUGAUGUCUUGACCUUUUCUUUGUAUUUUGGAGGGCAAAUAAGUGAUUUCAUUUCAUUAGGGCCCCAAUUCAAGGGAGGUAUACCCUGAUCUCUUAUUUCUUACUUUAUUUGACUCUACGUGCCCUAUGUGACUUUACAUGUUUGAUUGUAUGCCUCCUGAAUGUUUUUUAUUCAUAUCAUUUAUUUAUUUAUUUGCUUUAUUGGCUUUGUAUAUUUAUUUUAGUUCAAUUUGAUUAUUUGAAAGGCAAUUUAAUGCCAAGGUUGUAAUAGUUAGGUUAUUAUUUUAUUUAUAUAUUUCUUUUCCCCCUUAGAUUGUAGUGGGACCUCCCCAAGUGUAAUAGAUAGGGCUUGUGUGCUAUGUGUUUGUGUGUGCCUAUAUGCCUAUGUGUUUAAUUGCUUUCCUUAGGUUUUGCAUCUAGAUGAGCAUGCUUAUGUGAUACGUGCUAUGUGAAACUAUGUGCUUUUAUAUGUCUAUUUUGCUUUAGUAUUAUAUCUGAUUAUGUGGAUGAAUGCACGUCACCAUGGCUAGUCCAAUACUAGUCAUGGUCUUCCCCUCGCCCUCACAAGUCCAAUGCUUGUGAGAGAUCCUUAGUAAAGGGCUAGUCCAGUGCUAGACCUUUAGGGACCGUCCACGCGUUAGAUCAUGAUUGUGUGAUAAAAUCACUUCACCUCAUGCAUACUUUCACCUUUUAGGGUCUUUUAUCAUUUUUUGAAUGACAUCCCUCCUUAUACGUAUAUCCCUUUCCCAUAUUUCCCCUUAUACGUAUAUUCCUUACCCCUUUGUAUGAAAACAUAACAUUAGACUUGCAUUUCAUUUAAGAAAUAGAAUUAGGGUGGUGCAUUUGCUUGAUUAGAUUAGGGAAACCCCUUGAAUAUGGGAUAUGGACGAGUUUGGCUUUCUAGCCUUAGCACGCUCGUAUUCCCUCUAUUAAAAGGGAAAAUUGAGUCACGAGCAUUAGUCCCCCGCACCCGACAUGAUGCAUUCCUUUAGGACAUGUAUAUUUGUAUAAUUAUGAAUAUUUUUAUUUUUAUUUUUAUUUUUCUUUUCUUAGAGUCUCAUAUUUUUUGCAUUAUUCGUGACCUCUUCAAAGAGUCCUUGUUGGACAUCACAAAUUAAUGCGAUUGGUACCAAUUGAGCUUUGAAGAGAAAUUUCGACCCCCCGACACCCUCCUAGGUCUAGGGUUUGCAUUCAUAUAGUACAUUCAAAUGUGAUAAAUUUUUAGGUUAAGAAUAAGAAAAUCUUUGACUAAAUCACGCAAGUAGCCUUGGCUGGGUUGAAAGGGUGCCUUGAAUUCUUAUCCUUGCCUUCCCUUUCUUCAAAUGUGACUCCCGAAUCUUUUUCUCUGAUUUUCGUAGACUUGGAAUCGUUUAAAAAGGGUUUUUCUACUUUUUUUCUUUAAAAAUUCAUUUUUUAGGUGACUUGGUACACCUUAACUCUAUACCAAGUGGCGACUCCAUUUUUUCAUUCAAAAAAUCCUUUUUAAGCUAUUUUGGCCCAAUCGUCGCAUUAUCAAGUCCCAUGGCCUUUUUCUUUUCCACACAUAUCACCAAUUUUCAAACCUUACUUCACAUUUCUUUAUCUUUCUUAAAAAUGGGGCGCGACAUCAUUUCAUAUCAAUAUCACGAAAUGAACUACAAAUAAUCGAGUAUGAUAAAGUACAUUCUCGUCCCAAAGGUUAUCAAUUCAAGAGCAAUUACUUUAACCAAGUAAGCAUGUUAUUCAAGUAAGGAGACAUUCCAUGUAAAAAUUUUCAUGUACUUGGAACACACACCAAUCAAUUGCCACCGUUCACUUUAACCUUGGCUCGUCCUCUUGAACUCUCUCGAGUCCUGUGGUCACAUAUUAUAUAAAAAGGCUAGCAAUACAAAGCCAAAAUACAUGAAGAAAUAAGGUUUCUAAGACUUCAUUUUCUUUCACUUAAACCUCAAUUUUACGCAUAAACCAUACCCAAAAUGAUUUACCAACUCCAACCUUAAAGUGGGAAUGAAAGUAAAAACGGUUCUAAAAGAACAGAAUUUUCCAGUUUUUGCACAACAUUAUUUGAAAACUCAUAUCUCAAGCUUCUUAAGUCCAAAAUUUAUAAAAUUUAUGCCAUCGGAAAAUAGACUCAAAGGGUUACAAUUUCCCAGAAGACACAUUUGUAAGAUUCAGUCCACAAGUUAGUCAAAUUCCAGCCUCAAGUUGCUGCAUCAUCCAAUCAAAAGACAGAUCAGGUAUGGCAAAUCAGUCAACUUUGAAAAAUCACAGAUAUUCAUAGAAAUUGAGCAAAGUUAUGAAAUUUGUAUGGUAAAAAAUACUCUGAAUCUAGUUUCAAAAAAAAUAAACAGAACUCAAUUCUGACUUUUCUACACCAAGAUAUAACAGAUUUCAUCAGAUUGCCCAAGGUUCCCUGCGGACAAAUUUUCAGCAGCACUUCCUUUGUGUUUACCAAUUUUUUUCUAGCCAAUUCAAAGUUUCAUUCUUACCACAAAACAGCCUCAACUCAACAUAUACAUACCAGGCCAAUAACUCACUAAAUCAAGCAUAUAUAUAGCAUAUAACAAUCACCUCCGUUUCCCAAAUCCUAGGGCAAUGAGCGAAAGUCGUUAAUAUUCUUGGUUCAUUUUCCAACCCAAAUGUAAGUUCAUUAGGUGACCAAGUGAGUGGUUAGAUCUACUCAAUUCACCUUGCACGUUAGGCCAAAAAUGCAGUAAAAGGUCAUAUGAAAACAAGUUUGACAAGUGCAAGAAAGUUGCGCUAAAUGAAAAUCUCAUUUAAGUUCAAAGUAGUCUUCGCGGGUAAAACAGUAGCGCCCGCACAGUCUCGGAAAAACGGUCAUAUCUCUCUGUAGGAAGGUCGGGAUCAGGUGCCAUUAGCGGCAUUGGAAACUAGACUCGAAGGGCUUUCCAAGCUACCAAAUGUACACUCUAGUUACUCUCCUAUCAAUACCUGUUAUUCGGGGAAGUUGGCUGAUUUUUUGGUUCUGAUCAGCUCAAUACCAAGACAAAGUUGCCAUAUUUCUUCUUUCUAACUUCACUUGUUUUGGCUCAAAUUCACCCAAUUCAAACUCCUAGAGUUCACAUACAGGGGAUCAAGUUAUCUAGCACCAUUGGAGCUUAAAUGUAACAUACAUAAUGCUUAAGUGAACCAAAACAAUCUAGCCAACAAAGGAAAACCAAAACAGUCCACUAGUUGCCCAAAACAACCACUUUGCUUGCUUCAUUUCCAUCUCAACUCACACAUAAGCUUAACCAAUGUUUAGCCAAGUUUCCUAGGCUUAAUUAAGGUGCAAAUGAGUCACAAAAAUCAAGAAAAACUCUCCACUCUAUGGCUGGACAGCAAAGAGAAACCAAAACGGUCCACAAGUUCCCUUGCAACACCAACCUUCAUCCCUUCAUUAUAACUAAUUUAAGCAUCAUUCCAAGAAUUGUCCUUAGCUCAAAAGGGUCCAAAACAUGUUAAUACAUCAAGUAAAACCAUAAACAAUGCUUGGACAAAAUAUCAAACACAUGGUAUGCAAAACAACCAACCCUACUUCCACUUGUUUAGUUCAAGAAGUUUCACCACAAAUAUCAUCCAUUCAACUCCUAGUUUGCCAUUAAAACUUUAAACACUUGAUAUAACACCACAAAGCUAAGAUUCAAAAAUCAUUUACCUUCCUUAGGUGAAGCUUGAAUCACCCAAAAGCCACCAAAAUAAAAGCUCCAAGCUUGAAACACACACUCGGCUUGAAGGUAGUUAACUCAACUAAGUUAGGUUCCUUCACUUUUGAUUUUUGCUCAAGGAUCAAGCUAGGGUUUAAAAGUAAGAAAAAUGGAGUUUUCUCUCUUCUCUUGGAAACUUCAAGUGGCUGGCCAUAUGGAGGAGAUAAUAGAGCUAUGUUGGUUUAAAUUUUGCUAAUUCCUUUGGUCGAACAAGAUGAAUGAUUAGGGUUUUGCCACAUGGUUCAAUCUUGGCCAUUUCUUCCUUUAAUCUUUGACUAAUGAAGUUUCUACCCUCCAAAUGUUCCAAUACCUAAUUAACACCCUUAAACCAUUAAAUAAAAUCUUACACAUAAUAAAAGAAAUAUUUGGUCAUAAUGCAUGUGGUGAAAUAAAAUUAUGGCAACUCAAGGAAAUAUUACAAUUCAUGUAAAAGGUAAUGAAAUGCAAUGCAAGGAAAUGUCAUAAUUGAUUUAGUCUUAGGGAAAUGCAAGUGAUUUAGGAGGAUUUACAUUUUUAAGUGAGGGUUCUCACACUUAACAUGUACUAACUUAUAUCAAGAAAAUGAGUUAAAACUUGACUCACUUAUAAAAAUAUCUAGGAAAUUAAGGUAAUAAAGUAAAGUAAAGAAAAUGUGCUCAAAGAAAUAAGAUAAAAUAAAGAUAAUUUUUGGGGUUCUCACACUAGAACUGUGAAUCCAUGUAAAUUCUGCAGCCCUUGUUUCUUCUUGUUUCGUCUUGCUCCAUUGCUCUUUUCUUCGAUUAGCCUUGUCCCAAGCUUCUAUGAUUGGUCCAUUUUCUCUCAAAUGAUCUCUCCACCUAUUAGAACAACAUAAGAUAAAAAUUAAAUAGUUUCUAUCCAAAUUAGAGUUCAAAUAUCAUGAUCAACUAACAAUUUACACGUGAAAAUGCUACUAUUUAUACCCUAUCAAUAGUUUAUGCACUGGUUUUUGCUCCUAACUAUUCAACUCGAUCCAGAAUUCAAAACAACAACUAGAAAGACAAGAAGGCGGGUGAGGGGAGAGUCAAAGGAGGAAGAAAAAAGGUAGAGGAACGACGAGUUGAAUAGCAAGAAAUAUAUUAAAGGGCUUUGCAUUGCUUAGUGCUUUGGGUGUGCAAACUAGUGUCACAAGAUCCACGGUCAAUGCAAAUGACUCUGAAAUCAAGUCAUCCUUGAUCCAAAUGAUUCAACAAGAUUAAUGUGAAACUAACUCUAUUCAAGUUACUAAUGCACACUUGGCUAAUUUUCUUGAAAUAUGUGAUACAAUUAAGUCUAAUAGAGUUAGCAAAAAAACUUCAAAUUUUAAAUUGUUUCAAUAUUCACUCUAUAAUAAAGCCAAGGUAUUGUUGAAUUCUCAUUCCCCCAAUACUUUUAGCACUUGGAAUGAAUUGUCUAGAUAUUUUCAUUUGGCAAAACUGCUAAAUUAAGGAAAGACAUUGCAAGUUUUUGUCAAUAUAACGGUGAAUUCUUAUAUAAAUCAUGGGAGAGGCACAAGAAUCUCCAAAGAAAUUGUUUAUAUUAUACUCACCAUGUGAAGACUUGCAAAUUCCUUAUAUUUUUCUUUAAAAUGCCCUUUUAUUUGGGAAUUAUUCAUUUAUUAUGACCCUACUACCCAAUCACCCUACAAUAAAGUGUAAAUGAAUAUAGAAGUAAGGGUUUCGUUGUCCGUUUUCAAGUUAGAGCGAAUUAGGGUUUUCACGUUUUUCCGUAGUGUGACUAUUCGGUACGGAGUGAGGAUCAAAUUUGGUAGGUAAGAGUGACUUUUGGAUGAGGAAAUAUUAUAUGAUUUGAAGUGAUAAUAAUAAGUUAGUGAUUAGAAGGUAAAAUCCCUAGUAUACGUGAUUUAAGAAAAAACGGCUCGAACCGACGGGUAUCAAUCAUUACCGAUUGAACCCACCACUUGACCACCACUUCCCUACCACCACAUACCCUUGAUAUUUUUGAAAAAUAUCUCCCUCAUCCUCAGCCAUAUAGCCGAAAUAUGUGGGCCAAAAUGCAAGGAAAAGAAAGUAAAAUUUGGAUGGUUUUGGUGGUGACAAGUGUUGGUCAUCUAUGGUCCCUUGACCAACCCUUUUGUCUUGCCAUCUUAUCUCUCAUUUCAGCUCAUUUCCCUCAUUUUCUUUCUAUUUUGGCCGAGAGCAAGGAGAGGCAAAAGAGUGAGGAGAGUUUUCAAUCUUCUACCUUGAAUCCAACCUUUUGAGUGCAACCAAGAAAAACUAAACCGAUUAAUCACUAGUUUGGAAGCUUGGAAAGCUUAAGGAACCAAAAAUUUCAAGGAGAGGUGGAGGAUCAUUCUUGCAAGCUCUUGUCUUGAGGUAUAAUGGCUGAUCAACCUUUCUUUCUCCAUUAAUCAUGAUUAAGUUGGGUAUUAAUGUUAGUAUUGUGCUUGUGAUGCUUGUUCCAAGUGAUUUUGAUGAUUAUAUGGAUGACUUUUGAGUUAGGGUUUCUUGUGGGUUAGGUGUUGUAUGAUGUAUACAUCUGGUAUAUAAUCUUGUAAAGGAGAUGAUAGUGGUAGUUUCAAGAUAAAAAUGUGAAUUAUAACUUGAAUAUAGCAAAAUUCCAGAUUUCUGGAUAUUGUAGCUUCAGUUCUGCCCGAUUCCAUUUCAUCAUGUUAGAAGCCGAAUUAGGCUUAGUACUAAACAUGAAAGUUGUAGAAAAUGAUAUUUUAUGGUUUCCUACAAAAUUUCAGCUCAAUCGGAGCAACGUAGCCUGUGAAAAGAUGAAAAUAUCCUGACUGCCCUAGGAGUAAAAUCAGCGGACUGUUUUGACAGUACACUAAGUUGGUUGCAUUUGUUCACCUAAAUACGUACUGAACUAGCUUUUAGCCAAAACAUGAAAGAUUUAGUACUUUGUCUUAGCUUUUCAAAGCCUCUAAGAACGUCUUAAACAGACUUUGGUAGCUUGAGAUAUGGCCAUUUGAAGGUAGUACGGUUAACUGGUCUACCAGUAGGAGUUUGGCUCUGUAAAUUGAGAAUUUGACUGGGUUACACUGGAAAUUGGACUAAGUGAUCUCCAUCAAAAUUGUAGCCCUUUGUCUUAGUUUCGAAACGGUAUAGGUUGCACCUCAAUCUGAUAAGCGUAGCCUCGGUUGUGUCCGUUACGCAAAAUCACGUCAAAUCUGUCUUUUGCUAGACUUCAUUUCCGCACAUGUCGUUAGCUUGAUUUUUGUAUUUGUAUUACCUUGAGCCUAUUGAACGGCUAUUGAAAUGAGUUUGUUUUGUGUGUAACUUUGGGUUUGAUUGAGGAAAAGAAUGAAGCCAUAAAUGGCUGGAAAUAGGAAAAUACAAAGGACGUGCUGCCCAAAUUUACGCUCGAGGGCUAGGUAGACAUAUUUGCAACUUGAGUAAGGGUUAAGAGUAAUUACUGCUUGAGCUAUCUAGGAUAUUUGCAUCUUCUUUUACCGAGGUAUAUAAGUAAGGAUUUGGCCGAACUUGUACCCUUGAGAAAUAAAAUAAUGACUGUUCGGAGUAUGUUUUCCUUGUACUUUCGACUCAAAUGGCAUUUUCAAGUAUAAAUGUUACAAAGUUUUGUAGUUUAAAAAGCGAGCAAGUGUUUCACGACUACUCUUCAAGUGAAUUUCAAUUUCUUGAUUCUUAUUGAACGAAACGUCUAAGUUUCGAACCUUAGUCGAUUUUCAAAGUUCUUAAGUCAAGUUUUAUCGCAGAUUUGGACUCCAAAUCCGGAGUACAACCCAGACGCGAUCACUAGAGGCACUACUUUUGGUGAGUGCUUCCAAAUAUCUGAUUGAACUUGAUAUUUGUGAUUUAUCUUUGACCAAUGUGAUUACAUGAUAUAUAUAAGUGAUUUGAUAGGGUAAGGGUGUACUUUAUCGCACUUGCCCUAACGAGAUUUGUUCUUGUUCAUCGAAUUCAAUUGUCUUGCUCUACAUGCGUGUGAAUUAUAUCUUGCCUGAAAUUCCAGAAACCUUGUGGCUAGUUAAUCGAGUCGAGCCGGCAAAGGCCAGGUCGAUUAGAUAACGAGCCCUGGGUAAUUAGUGAUGUCGAGUGGAGUGUUAUCUUCUCGACUAAUCGGUAUACUCGAGUAAUACCACCCGUGUUUCGUGUGGCGUGCGGGCCUGGUAAGGGGGUUGAUCGGUGGACUGAGACUGGCGUGAAGUGGGGUUUUUCUGGACUAGUUCAUUACUUGAAAGUUGACGGAGUGUCAAUUACCAAUCGAUCGAGCUGUGAUGGAGCCGAGAUAUGAGCCACUGUAUCCUUACAUGUGAAUGCGAACUAGAUAUUUCUUGACUAUCUGAAGCGUUAUUUCUCUGAUUCGACUUGUUUGCUCGCUAUUUCACUAUCACGCUGUUAUUACUUUAUCUGAUGUCCAAUUUGAUAUUUGGAACGUCACUGAGGUUUGGCUCACUUCGUUAGUUUUGUUUUCCUUACAGGGGUACGAGUGAGGCGUGAGAUAUGUAAAGACUAGCGUAGCCUAGUUAUUUUUGACUUUUGACUUGUACUCGCGCUAUCACUCGAUUAGGAUGAUUGUACUUGGAUUGUAUACACUUUGAACCCGUUUGGGGUAUAUAGAGGCUUUGUAUUUUGAAUAUGCAUCGAUGUAAAUUGUAAGUGUGAAUUGCGAUGUUAUUUAUUGUCGAUGGAUGUAUGCACGUGAUACGAGUGAGUAAGUCCUGGCGAGAAUUGGGCAGGCGACUCGCCGAAUCCUUUGAUACUCCUUGGGGGGAGGUGGAGUCGUCACACACCACAUCGAUAAUUUUUGUGUAUUUCUCGUCCUGGACUUGAAUUAUACCGACUCUACCAAACAACUCCAGAGAUUCGAGCCGCUUUAAUACACAAUCCUAUCUUCUAUAGAAUUAUUUUCUCACAUUCACUUCCAUAUAAUUAGUUCAUUACCAUAGAAAGAGCAUCUAUACUCUACGAAGUUGCUUGUUCACGUGCUCUAGAAGACCAUUAGAGUCGCAAUAUAAAUCGGUGCAUCAAAUAUCAUUUAAUAUCAACAGAAAUGCCAAUAAAUACUUCAUAGAAAAAUUCUGCAAUGAAAACCCUGGCGUUACGAUUAGCUAACAAACAACUUGGUUCCUAUAAAAGAACAAGAAAGGAAAUUUAACAUUGGAGUAAUUAUCCUAAGGAACUAAUCUAUCGCGGAAAAUUCAGCUGCUCCAUGCAGUCAGACAAAAGCAUGCUACACGCCUUUGGAAAACAACCAAUAAAGACCACCAUGAAAGCAUGCGUCUUCCAGCCCACGAAAUACAUCCUCAAAGUCCAAAAGUUGGGAAAUACAAGAUCAAUGACAGUUGUCAUCACUAAAAUCCAUACUGCCACUGCGAGAACUAGUACUUGCAUUUCGACUGUGCAAAGAAAGACCCCUAACAUGACUAGCAAGAGCAGUACCAUCCACCUUGUUAUCCUGAAAAAAUUUCUCCCUCUCGAUAUGUUUUGCGGGAGGUGGUGGAAUUGCAACUGCCGGUCUGCUUCCAUUAGAAUCUUGCUUUGGUCCCAGAGUCAGUGGCCGUAUAAGCGGGCGAUUAAGUAUUUCUGCUCGUGCUGAAGAUCCAAGCUGACAGAGUGACCUAUCAAUUUGAGGGCCUUCAUCUUCAUGCUGAAGAGAGGCUUUUCCUUUUCUAAUCCUACCAAUGAUUGUAUUGUACAUUAAUCAAACUAGUAAAACUACGUAACCAGGACUUUUUAAGCUCCAGUAUAAAAGCAGAUUUUGUAUUCAACCCAGAGAUCAGACCUGCGGAAAAGCUGUUCAGCCUCCUCUUCUUCCUCUGUUUCUUCAUGGUAAACAUGAAUUGAUGUGGAUGUUGGCCUUCCAGAGAUAAGUGCAUCAUGCCUUUUGAGAACUCUGUCAAGCUGGUCAUUCAGCUCAAUUGAUUGAGAAACCACUUUAUCAUCCCUAUAGACAAACAACACAAAUCAAAAUAUGAAAUUUCCCCGUAAAACACACAGACUCUAACAGUCCAUUAUAAUAAAUAUUUUUCCGAAGUUUUCAACAUUUUGCCACCUCUUAUUUCCAUUUCCACGCUCGUCUUUGCACCCACAAAAUACGUCAUGCUCCCAAUCAAAAAGAUAUAACUAGAUGCUAGUUUACCCCUUGCCAUGAGUAAUCACCAUGGAAAUAUGUCUCAAGUCCAAGACCAAAUAAGCAUGCCAAAAAUGCAAAAUAAAUGAAAGGAAGUUUAUCCUAUGAGAACUCGAUUUCUUGAUGAACGAGAGUUCUCCAGAAGCAGCUUCAGCAUUAUAUGCUUAUUAAGGAUAGCUAAAUAAAAUGAGAAAUUUCCUAGGCAAGGCAAGUGACUACAAUCUACUCCAGACAGAUUAACUUUUGUAAGAAUUAUCUCAGCACUAUAACCCCACACAAUGAAGCACAAGUUAAAAUUAAAGUAUCAAGAUUAAAUGAUUUUCAGAGUCCCAACCAGGGGCAUCUACAUUUAUACAUGGAAGAUCUACCAUUGACUUAAAAAAGAAAAAAAUCACAAACAUGUAAAAAUAAGGAGAAGAAUAAAUGAUUGAAAGUUGAAACAGCAAGGAGACGGCAAGUACUGCCUCCUACCCUCUUUUCUAAGUUCUUAGCUUUCUUCAGAAGUAUAUUUGCAAAUAAUUUGGCCCAAAAAAAAUAUUUGCACGUAAUUUGAGGGGAAGCCAGAGGAAGAAAUCCAAGCACCACUUCGACGUCUGUUCGGAUAGACUUCUAGCACAAGAUACAGAGAGGUUUCUUGUCCAUACACAGGAUCAAGGAUACAAGAAGGUAUCUUAAUAGCCAAGCAUGAUCACCUAUCCCUGUGGUCUCAUAUUGCCAUACGGAUGAAAAGUGUAAUCAAGAGGAAACCAAGUACUACCAUUAGUCAUUUCUUUACUUUAAGUUCUGAUCCAAAGUCAAACUUUACUUUCACUUGUCAAGCUUAGAGUAAUAAAUAUUUUCUUAACAAGAUGUGAAGUCAAGCUCAACAUUUCAAAGUGUGCAUGAUAUGAGGCAUAAGACUAUCAUAAGAAAUUACAACAUUACACCAAUACAUUUGUACAACAGAGCGAAAAAAUUCCUUUCCUAUCUACUUGUUUGCUUGCAUUCAGGACUUCACUGUCCAUUUUAUUAAACUAGCAAGGCCACUCAAACAAGAUGAUAGGUUGAUGACAACACAAACUGGACUCCUCAAUUUCAGUAACCUACCCCCCUCCUUCCUCCAAUUUUUUGACCAACAUAUAUUCUGAUUAAUCAGUUGUCUUUCAAGCAUAUGUAUAGUAAAUUAAGUCAACUGCAGAUUUUACUGACUACAUUUCUAUUUCUUCGUAUGUGUGGGAUAACUCGUACCAGUAUGCUGCACAUUUAUGGAGUGUUCUGUCAGACAUCUACAUAUCUGUCAGAUGUCUCAACAAGUAUCCGCAGACAUCUAAAAUUUCAGCCUCGGUGUCAAGAAGAUGUUCAAGAACUGCCUCUAGGCAUCAACUCCAUGUAGGUGCAUACAACAUGAUUCAAUGGCUGAAUUGUCUAAGUAGGUUUUGUAAUAUAGCUCAUCCCUUACUACCAGUCAUGUUGCAUCCAGUGUCUCAAGAUAUAUGUACUCAUUUUUAAGGCUCGUAUAUGACUAGCGGAUUUCUAAAUCUGUCACUUACAAGGAGCAAAACAAGUCAGUGCAAGUCCAACUCUAGCUAACUGUGCUUAAGCAAUGCACUCCUCAAAACAUCAAAAUGUUACACAUGGAAAAACCUCCAGGGAGAACAUAUACAAAUUCUGCAGGCACAAAAAUAGGUGGAACUCAUUCUCAGAACUUCACUGAAAAUUUAAUUAUUCUAGACCACCUAAUUUUCAUUCUUCCAUAGAUCUAGAACAUUUAUUUUUCUUGUCAUCUCUGAACAGACAAUGCCAGAAAAACGUGAUAAACUACUUGAUUUUGUUGUGUGCUUCUGCGUGCAAGAGAGAGAGAGAGGGGGGCGGUAGAGGAAACAAAGGCAACUCCUAUGACUCAUAUUAGGUUUAGCUGAACAAGUAAAUUAUUGCCAACCAAGGCAUCCUUACCGAGAAGUCAUGGCUAGAUGCAUGACACGUUGUUUCUGAAAAGAACAUUGUUCCACAAGAUCAAGAGUGAACUCAUCCUUUGCUCCCUGGAAGAUGAAAAAUUACAAAUAACUGAACUGACUUACUGCAAUGGGAAACCACAUAAAGUCCAAAAACAGCGCGGCUAAUGAAGGAACAUAAUCAGGUCCUUUAUCAGGAAAUUUAAGUUAAAAGAAGAAAGAAAUGGAUCAGCUAACUUUGACUAGUUUAAAACUUUAUCAUGCCAUUGUAGAAGAAAUGACAGGUUCAAUUAAAACUUUAAACACUAAGGUGAAACAACUAUAGAUGCAAGCAACAAACCUCAGGAUGUCUAGUAUCAACAGCAUCAAGUACUUCUCUUAAAACCUCCAGUGCAGCUCCAGCCUUCUGAAGAAUACUGGAGAAGAAAAGGGCAGUGAAGCAUCAAAAAAUGAGCACGCCAUACGAUAGAGAAACAUAUCACAGUCUUGUCUAAAAACAGAAUAAAAUAGCCGGGAGAGUUUUUCUGAAACACCGAACAAAAUAGUUGUUUUUAAACACAUUGAACAUAGUUACAACCAAUUUUGCAUGCGUUUGAGAUAUCCAAAAGCACACAUGCAUCCACACACGCACAAAUAUGCAUGCGCGUGCGCACACACACACUCACUCUCUCCCCCAGCCCCCCUUCUCCCUCCUUCUUUGAGGUUAAUUUUUGCCAAUAAUUUCAACUUUUCAUCAACUUAUUGGUUUAGUCAACAAAAAAAAUUGCUAAAGCUUGCAAAGUUGUUAAUCAAUAUGUGACCAUGGAUCAAAGAAUGCUGUAGACAUAAUAUAAGAUAAGCAUCCAGUCUCAAAACAACAAAGAUAAGAUGACAAGAAACUACAGAGCAAAAGGAGGCACAACUAGCAGCAUAUUUAAUGUUGCCAAAAUUAAUGGGGUAACAAAAACUGUGUCGGUGAACAGAGCAUGUGAUAAAUGAAUUUCUAUUCCUCUAAACAUACUUAGCAUAGGGAAGACAAUACAAAAAUCAGGAAUUGCAGAAUUUGCUCCACAGACAUUGUAGGAGCACAAUGGCCCUAUUGAGGUUAUCAAAUGGCAUCUUGACAAAGAUGUAGAUAUGGUCAUAUAGCUUUUUUUUUCCUUUUUGGUAUGUAGGAUUUCACGAAGUGUUGAUCUCCCUUUUCUUUGCAUCUCGCUUUUACCUUAGACACAUUUUUCCAUCUUUCAACAAAUUCAAUAUGCUUUUACUGUUAGCAAUUAAGACACAUAUUUACAUGAUUUUAAAUAGACAUAUUUUUACAUCCAGUAUGCUUUUACUGUUAGCAAUUAAGACACAUAUUACAGGAUUUUAAAGCUUAAUGAACUUUAAUUUAUCCACAAAAGGUAUAACAAGAGCAUAUUUCCACCUCAUAUGUAAGGUUAAAGUGUCAUAUAUUAAAUUCACUAAACUUGGCACUAAAGUUUCUGUAAAAUUGAGUCCUAUAACAUGGGAAAUUUCUUUUUUUUUAAUACAAUUUUAUUUUUUUGGUGGGAUUUUUCUUAUUAAGGAGCUUAUAAUGAAAAACAUUGCUCCAGGAAAAAAGGCCCCAAAUUGGAAUACACAAUUAGCAAGUAAUCAAACAUGGUAUUCAACAGGAACAAUGUACACAAGCAGCAAAGUGGAAACCACAAAACAGUACCAUUUUGCAUUCCUAGAGGAUCAAUUUGAUUUCUAUCCUUAACACAAAAGCAGAACCUUAUGGUACUAGCAAUGAAGUCUAUGCAUUUAAAUCCAUCAAAAUACUGGGCCCAAGGAAGAUUCCCAUGUUCUAAGCAGGGGCAGGUUGAAGUUGUAACAAGCCAAGCUCAACCAUCUAAAGUCAAGCACACCUGGUUUUCAAACAAAAAGUCCAGGAAUCAAGAUUAGUAAUUAGGCAGUCAAACAUAUUACUUUUUUUAAACACAAAAACUAGGCUGCCUAAAUCAAAUCCUUGACUCCUCUGAAGCUGAACAUUUCAGCCCAAAUAGUUGAACCAACAUAUCUCAUCCAGAAGCACUUUUCAAAGAAAAUAACUACUCCUAGAUAUAAACCUAGAGCGAUCUGCACUACCAUCUUCAAGUCUCAUAUCCAUAACCUCCUUACAUUUUACUUUAUCCUGUUAUUUCUUAAUUAGUUUUUUUUUUCUCGACCCUCUUAACUAGAGAGGUUGCCAGGGCCAAUAAAUUUAUACCUGUCAGCACCAUAAAAUCAAACCGGCGGAUAAUAAUUGGCUAAACCUGACAGUCCAAGGAAUUGAUAUUAAAUUCUAAACGCCAAUACAUCACAAUAGAUGCAACACCCUGAGGAAUGAACUAAUGCAUAAUAUUUAGGAGUUCCUCCUCUUCAAUCCAAGAAAUUUCUCAUGCAUCCGAAUGGAAGUAGAGAACAAAAGUAACCCACGUAUAAAACUUCUUCAGGAGAUGAGGAGAGUGACAAAGAAAUGAGCUUUUAACACCUUAGUAGCAUUGGCAAACAAUGCAAGUCUAAGAAAAUAAAAGGCAUGCAAAAGUUUCUUCUGUUCUCAAUGCCAUACACAGAUGCCAAGAGAGAAGAAAAAGGGAGACAGAGAGAGAUAUAUACAUAUGUAUACAUACAUACAUACACACACACACAUUUACAUGUAUAUGUGUGUGUGAUAAAUAAACAAAUACACACGAAGGCCAGUCCGUCUAUUUUUCAAUUUAUACUUGAAAAUGAGCAUUACCUAGAAUCAGAUAUCUUUUGAGGCUCAUCCUUUGCUACAUUCUUUUCUAAUGGAGCAGCAGCAUGUACUAUGUCAGGUGUAUUGUUGUUAUUUGCACAAGUUGCAGGUUCACUUUUUUGAACAUUAGGCCUCUGAGGAAACUGCACUCCUGCGCUCUGGAAAGUUAAUUAUAACUGUUAAUGUGAUAAAGACAUAUCUUACCCCAAAGUUCUCUAUAACAUUUUAUAAAAUCCACAUCAUUAGAUAAAGAAAACUCAUCAGUACAAAACUUCCACUGAGGCAAAUAAUCAUAAACAAGAAACUUAGCUAAUCAUACCAUUAGAUAUCAUUCAGAAAAUUAAGAGUGUAUGAAAAGAAACAUGUAGCUAAAGAAAAUUGCUUAUCCAUCACUAUAUCCAAGGUUAGAUAAAAGUUAGACGCCAGUUUUACCUAAAGAUUCCCGUUUUCAACAUAAUUUAAACUAGUAAUCAAGCUCUUAACUGUAUAACGUUGAUAUAAGCAAUUCAGAAAAUGUUCAACAAGCUUACCACCUUUUGAUUAUGUAAUCAGCCAGGGGUCAGCAAACAGGUCAAGAAACAACUGCGCAAACAUGUGGCCCAUUUUAUGUACCUUCUAAAGGGUCCCUAGGAGGUCAUCUGCUAACUGGUUGUACUGUACCUAAAUACAACUUAUGCCCUUUUGCCACAGCCCCAACAUGAGGUAAAAUAUCAGUUUCCUUUCUCAGUAGUCCUUAAAUGAUACCAUUUAGCAUUAUCUUCUCUCUAAUUGUUUUCUCUUUCUGUACCAUUGGAGGUCUUCAAAUUCACAUCCUUUCUCUCCAAAUACAUUGUCCUUUGCUUUAUCCUAUGUAAGAUGAUGUCUAAUUUCUCCAAGUAGAAACUCCAAUAUAUAUUAAAUAAGCUUCACAGAAAAUUGGUAAACCGUAUAAACUCCUUAUGAUGUCUGCUUUUCAUUACUCAAAAGUCUGAAAAGUUGCUUCUCCUUUCAUAUAUAUUUCACUUCACUUCCCUAUGCAUUUUCAGCUGUUUUUACUUAUAGUGACGAGUCAAAAGGUGACAAAAAACUUGCAAAAUUUGAAGAAUACUUUUUCAGAAUGCAUGGCAAGGAAAUUGAAAAAAUCAAAGACCAAUCAUUUUCCAACAAAAACAUGUCAUGAUUUCAUUUUCUUUUUACCAUCAUUUUCAAUUGCUUUCCUUUCAUUCACUUUGUUCUUUCCUUUUUUACUUUAAACUCCCACCCAUUCCCACCCUUGAGAUUUGAAUUCUGAACCUGGCAGUGGGGAGAGAGUCCUUCCCUGGCCACUUGGCCAAACCCAGUGGUUUCUUUCCCUCCCCUUAUUCUUUCUGAUUCCGACAGUUAGGUUAUGGUGUGGAAGUGGUUGAGAAAGCAACAGAUUUUGAUUUGUAUAGCGCAACAAAUUCUGCAAUUUUAAGGUGUACUCCUCUCUACCCUACAUUUACAUUAUUUCUUGCUCCAUUUCCAACAUAUACACUGUCUGUACACUAGCAUUUAUCAUCAUAAAAGGUAAAGAACUAAUCGGGGCAUUAACAGAGUAAACAAUGUUCAAACUCCAGUAGAGCAGGGAAUCGUCUAAGAAUGCAUCUAUACUUAUUCUAUGGAAAACAGAUUUUAUCCUAAAAUUGUUAAAACAGGAUUCGAGCGUUCAAAAAAUUGUAACAAGUCUGAACCCCAUGCAAGCAAUUAUCUGUCCCAGAUGAUUAAAAUGAUCCAGAUUAAAUCAAAUGCUUAGAAGGGAAAUUGGAACCUAGGAAAGCUCUCUCAAACAUCUUGAAGCUUUAUACUGGUGCAUCAGAAAUCGAAAUUAAUUAUACAUAAAAUCAACAAUUAUUUAACAUACUAAAGAGGAUUUUAUAAAACAGAUUUGCAAAAGUGGCAAUAGAAGAGAAUCAGAUUAAAGCCAAGUUAAUUAACCAGCAUGUGAUUUUCAUUGACGAGGAUAACUACUAAAGAGAUAAUCAGACAGAUUUGACUAUACAAAACAACUUGAUGUGUACCCACCACCAAUUCAUAGUAUGCAGAAUAAUACUGAGGAAAUCUCCCAGAAGCACCACCAACAGAUGUCUGCGCAGCAUCUAACAAAAGAAAUAUUUUCUCUCGUGCUGGCAGAUCCGACUGUAGAACAUCAAGGACACAAAAUUAACUUAAGCAAAAACUGAAUAAACAAGAAAUUGGGUUUUGGCUCAGAGAAAGGACAAACCUUUUUCUUUACUAUCUUUACAAGUACAGGAAGGACUCCUGCAUCUAUAACCUGCUUAUGGACUGGUUCUCCAAUAUUGUUCAUCAGCAUCUCCAGCAACUGAAAUACUAAAAAUUAUUAAUCGUUCUGACUAUUUAAAAAAGAUAUAGUACCUGAUCAUUUGAAGUACAAAAUUCCAAGAAAGGAUAGCAGAAAAAGGACUAGAGAUCAAUCAAAGACAAACUUUAGACUGUAAACUGUAUGAUCAAUAAGUCAUGCAGAAACCAACUCGUUUUGACAGUGCAAUACUAAUAUUCCAAUAUCAGAUUAAUAAUAGUUCUUUGAAAUAAUGCCGGCGAAAGAUUAAAGCCAUGAAAAUUCCCACAUUCAUCAUUCGUAUAGGGAGGGGGGCCAGGAAACAGCCCGGGUUAUAGAUGCCCUCAAACUAGUUUCAUGUAAUUAAAAAUUCAUUUUUGCAGGCAGAAACUUAAAUCUAAUGGAGUAGUUGUGUAUGAAAUAGUUUCAACCCAUUAAAUAGGAAGCAUUACGUUAGAUAGAAGAACAACACGGAGAUGAAGCAUGCACUUAUUCCUGUUGUAUAAAUAUCUGCUUGUCUUUCAGUUGAGGACCACCAUGUUUUCCAAAUGUUGAACAAGUACCAAAUGAAUCAUGGUUCGAUCACCAUAAACAAAUCAAUGUGUGUCCACAAUGGAAAAUAAUUAUAGCAUGUUAAAGUAGACCACUCUUGUAUAGCUCAAACACAUCAAUUUGUACAUUGGUAUCCAGUAAAAUAUUAAAACUAACAAAAAGAAGAAGACAUCUCAAUAGUUAUACAAUCACUAUUUCCCGUUCUUCAUUACAUAUAUCCAUAUGAAAUUCUACUACAACUUCCACUGAGUAAAAAAUUUUGCUUGGUGUACCACCUAAUUUGAAAGCUUAUCCAUUUAUAAUAAGAGAAAACAUGUAGUUUUGUUACAUGAUUUUGAACCUAGAAGAUGCUCACCAUUACAGCUAGUAGUUGGGUGUUGUCAUUUUUGCUUCCCAAGCGUUUCUUAACAGCUUUGAUUACAUCUCUAGCUUUUCUGUGAAACAGGAAUACAAAAAUAAAUCUUGGAUGAGAUAAAAAUUUCAAUAAAUGCACAAGCAACAAAGAAGCACAAGAGUUAAUUAAGCCAUUCACUGUAUGCAACCUGUGCUAUCUUUCCAGCAAUCGAGACUAGACCUUAUAAAGAACAAAAUUUUACUGAAACCAAUCUUAGAACCAUGCAAGUUCUUUGUUAACAUGCAUAGAGAGACAGAGAGACCAAAAAAUGUUAAUUAUCUGCUGUAUAAAGGUAUCUGAAAAUGGUUAUACCUGUGGUCACAUGCAACUAACUCGCAAAUUUCAAUGUUUUUCAUCCAAUCCAUCUCAGAGAGUUUCUCACUUGUUGCAGCGUUGACAAGGUCAGUAGCCAUUUUUCUUUCCAAGGGCUGAUAGUAAGUGGAAAAACUAGUAAGAAUCUACAUUCAAUUCUAGAACACAAUUAAGCAGAUUAUGCUAGAAGGUUGCACAGAACAAAUUCUCUAAAAGCCAGUUAAAGGAAAUCACUGAAAUUCAAUAAAAAGAAGCAUAAAGUGGCUUCAUCCCAUUAAACUAUUAUGGAAAUAAGUCACAGGAACCCCAGUAGCACAGCUCAAUUAGUUGAGCAUCCAAAAUGAUUGUUUGACAUAUUAGAAAGGGCUCAAGGAAUAAAAACAACUGGUGGCUAGUAACAUGAAAUUGCUGUAAUAAACCCAUUCCUCCAGUUUAAUCAGCUCAAAAAUAUAUAGCUAAGCCAUCAAAUAAACAAAAAUGCCCCUUCUUAUUUCCAUCACUGAGUCGUUUGCACAUUGGGUUGAGUCUCCUAUCAGGAAAAUGUUAAACUAGUCCAUCGAAAUGUGAUAAAGUAAUGCUAGUUUUUCUUUGAGUGGAAAAGUGAAGUACACUUUGAAAUCUCAGAAGGGGUCUAAUAAGCUUGAAAAUCAUUUUGAAAUUAACUCUUUUGAAGCCAUCAAGUAGUGUAUUUGCAAGUUGCAACAGACUUUAAGCUCAAUCAGCAUCACUAUUUGCUAACUGCCAACAACAUACAAGCAUGGUCCCAAAAAGUUGAGGCAAUAGUCAUUUUUCUGUCAAAGAAGCUAGAGUUUUAGAAUUUGCAUCUGUAGCUUAUAUUUUCCAAUUAAUUGAACAUGUAUGUACACGGGGUAGUACACAAGUAAUUAUCCAAAUUACUGGGGUAAUGUAAACCCAACUCCAUCAACACUCUUCUUCUGGUCGGUAUGCUUAGAUUUUUAUCCUUUACCCCUACAGAAAAAGCAGAAAGCACAUGACGAGAUAAAUGGAAAUAAUAGAACAUAAAAGCUCAACGGAAAGCAAAUUAUAAACAUAAGCUAACAUAAAUGAUUUACAAUGCAAUGUAACAAUGGGCAUUCAAGGAAUCCAAAAUUGAAGGAGCGGAAGGGGUGGAGAGUCUGAGCUUAAAUGUUCCCUGUUCAAUUAAACCAUAUGGUGGAACAAUCAUUCACAAUACUAGGCAAAUUUAAAAUAACCUAACGUCCACGGUGACACAAUGUGAAAAAAGAUACAUUCCACAGAAUACAAACAGCAAUUAUCAAAACAAAAGUGACCACCAAAUACAUCAACAAUAUAUACCUGCAGGAGAGGUUUGUCCAAAUUAAAUAUGGCCAAUAACUCCUAAUGCAACGACGUCAUCAAUGGUAAUAUUGGCUAUAACCAAUGGUAAUAUUGGCUAUAACCCUCCAAGCUGCAUUAUUCAAAAGGUUAUUUGAUUGAAAACAGAAUCCCAAAACACAACCAGAAAGAAAUCACGUUUGGUGAAUAGGACAUUACACAUUAUCUGUUAGCUUACCACAAGAACGAACAAAAACUUAUAAAUGUUCUUAAAAAAAAUCGAGAUAAAACAAACAAAGGAACAGCGAGAAGGACACAUCCUUAAAAGCACUGAACUUGGGAGUGAAGUGAUAAUGCAUAUAGCUCAUAAAAGUGAAAGACCUCCAGAAAAGCUGGGAAAAUUACAGCAUUUAAUAUCAGAAAGAACGCAGAACUCCGAGGCCAAUAAACUUAAAUUCUGUUUCACAAAUGCUACUCCAUGAGCUAUCGUCAUACUCCAAACCCAGUUUCAAGAAGGCAAUCUAAGAUACUAUGUUGUAAAAUUUGAUCGAACCCUUUAUCCGACGUUAAACAAAAUGCUGAUCAGCAGUCUCAGAAACUAGGAACAAAUAUGACAUUUACUACCCCUUGCUCAACUAUUUUGUACACCAUCAUCUCCAAUUAAACCCAAAAAAUAAUUCAAAAAGCCACACUUAUUCUGGUUACACAGGAACAAAUUUGACAUUUACUACAUAAAAUUCACUACCAAAAUGAUCGGAACAUAAACAUUUCCAAAUACUAGUCUAUUUUCUCAAUUCACACAACUUAACAAAUUCAUAACAUUCCGUUAUAUAUCCUUUGCCUAGUCAAUCAUUACGACAAUCUUAAUAAACAAAAGAGAGAAAAUCAUGAACUAAAAAGGAAGAAGAAGAAGAAGAAGAAGAGCAGCCAAACUUAAACCUGAACUGCAAAAAUACCAAAAAAUAAAUAAAUCAGCAAAAUCAAUAACAAUAUAUUCCAAAAUGUAUCAGUUUCAAAAGAAAAAUAUAUCAGGAAUGUAAACUAAUCAAACUCCAAAGGCCAAGCAACCAAAAAAUUAAUUCAGAACAAGUUCAAGCAACACAAAAGGGGGAAAAUACUACAUACCAGCGAAACCACCAGCAGGAGCAGCAAUCACGAAGAAGAAAUCGGUUUACUGUUCUCUUUUAUGUGUGUGUGUAUAUAUAUAUUAUCCUCUGAACAACUCAAUUGCGAUAAGCAUGUGCAUGCAGUGGUAAUAAUUGAGGACAUACAGCUACAACGACAACUGCGAUUAUUUAUAUAUAGUUAUGAAAAAAUGAAAAGAGAGAGAGAGAGAGAGCAAUUAGCAAUCAAUUGAAGUAGAAGAAUAGAGAAGAAUCUCGGACUCUUCGUCUUUAGGUGGGGCUAGCUACUCUCUCUCUCUAUAUCAAUAAAACAUCUGAAUUUUUUAACUUUUCCCCUUUAAAUACUUACUAGCAGGAAAAACUAAUUAAAUAACUAGAACUAUAGCUCGGCUAAUAAAGUAUGAGUUUGUCCGUACUUUUGUUUGGAAAGCUAUUUUCCUCUAAACAAAAUUUUUAAAUUUUUUAUGAAUAUAUUUUUCAAUCGCCUCUUUAUCUCACAUAUCAAAUCGUUAUUAUAUUUUUUUUUUUUACAAGAAUUUCAAAAAAAUUUUACUUCAUAAAUACUCGAGUAUAAUUAUGAGUCGGUGUCCUCCAUAAAAGAUCGGGUUUGAGUCAUGAUCACUAAUUUUUCUAGUAGAAAUUUAGGAUUGGAUUUCGAUAAUCUUUCUCGAUCAAGUUCUUUUGAAUUUAGAAGCUCAAGUUUGAAUCUUUUCCUCAGUACAUUAUUGGAAUAUUUUACUCAAUAUUAAAUUAAAUAAAUAUAACUACACUUAAAUUGGCUCAACUUGUAAAGUACGAGUUUAUUCAUAUUGACUUAAUAAUUGAUCAGGUUUUGAGUCUCAUGCUUGCAAUCUUUCCUCAAUAGAAGGUCAAAUUGGAGAAGUGAUCACUAAUUUUCUUGAGUAAAAAUUUGAAUUUGAAUUUCAAUAAUCUUUCUCAAUAAAAGUUUGGGUUUGAGUUAUUGUACUAAUAAGAAGCUCGAUUUUAAAUUUAGAAGUUAGGGUUUGAAUCUUAUCCUCAGUAAUCUCUCCUCGAAAGUUAGAAAAUUGUCGAAAAAUGAUUCCAACAAGGUGACUUUACAACUUCGUAAACAUUUUUUCCCAAAAAAUAACAAAAAUAAAUUCAGUUGAUUAAUGGUAAUAUUAAUUUAGUUUUUUUCCAACAAACGUCAACAUAUUAUUAAUAUAGUUGAAUAUUUUAUUAGUGCUAUCUAACUCAGUGUGUGUUGUGCAUGUUAUUUAGUAGCUGCAGAAAAUGAAAGUAGUAACGAUUAUUAGUUUUAAGGAGCAACUGUAGCACCGCCACGAGGGUUGUCGUCUGAGGAAUUAAUAAUCUUAUGUGUCUGUGACAUAGGGAAGUCCAAUGACCCAAUGAAGGGGAUGUGAGGACUCGAAAAUUUACUUAUUUUGAAUUCCUAUUAUUAGCUUAUUUAAAUAUUUAAAUGCCCGUUUACCCCGAAUAUUUUUUUCUAACCUUUUUAGACCUAAUUACAUGGAACUAUGACUUACUUAUAUUUUUCAAAUGACUUGUUUCAAAAUUUAAUUUUCGGAAACUCGUUUAGUAAGAAUAGUGAAUACGCGUUUGGAGACUAUAGCCGAUUUGAGAGUACAAUGAUCUUGAGAAAUUGGAGACUUGUACAUUAGUCUUAAAAUAGAUAUUUUUAUACUUAAGUAUUCAAGUAUUAGGUAGUGAAUCUAUCGUUAUAAGAAUUUUUUGAAAGUUUCGCUUUAUCGCGCAUAAAUCGGAGGUACGCGUUUUCACACGCGCGAUUAACUGAGAGAGUUAAGACCAUUAUUUUUAUACCAUUAACAGUGAAUGAUAAUAGUAUAAAAAUAAGUGCAUUAGAGGUAUAAUGCAUAUGUGAAACAAACUCGAGAGGAAUCGAGCACGAAACGCGCGCGUGUCCUCGCGGGGAGAGGGCUGACUUUUGAACGAAUCGUAGCCACACAUUAAAGCUUCUCUUGGAAGCUUCAUUUUGAUCAAAACACUCUCUCUCUUGCUCUCAUUCCAGCCGACCACCAAGGGAAGGAAAAUAACCCAAAGCUCUCCAAAAUUCUUCACCAUUUCUUCACAAAAUCCUCACCCACAUCACCCCAAUUUCACCUACACUUAGCUAAUCACUUGGAGAUUACAUCAAGCUAGAAAAGGGGCUGCUUUCCACGGUUUUCUUGGGCUAAAGGUGACCGAAAUUUUCUGCCUUGAUCAUCCAAAGAAGUAAGUGACGAUUAACCCUCAAAUUCUUAGUUUAUGGAAGUUAUCUUGCACUUGUGAGCUUAUAAUUUCGUAUGGGUAGCUUUAUGUUGUUGGAAAUUUUGUGUGUGGGCUCUAUGAAAUCCCACUAUGGCUUGAUAGACUGAUUUGAUGAGAUUUGAUAUUGUUUAUGUUGGAUUAGUGCUUAAUCUAGUGGAAAUACGUUGGGUUGUGAAGGAAAACUCAAAAGGAGAGAGUUGAGCAAAAGUGACAAAUCUGCCCUUGCUAUUUUCGUGCACCUUAGUGCACUUUUUUGUGGUUCAAUUGACUUUUUUAUGAUGUAUAUGUGUAAUAUAGGUUGUGUAGAAAGUUUAAUCAAAAAAUUACAUGAUUUGGUUGGCCAAAUGAUGAGAUUUCGAAAGUUCAUCAAAACUGGAAUUUUUUUCGUAUUGCAUUGGCAGUGUUUUUGUUUUGGCCAUAACACUUUCCUCCAACGUCGAAAUCGAGUGCCGUUUAUGGCACUGAAAACUAGACAUUCUCAGCUUUCCAAUGGUAUAAAAUGCAUGUCCUGAUUCCACCAGAGUAAUCCGUACUAACCUUGUAAAGUUGCCUGUUUUCUUUCGCGUCUGCACUAGAAGUUCUAUUUUAAGCAGCGACUUGAUACUCAAAUAUGAGCUAGUUGUGAACAGAUUUUUAAAACAAUGCCUUCUGAGAAAUUGUAGCCUUAUGAAUUCAGUUUUCAAUGCCACCAACCAGGCUCAAUUCUGAGUUGAAUUGAGUGAGAUGUGGCCAAAUUACACAACUGUCUUCGUGAAAGAAAAACCUUAUUUUGGACUGAUUUGUAACUAACCUUGAUUGGGACUUGUUGUUUCGAAAUUCUUGGUGUUAAUCACCUACCAAACACAUCUUGGAUGUUUCUUAGACAUUGUCUACAUAAAUGGACCAUGUUUGAGAUGUUUUCAUUGACCAAAUAUUUAGAAAAGGAAAAUUUACAUACAAGACAGAUUUGCCUUGGGAAUUCGUGGGACUUUAGUGGUUUGGUUAACUGACUUUCCGUACGUAUUUUUCUAUGAAAUUUUAUAGAGAAAUAACCCUUAUAUGGUAGUGUAAUACUACCAAGUUUGGUGUCAUUCCGAGUUCAUUUCGAUGCUCAACCAAAGUUCCAAUGUUCGUGAUUUAAAUCUGGAAAAUUGGCCUAACGGUCUCACUUUUUCAGUAACUUGGAGCCGCCAUAUCUUGGUGCUCAAAACUUCAAUUCUUGUUUUGCUUGUUUUUUUGUAAACUUUGAUUGUAACUCUAAUUGAGUUUCAAAUUUGAGAGGCCAGUUCAUAUUCUGUGAAUUUUGCCAAAUUUUCAAAGUUGGCCAAAAACCAACCUCGAAACUGUCUUAAAGAUACAAAACAGCAACUUUGAGCCAAUUUUUUGAAUGUCUUCCAAUUGUAAUCGUGGAAAGAUGUUUUCUAGAAACUUUUAGUACUUUGGAAGUAGUUUCUAACGGUACCAAGUUUUCCAAUUUUGGACUUAUAGAGAGUGAGAUACGCUUUUUCAAAAAUCGCUCGACAAAUCUGAAAUUUCCGAACUUAAGGGAAAUUAAGGGUAGAGAACUCUCUAUUUUCCUUCGAUAUUGCUAGAGCAUUUUACACUUGAUUUCAAAGAUGAAAAUCAGAUUUCGCUUAUGUUUUAAAACCCCAUUUUGAGUCUCGAUUUAUGAGUAAUUAAGGUUUAUUUUCGUGAAAUUUUCUUAGAUUGUACAAGUGUGCAAUCUUUCUCGAUAAUUAGGAGUUUUAAGCGAUAGUGAGUAAUAGACAAUUACUAUUUGCUCAGGUGCUCAAGAAGACCUUCAAGAGAAUCUCGAGGAGAACACCUAAAGGCUCGUUUACGCACUUACUUCCUUGUUUCGAUUGGUGAGUGUCAAGUGCAUGAAUUUGUUGCUAAGUGGUUCAUUGUUUCUUAUCCGUUAUGUGAAUUUGAAAUUUUGAAACGUGUACUUUACCGCACUCGUUCUCUUUCAAAUGAAAUUAUAUUCGUAUUUUGCUAUGUGAAUGCAUAUCCGACUUAUAAAUAGUAAUGUGGAUGUAAUUCGUAUUUGUGAUUCAUAUUUGUGAUUCCUUUUUGGAAUCGUCGAUUUGAGCGUUGCUCAUCGACUUAUAUUCGUAUUCGUAUUCGGGGGACGCCCAAACUCGUUGGCUAACUUUGAGAAUCGAGCCAGCAUAGGCUUGGUCGAUAAGCUUAGCAAACCAUGAGAUAUUCGUAAAGCAUGAUCUAUUGGAGAGAUCUUGCUCGACAUACUCGCGUAAUAUUGCCAUGAUAUACUCGAGUAUUAUCAAAAUAUUGAUGAGCGACCCCGGUAAGGGGUAUAACGGUGACGGGAUUCGAAAAAAAGUGGUGUAUCUACAAAUUUGGUACUUAUGUGGUUGAUAGAGUGUCAACAUGAGAUGUGAUCAAGACUUUGACUCGACUACGUGAAAUUUAACUCCUAAGAGCUACAGUAUAUCCUUGAAUUAUUUCUGUUUAAUUUUCCUAUUCGAAAUGUGAAUUAUUUGAACUUGAUAGCUUUAUUUAUUAUGUAAAUUGUGGCUACUUGGAUUACAUGUUUGCAUGUGUGUUUCUUGGCCUCGCUGAGUAUUGGCUCAUUCCAUUAGUCUGUUUUCCUUAACAGGAACCCGAUUGGAAGGAGUUAAGGAAAUGUCGACUUGAGGCACUUUUGUAUUAGUGUUUUGAUUGUAAUCGACUAAACACUUUUGGAUGUUGUAUAUUUUGCGAAAAGUGAUUGUAAAUUUGAAAUGGUGAUGUAAGACUGUAUCUAUGGAAAUGACUUCGUACCUUUAUUUCGACUUUCAUUGUUAGUAUUAAACUGGGUUUGAAUUGGGAUUGUCUCGAGUCCUGACGAGAGUUGGACAGGCGUCCCGCAGAUACCCUUGGGUUCGCCCUUGGGAGAAGUGGGGGCGUCACAAGGGAGACACGUGGAGGGAGCGUAGGUAGGGAGUAAGUGAAAGAUGUGGAGUUUUGGGGGUGAAAAAAUAAAAAUAAAAAAUGGAAAAUGAAACGGUUUGUCCUGACAGCUGAGCAAAUGUUCAAGUGGUGGUGUUGUGCUAGAUUAGAUUCUUUCUCUUGCACGGAUGAAAAGGGAAAGAUUGCUUCAUCCUCAAGGCCGAAAAAGGAAAAGUAGUAGUAGUAAUAAUAAUAAUAAUAAUACCUUUUCUUCUGAUAUUUCUUUUAAAUUUUAGAUUAAUUUUUCUACUUUGUCAAUAUAUACAUGUGU
rnacentral:lncRNA from 1 species